rnacentral:lncRNA from 1 species
GGUGGCUUCUCUCCCUUAGGUGGUUUGCCAACUGGGGUUGGUGGCUUGUAUGAGUCUUCAGCAUUCUCUGCAGGAGGGUGACCAGGGUUGUGACCAUAAUGUGGUGGCUUCUCUCCCUUAGGUGGUUUGCCAACUGGGGUUGGUGGCUUGUGUUCUGGGAGUGGCUUCUCCCCCUUGGGAGGUUUUUCCAAUGGGGUUGGUUUGUGUUCAGGAGGUGGCUUCUCCACUGGAGGCUUGUGUUCAGGAGGUGGCUUCUCCACCGGAGGCUUGUGUUCAGGAGGUGGCUUCUCCACCGGAGGCUUAUGCUCUGGUGGUGGCUUCUCCACCGGAGGCUUAUGCUCUGGUGGUGGCUUCUCGAAUGGGGGAUGCUUAGGGUAAUCAGCAAGUGAGGGGGCGGUGAGAACCACCAGGCCAAGCAAGACCACUAGCAAGUAUGUAGGAGACAUCUUUGGGUUUAGACUCAGAUGGUGCAAAACUAGGAGAAUUGUCUUUUAUAGCGGAUCGCACCCAAUAAUGAAAUGACACGUGUCUUUAUGACCCAUGUGUAAUGGGGUCGAUUUGGGUCCUACAGUGUUGAAAACUUCGACAUCCACUUUUGGCCUUUUGCUUUCUCUACAGCCGCCUUGCUUUUUCCCUCUUUCCUUUUGUUUUCCUCCUGCCCCAUUCUAUCAACUAAACACAAUUAUGUAGUUGUUUAAUUCUUAAAUGAGAUAUUAUCCGUCAAUCGUAUCAUAUUUUAUCAACAGAGAACGGAGUGCAAUGUGGCAAUCCAAAGAAAGAAGAUCCAUAAUGCAGCUGUAAUUUUAUCGUUUACUUUUAUCUCUUGGACCACUGCAUUUUUGUUAAGAGGUGCAAUAAUACACGUCUUUAUCUGCCAUUCAAUGUUUACAGUAAAGAGAGGGCACAAAACUCUUCACUGCUCUGCAUGUGUCCCAAAAAUGCAAUUGGACAAAUUAUGAUUUGCAUGCUAAAAAGAGGCAAAUGAGGUUAAUUCGCACCAUAAUUAUUUUGUUUUCUGGACCCCGGGGCCCUUUGGUUGGUUUGGGGGUCAGAAAAUGAACAUCAUAGGGGGUUUUUCCCUUAUGUGCAUUUGUAUCUGAUGGCUUUAACUCGCCUUGUUACUACAAAGAAAUUGUCACAUAUAGGAACUUAUUCCAGGCUGAGUAUCUCCGCAUAGACCCUAUAAAAGAAGACAAGUCAUAAUGAACAUCUAACCUUUGUUCAAUUUGAUUCAAUGCCCCAUUGUGUCCACCUCACAAAUCUGAAUUAUUAUAUCCAUUGAAUACAUAAAUUAAUGAAGAAAAUAUGAAACCCAAGAUACAUCUCUGCACAACCUCAACCCUGGUUGCUAUGUUUCCCUUCUAUUCACAUGAGGAUAUUGAUUACGGAAUAGGGAAACCUAGCAAGGGUUUACUCGGCUCUGGUUUGAUGCUAAUUGCCAAACUUGCAACAAGCCCUGAGUUUGAAGCUCACAGAAGAUGUUAUACAGGCAGGGAAAAACCUUCAGAGUUCGCUGCCAAAGAUAAUUAUUAAGGAGAUAUCACCAAGAGAAUUCCAAGGAGUCUGAAUCAAAGACAAAUUGGUCGUUCGUGGAGGUUCUUACUUUCUUUUGGGUAUAACUCACUGAGGGCACUGUCUUUUUUAUUUUCAUUUCACAUUUAGAGUUCUGUUCUGGAAACAUAUAAAAGGAGCAUCAGUUUGUUCUUGGGUAACCCAUAGUCGUGAGUGGGUCCAUUUGCAUGCUACUUAGUUGAAAAGUUGGACCAUUUGCUCCGACGCCUACCUCCUGGAUUCCAUGCUCGGAUAAAACAAGAAUAAAAAAAUAUUUAUAAUUUACAAAUGGGGGAAAGAAAAAAAUGUCAACAACAAACUAGGAAAAAAGAGUAGUAAAAUUCAUGUCACAUGCUAGUGAGAGAAGGGGUUGUUACACUCACUCGAAGUUCUUUUCAAAAUAUCGCAUGGUAUUUUAUUUUAUGUGUGAGCGCAGUUGUGAAUGGAACGUGCAAAAGUCCAAAUUGGUGACCUUUAAUAAAUAUUUAAAACAAAAAACGAAAAAAAGGAGGGAAAAGGGAUCAGAAAAGAUAAAACAAUGUGUACAAAAGCUCAAUUAGUUUGCAAAUUACUGUUUGGAUUUUGAUAGUAUUUUAUUUGAUGUAAAAGAGAAUUUAAGAUAUUUCCGAAACAAAAGCAUUAGUUUGCUCCAUGUCAAUUUCGGCAUUUCUCAUAUGUUUCACACAUACACAGAAGAGCAUCGUUUUUUAAAGCAUGCAUUUAUGUUGGAUUAAUUUGGAUUUUGUGGGAACUGGGGCAAGGAUCACAUGGAAGAGAGGUUGACUUUUUUCAGUACUUCAAUGGUUGAGACAGGUGAAGGCCUGAUUGAUACUGAAGCCUGAAAUUGCGACUCCGUCAUUUGUCAAAACAUAUGACAGCUUCCAUGCUCUCGUUUGGUUGCAUUGUUCUGUGGUCAUGCAUACAUGCCACUUAGUGAUCAGUCUGUAACUGUCAAUCAUUGGGCUUUGACUGAACAACAUCAGCCAUGUAUAAAUACUUGCAAAUCAAACGGUCUUCUUCCUCCCAUAAGGAAUUUCGGUUUAAUUAUGAAGCAUGCAUUUGGCUGACCAUCAUAAACCACUUCUUUAAAUUGAUGAAUGAUAGUUUUUCAUUCAUUCUUUCAUUCGUUCAUAUACAGAGUAUAUAUAGAGGGUAAUCAUCAUUCUAAGAAUGGGAAAGAAUGAUACAAGGAAAUAAUGAUAUAAAGAAAUAACAACUAAUAUUCUAAUAUCUCAACUUUCCUAAUAUCUAAACAUUCCUAAUAUCUCAACACUAAAUGAUAUAAAGAAAGAAUGAUAUAAGGAAAGCAUUCCUAAUAUCUCAACACUCCUCCUCAAGUUGGUGCAUAGAUGUCAAACAUGUCCAACUUGUCUAAAAAUUUUGAGAACAGUUGACUUGAGACAUCUUUGGUGAGGAUAUCGGUCAAUUGAUCUUCUGAUCGAAUCUUAGGCAAUUCCACAAUCUUAUCAUCCAACUUUUCCUUAAUGAAAAAUCUAUCCAUCUCGACAUGCUUUGUACGAUCAUGUUGUACUAGAUUAUGAGCAAUGUCACAUGCUGCUUUAUUGUCACAAAACAAUCGGAUUGGUUGCCUAGAUAGGUAACCUAAAUCCUAUAAGAGGAGUCUUAGCCAUAAUGCCUCACAAAGUCCUAAAGUCAUACCUCUAAAUUCCGCUUCUGCACUUGAACGAGCGACGACAUUUUGCUUCUUACUUUUCCAUGUCACAAGAUUACCACCUACAAAGGUAAAGUAACCAGAUGUAGAUCGCCUAUCAUCCACUGCACCGACCCAAACAGCAUUAUACUUCUAUACUCUGAUGAUCAACAUUUUUAGCGAACAAAAUUCCCUUCCUAGGAGCAUUCUUCAAAUACCUCAAAAUACGCAUGACUACAUUCAUAUGUUGCUCUCCAGGAUUAUGCAUGUAUUGACUCACUACACUCAAUGUAUAAGCAAGAUCUAGUCUUGUAUGAGCUAAGUACAUUAAUCUCCCCACAAGUCUCUGGUAUCUUCCCUUAUCGAUUGAUACUUGAUUAGGCUCAACACACAAUUUCAGACCUUCUUCUAUUGGUGUAUUAAUAGGUUGACAUCCCGACAUUCCAGUUUCCUGUAGAAGAUCUAAGGCAUACUUUCUUUGAGACAGAAAAAUUCCUUCACUUGAUCGAGAAACUUCAAUCCCAAGAAAGUAUUUCAGACGACCAAGAUCUUUCAUUUCAAAUUCUCUAGAUAGAUACUUUUGCAAAGCUUUUCUUUCUUCAGGAUCAUUUCCUGUAACUACAUGUCAUCCACAUAUAUCAUAAGUGUCGUAAUCUUACCAUGUUGCUUUUUCAAGAACAAAGUGUGAUUUGAAUUACUUUGAUGAUAGCCAAAAGCUCUCAUUGAUUUUGUGAACCUUCCAAACCAUGCUCUCGGGGAUUGCUUCAACCCAUACAAUGACUUCUUCAAUUCGCACACCUUCUGACAUUGCUUUUCUGACACCAUGCAUCCUGGUGGAAGAUCCAUAUAUACUUCUUCAGAUAAAUCGCCAUGCAGAAAGACAUUUUUUACAUCGAACUAUUGUAAUGGCCAAUCUAGGUUUGCAGCUAAAGACAAUAAUACUCGAACUGUGUUGAUCUUAGCUACAGGUGCAAAUGUCUCUGUGUAGUCAAUUCCAUAAGUUUGAAUGUACCCACUAGUCUUGCUUUAAAUCGUUCAAUACUACCAUCUGCCUUGUACUUCACAGUAUAGAUCCAACGACACCCAACUAGCUUCUUUCCUGGUGGACAUUCUACGAGUUCCCAUGUUUCAUUUUUCUGCAAUGAUUUCAUCUCUUCAUUCAUGGUUGCUUUCCACUUUGGAUCAGCUAAAGCUUCCUGCACACUAUUAGGAAUAGCUACAGUAGAUAAUUGAUUUACAAAUGACUUAUUUGAUUCAGACAAACCAUGGUGUGGACCCGCAUUUUUCACGUGCGCCUCUACUCGAUCGGCGAGACUCGCUUUCUAUUUGUGAAAAAUUAAUUUUAGAAAAGUUGGAGUCGCCACCUAUUUUAUUUUUAUUUUGAAGGGAAAAUAAAACAAGAAAGAAAAACCCUAAAAAGUGACUCCAUAGUUUUGGAAAAAGCAUGUCUUUGGGAAACCUGAGUCUAGGUCCGGGGAUCAUGUUACUUAUUGGGAAGGUACCUCUAGGAGGUAGCACCCCUCUAAGCCUUAUGAAGGUCUCUACUAACUAAAUUAAGGGAAGUGUGGCAAUAAAUCGAUUGAUCAUAGAUACCUAAGUAGACUAGGUGAUUUUAAAGUGUGGCAUGUCAAACACAAUCAAAUUGCAAUAAAGGAGAGUUAGGGCGCGUACCUGAACCGCUUCUCAAGCGCUAUCAUAAAACAUCAAUGGUUAAUUUAAAUAAUAUAUCAUCCAGCAUGUAUUUUAUUAGAAAUAAUCAAACAAUGAAACAUGUAUAUCAGAACACUCAAGCAUUAUUAGACAUAAGCAUUAUUUCACUAUUCACAGAAUUCAGAAAGUAGGUGAUAGAGGACAUACCUGGAUAGCAUAGAUAAUUUGUAAUGUGCUUCCUCAAGUUGUAAGGGGUUAGAUAACAAAUAAUAAAAUAUAGAAAUCCUAGCAUGCUCGUUAUCUAAUUAGCAUAGCAAAAGUGAUCACAGUAUACAGAAUCAUCAAUUAUCACAUACAUCUUGUAUAUAAUUCCUAAAAAAAAUAGAUAGACAUGAUUUCAACAAGUGUCAAAUGUGGCAACAAAAAUAAAUUUUGAAAAGAUUUUCUUAUGUAGGGGUUUCACCAAUUCCCCAAAUUAAUAUACACGAAUUUAGCUUAGAAUUAUCCCAUUUAUUUGGGACUACAAGCUUUGAUUCGUGUUUUUGUUCAAAACCAAAAAUUUUUGUUGAAAAUCAAGAAGGAUGCGAACCGAACAAGAUAUGGUUGCAUAUUAUUUUUAAAUAAAUAAAUAAAUAAAUAAAGGAGAUUUUGAUCCUGAGGACUUUAAUGAGUUUUUUUUUUUAAAAUAGAUUUUUAAAAUGAUUUUUUUGAGAAAAGUAUUUUAUUUUAAAAUAAAAGGGAUUAAUUUGGGAAAAAAAUAAAAUAUAAGAAAUAAAAUACCAAACAAAACAAAAAUGAAACCUCAAAGUAAAAUUUUUUUAGUAAUUAACAAAAAUGAUAAUGGUGAUGGUAGAGGGCAAUCUUCAUGAUUUUCCAAUGGCCUCAGAAAGAAAAUCAAAUUAAAUGAAGGAUCACUAACAGGCAAGACAUUCUAAAUUAGACAAACUAACAAAGUAUCAAUUCAUGAACUAACCGCUAGGAUUUUGAAAGCAUAUAAGCUAAGAUAAGGGUGAUCAGGAACUAAUAUUAAUGAUUUUGAAAUAAAAACUAAAAAAAAGGAUCAAUUCGGGUAAGGAACUAAAAUUAUAAAAGUACCUAAACUAAUUAUGACGAGUUUGACUAAAUUAAACUAAAAACAUGAACUUUCAAACAUAGAAUUAAUUUUACUAAUGAACCAAAGCAAACUAAAAAUAUGUACUUUCAAGCAUAGAAUUAAUUUUAUUGAUGAACUAAACUAUAACAAAUAUCUAAACUAAAUAUAAUGAAUCAAAUUAAAUUAAAGCAACUUAAAAACGCAAACUUUCAAACAUAGAAUCAAUUUUAUCAAUGAAUUAAAACUAUAAAUGUAUUUGAACUAAAUAGAUGAAUCAAACUAAAUCAGAGCAAAAUUAAAAAAAAAAAAGAACUUUCUAACAUGAAAUCAAUUUUAUCAACAAAUAAAUGAAUGAAUAACAAGUAAUUAAAAGAAUAGCUACUACAUGAAUAACUGAAUGAAUAAAAUUCAAAUGUUUUCAAUCUGAAGCAAUCAAUCAAAAUUAAAUAGGGAUCAAAUCAAAAUAAUCGAAAUCGGAAAAACAAUAUGCAAUCUUUCUAAAGGUUUAACCAGACAAUUGAAUUAAAAUUAUGAAUAGAAUAAAUUAAUAAACCAAAUCGAAACCUAAAUUGUACCUAAAAAGAUUAAUUAAUUAAACUAAGAAAUCAAAAUCAAUAACAAAACUAAACUAAGGAGUAAAUUAAGACAAGACUAAUUAAAUUAAACUCACAAACACGUUUUAACUAUCAUAUGGAUUAAAACAAAAUUAGCAUGGACUUAUGAAUUACGAACAAAAAUAAUCAAAACUAUUUUAAAAAACUCACCUCUAUUAUAAGAAAAAAUCUGCCUUUGAUGCGUUGAGGUGGCUCCCCUCUCUGUGUGGAUCUCUCUGCUCCCCAGAAAAAAAAUGUCUCUUCCUCCGUUCUCUUUUGUUUCAGCAAAAUAAUAUAUCCCCUGCUGUGGAUCUCUCUACUCCCAGAAAAUAAUAUAUUCUCUCCGUGUCCUAAAGUGGACCUAGGGUGCCUAAGUGGACCUAGGGUGCCUAAAUGGGCCUAGGGUGCCUAAAUGGGCCAAGUGUAUCUAAAUAGGCUUAGGGUGCCUAAGUGGGCCUAAGUCUAAGUGAGCCUAAGUCUAAAUCAAGACUACCAAGGAUCAUAAUAAGGGGUUAGGCAAUCCCUUAACCAAAGUCUCCAAGGUGGCUAAAAAAAAGUAAGUAGUAUGAGUAGCUAUGGGUCACCAAGGAACUACUGUGGAGCAUUGAAAACGAAUUUAAAGACAUGUGCCAAAGGGACAAAAUUGAGGGUCUACAGAUGGUUAGACACAUAGUUGCUCAUGGGAUAUUUGACUUUGGUAAACAAUUCAGAUUCAUAUGUGGGUUUAGGAAUACCUUUAUUAUGACGGUGUGGUAAUCGUUUCAUGAAUGGAUCAGGUUGCAAAUUAAGAACACCCUCAGCAAACAACGAUUGGUUUGGUAUUUCAGUGAAGACAUCUUCGAACCCAAAUUGUUGACCACUCAUAUCCAACUCACCCGCUUCCUGGUUCACUAGUUCAGAUUGUCCAAAUUCAUCAUUCUCAUAGAUAUGAUAAUCAUAAUCGAGAGUCUGAAUUUCCUUAUGGUACUCCCCCUGAAGUUCAGACUUAGAUGAAAAAUACAUCGAAUAUUCAUGAAACAGCNNNNNNNNNNNNNNNNNNNNNNNNNNNNNNNNNNNNNNNNNNNNNNNNNNNNNNNNNNNNNNNNNNNNNNNNNNNNNNNNNNNNNNNNNNNNNNNNNNNNNNNNNNNNNNNNNNNNNNNNNNNNNNNNNNNNNNNNNNNNNNNNNNNNNNNNNNNNNNNNNNNNNNNNNNNNNNNNNNNNNNNNNNNNNNNNNNNNNNNNNNNNNNNNNNNNNNNNNNNNNNNNNNNNNNNNNNNNNNNNNNNNNNNNNNNNNNNNNNNNNNNNNNNNNNNNNNNNNNNNNNNNNNNNNNNNNNNNNNNNNNNNNNNNNNNNNNNNNNNNNNNNNNNNNNNNNNNNNNNNNNNNNNNNNNNNNNNNNNNNNNNNNNNNNNNNNNNNNNNNNNNNNNNNNNNNNNNNNNNNNNNNNNNNNNNNNNNNNNNNNNNNNNNNNNNNNNNNNNNNNNNNNNNNNNNNNNNNNNNNNNNNNNNNNNNNNNNNNNNNNNNNNNNNNNNNNNNNNNNNNNNNNNNNNNNNNNNNNNNNNNNNNNNNNNNNNNNNNNNNNNNNNNNNNNNNNNNNNNNNNNNNNNNNNNNNNNNNNNNNNNNNNNNNNNNNNNNNNNNNNNNNNNNNNNNNNNNNNNNNNNNNNNNNNNNNNNNNNNNNNNNNNNNNNNNNNNNNNNNNNNNNNNNNNNNNNNNNNNNNNNNNNNNNNNNNNNNNNNNNNNNNNNNNNNNNNNNNNNNNNNNNNNNNNNNNNNNNNNNNNNNNNNNNNNNNNNNNNNNNNNNNNNNNNNNNNNNNNNNNNNNNNNNNNNNNNNNNNNNNNNNNNNNNNNNNNNNNNNNNNNNNNNNNNNNNNNNNNNNNNNNNNNNNNNNNNNNNNNNNNNNNNNNNNNNNNNNNNNNNNNNNNNNNNNNNNNNNNNNNNNNNNNNNNNNNNNNNNNNNNNNNNNNNNNNNNNNNNNNNNNNNNNNNNNNNNNNNNNNNNNNNNNNNNNNNNNNNNNNNNNNNNNNNNNNNNNNNNNNNNNNNNNNNNNNNNNNNNNNNNNNNNNNNNNNNNNNNNNNNNNNNNNNNNNNNNNNNNNNNNNNNNNNNNNNNNNNNNNNNNNNNNNNNNNNNNNNNNNNNNNNNNNNNNNNNNNNNNNNNNNNNNNNNNNNNNNNNNNNNNNNNNNNNNNNNNNNNNNNNNNNNNNNNNNNNNNNNNNNNNNNNNNNNNNNNNNNNNNNNNNNNNNNNNNNNNNNNNNNNNNNNNNNNNNNNNNNNNNNNNNNNNNNNNNNNNNNNNNNNNNNNNNNNNNNNNNNNNNNNNNNNNNNNNNNNNNNNNNNNNNNNNNNNNNNNNNNNNNNNNNNNNNNNNNNNNNNNNNNNNNNNNNNNNNNNNNNNNNNNNNNNNNNNNNNNNNNNNNNNNNNNNNNNNNNNNNNNNNNNNNNNNNNNNNNNNNNNNNNNNNNNNNNNNNNNNNNNNNNNNNNNNNNNNNNNNNNNNNNNNNNNNNNNNNNNNNNNNNNNNNNNNNNNNNNNNNNNNNNNNNNNNNNNNNNNNNNNNAACCAAAGGAAGCAUGUUCCAGACGUCGAUGCCACAACCAAAUUUCAGACUUUUUCUUCUCCUCCUUAGAUCCAUCUGCCAUCAAGGCUUGUUGCAACUUAUUUGAAUCCUUUGAUUGCAAGUCCAAGUAUAGAGUUUCCCCCGCUUAAUACGACAACCAAUCGUCUGUCUUGUUUGAAUGUCCUUAAUCACACAAAAUUCAGGCCAAAAAAUGACAAUACAAGAUAAGGCUGCAGUGAUUUGAGAAACUAACAAAAGAUUGUAAUCUAAAGAUGGAACAACUAAAACAGAAUCCAAAUUCAAAGUAUCAGUAAGAGUUAAGGAUCCUUCCCCAAUGACUGGGGUUGUGUUACCAUUGGCUGUGGAAACAAUUUUUUGUGAGGAAGGUCUAAGGGGUGAAACCUGUCUAGAAUCAAAAGUCAUAUGAUCUGUAGCACCAGAAUCAAUUAUCCAUGCACUAUUAAUAACAGGUGUAAAAGUAUUUAAAAACUUACCACAAUGAUCUGUAGCGGCUACUAAUGCAGAGACUUUCUCAACAACAUUAGUCUUUGUUUUUAUUUCGGUAACAGUUGCAAUCAAGGUUUUCUUGGAAUUCUUCUUCCGUUGAUCACGAUUAUUAUCAUUAAUAACAAAGUGUUGAUAGCCUAAACAUGAUCUAAAGGUCCAUGGUGCAAACCCUCGGUUCCUCAUUGUUUUCCUGGUCAUACCAAGAGUUGUUGCUUUGAAAUUGUGGGAUAUCCAGACUGGUGGGAUCAGUUUUAUUGCAGUGAGUGCAUUUGAAUGUUGACUUAUCAAUAUUAGGGCUUGUCUUCGGAUGGUUGAUUGCUGUUGGACUACCAUAGCGACAAAAUAUCCAGGAUUUCAAUUCCAGGGCUCUGAUACCAUCUUCAAAUUGAUGAAUGAUAGUUUUUCAUUCAUUCUUUCAUGUACAGAGUAUAUAUAGAGGGUAAUCACCAUUCUAAGAAUGGGAAAGAAUGAUACGAGGAAAUAAUGAUAUAAGGAAAUAAUAACUAAUAUCCUAAUAUCUCAACUUUCCUAAUAUCUCAAUAUUCCUAAUAUCUCAACUUUCCUAAUAUCUAAACAUUCAUAAUAUCUCAACACUAAAUGAUACAAGGAAAGAAUGAUAUAAGGAAAACAUUCCUAAUAUCUCAACACCACUUCAUGAUAUAUAUAGUUUCUUACCCUUAAUCAAUGGUUUCUAAGUGAAUUUAUAUAGAAAGAAAUCCAAACUGUAGACAGCAGUAUUGGUAACACUCAAUAUUCUGUAUAUAAUAGAAUAAAUAGCGUCACAGUGAUCGUCGCCUACAAGCAAGGUACAAAUACCACAAAGAGUGACCCACAUAGACAUUCCCCAACAAGAUGUAGUAGUGACUGACACAUAGCCACAAUUAACACGUAGAAAAGGAUAAGACCGGUGCACAGUAGCUCUUAUUUUACAUACUACUUAUGCCAACCAAAGUCACUCAGUUGGGAUGGGAGGGAGAUGGAGGUUUGUGCGGUGGCUUGUGGGGCGGAGUUGAUGGCUUCUUUCCAGGAGCUUCUGGCUUUUUCAUCGGAGCUGAAGGAGGCUCAAUCUUAUGAGGCGGCUUGUACGAGUCUUCUUUGCUCUCGAAAGGAGGGUGGCCAGGGUUGUGACCAUAAUGUGGUGGUUUCUCUCCCUUGGGAGGUUUACCAAUUGGGGUUGGUGGCUUGUGUUCUGGGAGUGGUUUCUCUCCCUUGGGAGGUUUAGUGGGUGACUUGUGUUCUGGAGGUGGCUUCUCCACCGAAGGCUUGUGCUCCGGUGGUGGCUUUUUGGUUGGAGGGGGCUUGGGGUAAUCAGCAAGAGAUGGGGUGGUGAGAACCACCAGUCCAAGGAACAACACUAGCAAGUAUGUGGGAGACAUUUUUGAGUUUGGGCUGAUCAGAUGAUGCAAAACUAAAGCAUUACGUGACCUUUUAUAGCAAGUAGCUCCCAAUACCUACUUGACACGUGUUACUGUGACCCAUAAAUAUUAUGGGGUCUAUUUGUGCCCUACCGGGUUGAAAACUUGGACAAUUGGGCAAGGACCCGCCUGACUAUGGAGGACUACUGAGGUGUGAUCACAGCUUUAGGAUUUUUCUUCCUCUGCAGCCGUCUUGCCGUUGGCAUGAUUUUCUUAAUCUCAAAUAAAGGCAUAGUUAUAGAGUUGUUUAAUCUCUAAAUGGGAUUUUAUAUAUCUUCAGAUAGCCAUUAAUACAUUUGAUGAAGAAAGAAAGACAAGUGCAUACAACAUGUAUACGACUAGCUUUCAUGGAGUUCAUUUAUGAUCAGUUUUCCUGUACAUGUAAACCAAGAUCAUAUAUGUUUUUGUUCCACAACAAUUUUGGAAUCUUGUUUAUCCGUUUUUAUCAUUAUAAUGUCACAUAGGCUGCCAACUUGGGCGCUAAAUUAAAGAUCCAGUUGGGCAAGUUCGUUUCAGAAUUUCAAUGGUGGAUUCAGGAAUUGUUUUAUAAGAUAUGCAAAAUAGUAGAGGGAUGAAUAGUGUUUCAUUAAGAAAAGAGCCCUGUAAAAAUAUUGUUUAAAGGUGCCAUAGAAACUAUAAUCAAUAAAUAACUUUUUUUCCCCAUGGGUGGUGUUUCUUGUGGGGAUCAGUGACUGGUUUGAGUCAACGCCGUGUCUCUUUAGUCCAGAAAUCAACUAUUUUAUGCAUUGAAUACAUCAACAAAGAAAAUAUGAAAGCCAAAUGACACCUCCCCCGCAAAAACUAAACCCUGGUUGCUAACUUUCUAUGUUUCAGUUCCAUUCACACAAGAAUAUUAGUUCAAGUUUGAGAAAAAUGGCGACUUACCUAGUGAUAACUCGGUCUUGGUUUGCGAUUUGACUUUAACGUCAUGGGUUGAAGCCUCCUACAAUCAUCGUGUAUGCUAGUUCAAAGCUCGUGGAAGAAGUUAUACAGGGAGGGAGAAACCUCCACAGCAAGCUCCAAAAGAGAAUUAUCACAUUGAAAGCUCCAGUUGAACACUGGGUGAAAGCCAUAACAAGAUUGGUUUUCUAUCGCUCUUUUAAGUAAUGGAAGAUUAUUAUCUCUGCUUGUCACUACAACCGUGCAUGCUGCUAGAUCUUUCUAGACACUUCAAACAGUGAAACCAAGUAUGAUUCUUUUUCUCUUGAGUGGGUCCACUUGCAUGCCAAUGAACGAGUUGAAAAGUUGGACAAUUGGCCACAGCGCGCACUUACCUUCUGGAACCGAAGGUCAGUGAAGUGGGGUUCCUUUUGGCCCCUUGUGUUUCUGUUCCAACCUACUCCAGGAACCGAAGUUCAGUGAAGUGGGGCUACUUUUGGCCUCUUGUGUUUCUGUUCCAACCAAACAAAAAUGGGAGGGAAAAAUAGCAUUAUGCUUGUGCUAAAGAUCAACGCAUGAUAGCUGAAUAAGGGAGAAAAAGGCAUUGCUAUCUCAAUUUCAUAAACUUGAUAAGUAGUGACAUUAAUAGUCUUCCUCAUAGAUGGAUACAUGGUUUUAUUUUAUUUAUUUAUUUUUAUUUUUUUGUUUUAUGUCAAUGCUAAUGAAUGAAGUGCAUUAGCUUGUUUUGUGACUAGAACUACAAAUGUCCAAAUUGGAGCUUCUCCAAUAUAUUUCUCAGUGAGUUAUUGAUUAGAACUCUUGGAUUGAGUUCCAAGAUUUGAAUCAGACCCCUCUAGCAGCUUCAGGGGUACGUAGCAACCUAUAGCAUAUUAAUGAAGACUUAGGAUUUAGACUUAGGAAUACAAAUUAAUAUGUACCUCAUGCUCUGACUAGCUUCCCUGCGUAUGCACAAAAUGGAGAUGACUCCCAAAAAAAUAGCAGAAUCGCCUUAGUAUGUUUUUGUGGUUAAGAUGAUUCUCCACUUUAUAUAUCCACAUUGGUUCAUUAUGCAAAUUAAUCAACUAAGCUAUUUUUAUUUUUUCUUAAAUGUGAAAUAGGAGCUCCAAAUUAACCUAACCAUUGGCCUGAUUGAAUUGAUUUCACUUGCAUAAUGUUAUAGUAGAAGUCCGUAAUUUGAAUUUUAUUUUUGCAAAAGGUAACGUAAAUGAAGCAUUGUAAUUAAAUUUAUUUGUAAUUACAAACUAAUUUUAUUUUAUUAAGAAUUAAUUUAAUUACUCAUUUAAAAUAAAAAUCAGUUAUACUUUUACCAAGAUGAUAAUAUUCAUAUUUUUCUAGUUAACAUAUAUAAAAUAGUACACUUUUUCAUAUAAAAAAAUAAUUUAUGAUUUAUUAUAAUGUUACUAUUCACAUUUUACUAAAUUGAUGGUACAUGAUAGUGAGAGAAGGGGGUGUCACACUCAGCUAAAGUUCUUUUCAAAAUAUUGCAUGGUGUUUAAUUUUAUGUGUCGGCGCGCGUGUGAAUGGAACCUGCAAAAGUCCAAAUUGGCGUUUCUCCAUUUUCCACAUAGGAUGGUGACGUUAAUAGACAAAGAUACAAUAUCUGUAGACAUUGCUUAAAAAUCGAUGUGAAGUAUUAGAAAUUACAGGGCACUGUACUGGGGGAGCGGCUGCCCCGCCAAAGGAGGAAGAAUGUAGCAAUUUCUUCUGUUAGCCAGGCCUUAGGAUUUAUGCAUGGGAUGCCUAAUAACAAACAGAGAAAAUAUACUUUUGGGGAAGGUAUCCAACAACAGACACCAUCAUUCAGAUGGUGGGAAGGUAUCCAACAGAUGCCAUCAUUCAGAUGGUAACAUAUAUAUACAUUUAUUAGUGAGUUUUUUUAAUACCUAUAAAAAAAAAUAUACACUUUGAUAUUGUGGCUGAAUCCAUUACAUACUCAACUAACCUUGCUCAUUAGGGAUUUGACUUAACAAGGGCAACGUUGCAGUACAAGCUCAAAACUUUAUGCAGGUGACAUUACAUUUGGUAAAGAAGAGGAAAAUAACGAAAGCCAUCCAUAAAAGCAAAAUUCCACAUGGGAUGAAAUUCACAAGCUUCAUUUACGAUAGAGUCGCAUCCAGGCAAUUAAUUCCACAUUAGACCGCCUGUUGACAUGUGUACCAAUCUUUUUUCAAAAAAUAUUUAUAAAUAAUUGAUACUCACAAAAAUAAUUUAAUAUUUAUAAAGGAUAAAAAAAUAUUUUCAAAUCUAUAACAAUUUAUAAAAUAUUAAUAAAAAAUUAUCUCUUAAACUUAGUAUAGUUUUAUCAGAUUAAACUUUUAUUUUGAACAAAUAAUUUUAAUCUAAGUUUUAAAUUCUAAAAUUAUUUCCUUAAAAUAAAAUUUUAAAAUUCAACACUUCAAUUGAAAUUGUCUUUUUAAAAAAUAUCUUCUUAUUUUAAUCCUUAUAAACUAUAGUUGAUUGAAAAUACUAUUGAAGUUCUCUCUUAAAAAAAAGUCUUAUUUUAAUCUUCAUAAAUUGCCCUUGAUUUGAAAAUAAAUUUUCAGUUAUCAUAUUUUAAAUAAUAUCUAUAUUUAAAAUACUCUAUUUAAAAAAAAAUGAACUAAUUUUAAUUAUAUUAUAUUUUAUUUUUUUAUAUAUUUUUAAUGAUAAACCAAACAUAGAAAAUCAUUUUUCUAAAUAUUUUAAAAUUUCUAAGCAACCAAACAUAAUCUUCAAAAUAAAAGGAAAAUAAGGAGGGACAUUUGAGAAAUGGCGAUUAAAAAAAAGUGUACAAAAGCUCAAUUAAUUUUCUUCUAGUCUUUUAUAUAAAAAAGUAAAGGAAUUGAAAAGUAUUGAUAUGUAAAUUAAUAUUUGGAUUUUAAUAGUAUUUUAUUUGUCUUUCUCUAUCUCAUGUAAAAGAGAAUUUAAGAUAUUUCCUAAAGCAAAGCAUUAGUUAUCUGCAAUCAGUGGUGAUCAUGCCCCAUGUCAAUUUCGGACCCAUAUCUUAAAACUGUAUAAUUUGCAUUCAAACAUUACUGAUUUCUCAGAUGUUUCAUACUCCACAGAAGAGCAUUGUUUGUGAAAGCAUGCAUUUAUGUUGGAUUUUGGAUGAUGUGGGAACUGGGGCAAGGAUCAUAUGGAAGAGUGGUCGAUUUUGUUCUGUACUUUAACAUUUGAAAUAGGAGAAGCUCGGGCAUUUGUGGGGCUUAAUUGAUUUUGAAGCCUGAAAUUGCGUUUCUGUCAUUUUGUAAAAAAUAUGGCAGAUUCCAUGCUCUCAUAUGUUUGGUCUGUGGCCAUGUAUAGAUGCCCCUUAGUGACCAGUUUGUAACUGUCAAUCAUAGUGUUUUGACUCUGGCUCAACAACAUCAGCCAUUGACGGAUUUUCAUACUUGCAAAUCAAAUAGUCUUCUUCCUCCCUUAGGAAUUUCGGUUUAAAUGUUAUUAAGCAUACAUUUGGCUGACAAUUAUUAACCACUUCAUGAUAUGGUUUCUUACCCUUAAUCAAUGGUUUCUAAGUGAAUAUAUGCAGAAGGAAAUCUGAACUGUAGACAGCAGUAUUGAUAACUCUCAAUAUUCUUUAUAUAAGAGAAUAAACAACGUCAUAGUGAUCGUCGCCUACAAGAAAGGUACAUUUCCCAACAAGAUGUAGUUGUGACUGGUACAUGGACGCAAUUAACUCGUACAAAAGAAUAAGACCAGUGCACGGCAGCUCUUAUUUUACAUGCUAAUUAUGCUAACCAAAGUCACUCAGUUGGGAUGGGAGGGAGAUGGAGGUUUGUGCGGUGGCUUGUGGGGCGGAGUUGGUGGCUUCUUUUCAGGAGCUUGUGGCUUUUUCGGAGCUGAAGGAGGCUCAAUCUUAUGAGGCGGCUUGUACGAGUCUUCUUUACUCUCGACAGGAGGGUGGCCAGGGUUGUGACCAUAAUGUGGUGGCUUCUCUCCCUUAGGUGGCUUGCCAACUGGGGUUGGUGGCUUGUGUUCAGGAAGUGGUUUCUCUCCCUUGGGAGGUUUACCAAUUGGGGUUGGUGGCUUGUGUUCUGGGAGUGGUUUCUCUCCCUUGGGAGGUUUAGUGGGUGACUUGUGUUCUGGAGGUGGCUUCUCCACCGGAGGCUUGUGCUCCGGUGGUGGCUUCUCCACCGGAGGCUUGUGCUCCGGUGGUGGCUUCUUGAUUGGAGGGGGCUUGGGGUAAUCAGCAAGAGAUGGGAUGGUGAGAACCACCACUCCAAGGAACAACACUAGCAAGUAUGUGGGAGACAUUUCUGAGUUUGAGCUGAUCAGAUGAUGCAAAACUAGAAGAAUUACGGGACCUUUUAUAGCAAGUAUCUCCCAAUACCCACAUGACACGUGUUACUAUGACCAUAAAUAUUAUAGGGUCCAUUUGUGCCCUACCGGGUUGAAAACUUGGACGCUUGGCCGAGGACACACCUGACUAUGGAGGACUAUUGACGUGUGAUCACAGCUUUUGGAUUUUUCUUCCUGUGCAGCUGUCUAGCGGUUGGCAUUAUUUUCUUAAUCUUAAAUAAAGGCAUAGUUAUAGAGUUGUUUAAUCUCUAAAUGGGAUUUUAUAUAUCUUCAGAUAGCCAUUAAUAUAUUUGAUGAAGAAAGACAAGUGCAUACAACAUGUAUACGGCUUGCUUCAAUCGAGUACAUUUAUGAUCAGUUUUCCUGUGCAAGUAAACCAGUUUUUUGUUCCACAACUAUUUUGGAAUCUUGUUUAUCAGUUUCUAUCAUUAUAAUGUCACAUAGGCUGCAAACUUGGGCACCCAAAGAUCUAGGUGGGCAAAUUUGUUUCAGACUUUCAAUGGUGGAUUCAGUAAUUGUUAAAAGGUGUUUCUUCAUUAAGGAAAGAGUCCGGUAAAAAUAUUGUUAAAAGGUGUCAUAGAAACUAUAAUAAAUAAAUAACUUCUUUUCCCCAUGGGUGGUGUUUCUUCUGGGGAUCAGUGACUGGUUAGGGUCACCCAAAAUGAGUCCAGAUUAAAAUUGGUUCGAGUCAAAGCAGUCUCUUUUGUCCAGAAAUCAACUAUUUUGCGCAUUGAAUGAAUCGAUAAAGAAAAAAUGAAAGCCAAAUCACACCUCCCCUGCAAAACCUAAACCCCGGUUGCUAACUUUCUAUGUUUCAGUCCUAUUCAUAUAGGAAUAUUGGUUCAAGUUUGAGAAAAAUGGCAACUUACCUAGGGUUUACUUGGUUUUGGUUUGCGACUAUUUACGCAACCAACCAUGAGUUUGACUUUAACGUCAUGGGUUGAAGCCUCCUACAAUCAUGUAUGAUAGUUCAAAGCUCGUGGAAGAAAUUAUACAGGAAGGAAGAAACCUCCAAAGCUAGCUCCAAAAGAGAAUUAUCACAUCGAUAGCUCCAGAGAUUCCCAAGGGAACUGAAUCAAAGACAAGUUCCUCACUUUUUCUUCUUUUGAGGCCAAAUAUGAACCAAGGAUCACACGACCUCAUUCAACUUCAUAAGUUUGAUUUCAUGCAGUUGAACACUGGGUGAAGGCCAUGACAAGAAUUGAUUAAAAAAUUCUACCACUCUUUUAAGUAAUGGAAGAUUAUUAUCUCUGAUUGGCACCACAACAGCACAUGCUGCUAGAUCUUUCUAGACACUCCAUGCAAUGAAAGCACAAUGGAUCUUGUAAUGAUAGAAACUAAGCCAUGCUACAGUACUAGAUGAGGGGGUAAAACUAGUAGACAUCUUUCUAGACACUCCAUGCAAUGAAAGCACAAUGGAUCUUGUAAUGAUAGAAACUAAGCCAUGCUACAGUACUAGAUGAGGUGGUAAAACUAGUAGACAUGGCUGGCAGUUGAUUACUACUCAAAAAGUACUCUUUUAUAGCUUGAAACUAACUGUUUUAAACACUUUUGAGUAGUAGUUAAUACCUUUUAACUUAAUUGGCACAUUAAGGAACCUAGCAAGGGUUACUAAUCAACAUUUGGCAAGUUUUGAUGUUUUUGGUAGCUAUUUGAUCAUUGAAACAAGCCAAGAAUGAGGGGGAAUUUUGUGAAGUCCAUGGCAAUGCAAGUUAAAGCUCAAAUACAUGAAGAAUCCAAGCUUUGGAGCACUUCAUAGCCCUUUGCCAAGCCAAUCAAAGAUGCAAGGAAGAAAACCAAAGGAAGAAAUCCAACAAUCAGCAUUUUGGCAUGGCUAUGUGAAAUUUCGCACACCAUGCGAAACCACAAGAGGCAGCCAAAGAAUUUCGCAUGGUAUGCGAAAUCUUCUUGUGCACUGACUCUGUUAGAUUUUUAUCUUCAGAUAUUUUGUGUAAUUUCCUAGUUUCUCCUUGUAACCAACUUAGAUAUUUUCUUUUAUAUCUUUUUUUAUAUUUUUUAGGUAACAUCAUAUAUAAGAGGAGAGACAUAAGGAGGAUAUGGAUGUUUUUCAUAGAACACUUGUAAAUUUUUGGUAGUAAGAAAUAUACAAAGCUUUUUGCUCUGCCUUACCUUCUCAAGGGAUGAGUGGCUAGGUUUUCUUGGAGUGAGGGAAGCUAGGUGAAGGACCUGAAUGCAAAGGUGGGAGUUUUCCUUACUUUAAAUGAAAGUAGUUGUUAAACAUUAAUGGUUUUUAUUUUAAGGUUUAGCUUUAAAUCCCUGAAAAACACCUUGAAUGGCCAAUACUUGGUAAGCUUUUUAGAUUCUAUGGAUGCUUAUUGCUAGAUCCAUGGAUGUCUAUUAGUUAUCAUUUACGAGCCAUUGGAAGGUGAUUCAAGGUGAGGGUCUUUAGUGUUUGAAGCCAUUAAUGGGAAGCAAUUACCAUUUUUUCAUGAAUCCUUUGGAUCAAAUCUUAAUUGCUAAAUAUAAAACCGGUUUCGAGAGAUAACCACCAUCCUUUAUGUUAUUAUCCCCAACGCGAGGAGAAGAUCCGAAAUCUUCCUUUUUAUCUAAGGAACCCGAUCCUAGUGACCUAAAGCUCCAAGAUACCUUUUCUUUGUAGUUAACUUCAUUUAUUGUUUUUGCUUAACUUAAAAUCAAUCUUUGCAACCACAAUUCCAUUUUCUUUAAAAGCUAAUUUUUAUAAGGAAAAACACCAUUUUAUUUCCUUCACUAAGUCAACUGUACGAUGAAAACCCAUCCCUGUGGACGAUCCUAGAGCCACUAUACUAUGUUAGCUAUGCUACCCUAGUGUGAGGUGAUUUAGGUUUUAUAAAUUUUUUUGAUAACACCCAUCUGAGCCAGAAUCAAAUGGCACGACUGAACCAGGGACGAAUCAAAUGACGCCGCUACCAAGGAUGGUGCCAAAGUACAUUGACAUGACUUUUGGUGAACACUUGUGAUCUUCACCACAAGUUUGGUGAUUUUUCUUUUACUAAUUUUUUUUAUUUUAGCUUAUCUUUUAUUUAGUUUUUAGUUAACCUUAAAUUUUUCCUAGAAUUGUAUUUCUUUUGUUUUCUUUGUUUUUGUUUCAGUGAUCUUUAGUUGUGCAUGCCCUAUUGGAUAAGAGAUAUUGAGGGAAUACUUGUGAAGAUUGAAACUCCUCGAGAAACUGAGUUAGAAGUGUGCUUGAACAUCAUGGAUGUUCCACCUGAAGACCAGAAUAGCCAACAUGGUUAAGAGGAUAAUUUCAACACAUACCGAUCCAUGAGGAACCGCAUACAUCCACCUUGUAUGAGUGCACCGUCAGGCAUAAUGCCUCCCACUGAGCAGCUAGUAAUCUGACCUCACAUUGUGCCACUCCUACCUACUUUCCAUGGGAUGGAGAGUGAGAAUCCCUACUCGCAUAUUAAGGAAUUCGAGGAGGUUUGUAAUACAUUCCAAGAAGGAGGAGCUUCAAUUGACUUGAUGAGGCUCAAGCUAUUUCCUUUCACUUUGAAGGAUAAGGCCAAGAUUUGGCUUAAUUCUUUAAGGCCAAGAAGUAUCCAAACUUGGAUUGAUUUGUAAGCCGAGUUUCUUAAGAAGUUCUUCCCUACCCAUAGGACCAAUGGUUUGAAAAGGCAAAAUUUGAACUUCUCAGUUAAAGAGAAUGAGAAAUUCUAUGAGUGUUGGGAGAGCUACAUGGAAGCUAUUAACGUUUGUCCUCACCAUGGCUUUGACACAUGGCUCUUAGUGAGCUAUUUUUACAAUGGUAUGUCUUCUUCAAUGAAGCAACUCCUAGAAACUAUGUGUGGAGGAGACUUCAUGAGUAAGAAUCCGGAGGAAGCCAUGGACUUUUUGAGUUAUGUGGCUGAAGUUUCAAGAGGAUGGGAUGAACCAAAUGCUAGAGAGGUGGGAAGAAUGAAGUCUCAACCUAAUGCUAAGGGUGAGAUGUAUGUUUUGAAUGAAGACAUUGACAUGAAAGCAAAGGUUGCAGCUAUGGCAAGGAGAUUGGAAGAGCUAGAAAUGAAGAACAUACAAAAAGUGCAAGCCAUUUCUGAGACAUCAAUGAAAGCUAUGCCUUGUUCCAUUUGUCAAUCUUAUAAGCACCUAGUGGAGGAGUGUCCUACAAUUCCAGCAGUGAGAGAGAUGUUUGGUGAUCAAGCAAAUGUUAUUGAUCAAUUCAAGCCUAAUAACAAUGCUUCAUAUGGCAACACCUACAAUUCAAAUUGGAGGAACCAUUCAAAUUUCUCUUGGAAACGAAAGCCACCUCAAUACACACAACCUACUCAAGCACCUUAGCAAUCCUCGAAUCUUGAACAAGCUAUUGUGAACCUUAGCAAGGUUGUGGGAGACUUUGUGGGAGAUCAGAAGUCCAUCAAUGCUCAACUGAAUCGGAGAAUUGACAGUGUGGAGAGUACAUUGAACAAAAGGAUGGAUGAGAUGUAAAAUGAUCUGUCUCAAAAGAUAGACAAUGUCCAAUACGUAAUCUCAAGGCUUACCAACCUCAACACAGUGUAAGAGAAAGGAAAGUUUCCUUCUCAACCUCAUCAAAAUCCUAAGGGUAUCCAUGAAGUAGAGGCUCAAGAGGGAGAAUCUUCAAAGGUGAGGGAAGUCAAAGUAGUUAUCACCUUGAAGAGUGGUAAAGAGGUUGAUCAACCCACAUCCAAGCCAAAGCAUAAUGAAGAGAGUGUAGCAGAAAAAGAAAAGAGAGGAAAAUAAAGGAAUUAGAAUAGAGAAAAAUACAAAGAAAGAUGACCAUGAGUCUAGUGUGGAUGAAGAGCCCGAGAGGAUGGUGAUCAAGGAAGAUAUGAUGAAGAAACACAUGCCUCCACCUUUCCCCUAAGCUUUGCAUGACAAAAAAAGAACCAAUAAUACAUCAGAAAAUUUUGAAGUAUUGAGGCAAGUGAAGGUCAAUAUCCCUUUGCUAGACAUGAUCAAACAAGUGUCGACAUAUGAAAAAUUCUUGAAGGACUUGUGCACUGUAAAGAGAGGGUUGAAUGUGAACAAGAAAGCUUUAUUGACCGAGCAAGUGAGUUCCAUCAUACAGUGCAAGUCCUAGUGAAGUACAAAGAUCCGGGUUGCCGUACCAUCUCAGUGAGUAUUGGAAGGACUUGUGUGGAGAAAGCUUUGUUGGACUUGGGAGCAAGUGUGAAUUUGCUAUCCUACUCUGUCUAUAAGCAGUUGGGAUUUGGAGAGUUGAAGCCAAUAUCCAUCACUCUAUCUCUAGCGGAUAGAUCAAUGAAGAUUCCAAGAGGGAUGAUCGAAGAUGUCCUGGUUCAAGUUAACAAAUUCUACUAUCCAGUAGAUUUUGUUGUUCUUGAUAUGGAUCCGGUUGUCAAAUGAACUAAUUAUGUUCCUAUCAUACUUGGAAGACCCUUCCUAGCUACAUCAAAUGCAAUCAUCAAUUGUAGGAAUGGAGUCAUGCAACUCACAUUUGUCAACAUGACAUUAGAGCUCAACAUCUUCCAUUUGUACAAGAAGCAUAUCCAUCAGGAGGAAAAAGAAGGUCUAGAGGAAGUGUGAAUGAUUGACACUUUAGUGGAAGAGCAUUGUGAUCGAGAAUGCAAAAAGAUUUAGUUGAGAAUUUUGGGGAUCUUGAUGAAAGGUUACUUGAACCCUCAGAUUUGCUUGCUACCCUACUCCAUUGGAAGAGAAGAGAAGAAAUUCUACCCUUAUUCAAUGAGGAGGAGACGCAAAGAGCUGCAAAGGAGAAACCCCCAAAACUUAUUCUUAAGCCACUACCCACAGAGUUGAAGUAUGUAUACUUGGAAGAAGACAAGAAGUGCCCUAUUGUUAUAUCUUCAACUCUUACCAUUCAUCAGGAGGAUUGUCUACUUGAAGUCCUUAGAAGAUGUAAGAAGACAAUAAGGUGGCUAAUUUCUUAUUUGAAAGGGAUCAGCCCUUUAGUCUGCACCCAUCAUAUUUACAUGGAGGAUGAAGCUAAGCUAAUUCAUCAACCUCAGAGAAGGUUGAACCCUCACAUGCAAGAGGUGGUUCGAGCUGAAGUUCUGAAGCUACUUCAGACCAGUAUUAUUUACCCCAUAUCAAAUAGCCCAUGGGUGAGUCCUACUCAAGUUGCGCCAAAGAAGUCUGGGAUCAUGGUGGUGCAAAAUGAUAAGGGAGAAGAUGUCUCUACACGCCUCACUACAGGUUGGAGGGUGUGUAUCAAUUACAGGAGGUUGAAUGCAGUGAUAAGAAAGGACCAUUUCUCAUUGCCCUUUAUUGAUCAGGUGCUUGAGAGGGUCUCUGGGCUUUUUUUUUUAUUGUUUCUUGGAUGGCUACUCCGGGUACUUUCAGAUAGAAAUUGAUGUUGAAAACCAAGAUAAGACCAUUUUCACAUGCCCAUUUGGAACCUAUGCAUAAAGGAGAAUGCCUUUCGGCUUAUGCAAUGCACCCGCAACUUUCCAAAGAUGCAUGUUAAGCAUUUUCAGUGAUAUGGUGGAGCGUAUUAUGGAAGUCUUUAUGGAUGAUAUCACCAUUUAUGGAAGUGCAUUUGAUGAAUGCUUGGUCAACUUAGAAGCUGUUCUGAACCGAUACAUUGAGAAAGACUUAGUGCUUAACUGGGAGAAGUGCCAUUUCAUGGUACACCAAGGGAUUGUCCUUGGGCACAUUAUCUCCAAGCAAGGCAUUGAAGUUGACAAAGCAAAGGUUGAACUCAUUGUUAAGUUGCCAUCCUCAACAAAUGUCAAAGGAGUAAGGCAAUUCUUUGGCCAUGUCGGGUUCUAUAGGAGGUUUAUCAAGGAUUUCUCUAAGCUUGCAAGGCCUCUUUGUGAAAUAUUGGUGAAUGAUGUUAAAUUCAUAUGGGAUGAUGGAUUUGAAAGGAGUUUUGAAGAAUUGAAGCUAUUUUUGACAACCGUACCAAUAGUGAGGGCUCCCAACUGGCAACUGCCCUUUGAAGUAAUGUGUGAUGUCAAUGAUUUUGCUAUAGGAUUUUUUCUUGGGCAAAGAGAAAAUGGAAAACCUUAUGUGAUCUACUAUGCGAGGAAGGCAUUGAAUGAGGCACAAAGAAACUACACAACCACCGAGAAAGAAUUGUUAGCUGUAGUUUUUGCCUUGGAUAAGUUUCGCGCUUACUUGGUGGGGUCCUUCAUCAUGGUUUUUACUGAUCACUUUGCUUUGAAGUAUCUGUUGACUAAGCAAGAUGCUAAAGCAAGGCUGAUUAGAUGGAUUCUCUUACUUCAAGAGUUCAAUCUCCAUAUCAAAGAUAAGAAAGGAGUGGAGAAUGUGGUAGCAGACCACAUUUCAAGGCUAGCUAUCGCACAUAAUUCCCAUGCUUUGCCCAUUAAUGACGAUUUUCUAGAGGGGUCUCUCAUGUUGGUGGAAGUUGUCCCUUGGUACGCUCACAUUGCUAACUACCUGGUCACGGGAAAAGUUCCAAGUGAGUGGAAAGCACAAGAUAAGAAGCACUUCUUUGCAAAAAUUCAUGCCUACUAUUGGGAAGAGCCAUUUCUAUUCAAGUAUUGUAUGGAUCAGAUAAUAAGGAAGUGCGUUCCUGAAGAAGAGCAACAGGGGAUCCUUAGUCAUUACCAUGAAAAUGCAUGUGGAGGCCACUUUGCUUAUCAAAAGACAGCCAUGAGGGUGUUGCAAUCGGGUUUCUGUUGGCCAUCACUUUUCAAAGAUGCCCACACCAUGUGCAAGAGUUGUGAUCGAUGCCAGAGGCUUGGGAAGUUGACACGCAGGAACAUGAUGCCUUUGAACCCCACUUUAAUAGUUGAUAUUUUUUAUGUUUGGGGCACUAACUUCAUGGGACCUUUCCCUAUGUCUUUUGGCUACUCUUACAUCUUGGUAGGAGUAGAUUAUGUUUCUAAGUGGGUUGAGGCAGUCCCAUGCAAACACAAUGACCAUAGAGUGGUUCUCAAGUUUCUUAAAGAGAAUAUCUUCUCAAGAUUUGGGGUGCCCAAAGCCAUAAUUAGUGAUGGGGGUACUCAUUUUUGCAACAAGCCUUUUGAAACUCUCCUAGCCAAGUAUGGGGUGAAGCAUAAGGUAGCUACACCUUACCACCCUCAAACUCAUGGACAAGUUGAGUUAGCAAACAGGGAGAUUAAAAACAUAUUGAUGAAGGUGGUGAACACAAACAGAAAAGAUUGGUCAGUCAAGCUUCUUAAUUCACUAUGGGCAUAUAGAACAACUUACAAGACCAUUCUCGGGAUGUCUCCUUAUCGCCUAGUUUAUGGCAAAGCAUGCCAUCUCCCUGUGGAAUUGGAAUACAAAGCUUGGUGGGCAAUCAAGAAGCUCAACAUGGAUUUGAGCAGAGCUGGGUUGAAGAGGUUCUUAGACCUUAAUGAGAUGGAGAAAUUGAGAAAUGAUGCCUACAUCAAUUCAAAAAUUGCAAAAGAAAAAUUGAAGAGGUGGCAUGAUCAGUUGAUUUCCCGCAAGGAUUUUCAAAAUGGACAAAGAGUCUUACUUUAUGACUCUAAACUCCACAUCUUUCCGGGCAAGCUGAAAUCAAGGUGGAUAGGUCAUUUUACCAUUCACCAAGUGCAUUCAAAUGGAGUAGUGGAACUACUCAACUCCAACAAUAUCGAGAACUUCAAAGUGAAUGGCCACCGUCUCAAGCCCUUUGUGGAGUCUUUUUCUCACAACAAGGAGAAAUUCAUCCUCCUUGAUCCACAUCAAGCUUAACAAGACCAAUUUUCUUGAUGGACUUAGUCUUUCUAAAGACUAUCGAGUCCAUAACUUUUUGUUUUAUUUUUUAUUUGAGAUUUUUUCGGUAUUGUUACUUGUUUUGUUUUUUAUUUUUCGUUUUAAUUUUAUUUGGUUUGAUUUAACUUAGGUUUUUGAUGAUCAAUUACAGGGGGGAUUUCAAAUAGAGGAAAAACCAAGAUAAUUCGCACACCCUACGAAAAUUUCGCAAGGCAUGCGAAAUUUAUGGCUUAUUUUGCAUGGGGUGAAAAUUUUCGUACAUCUUACGAACCAAUUUCGAACACUUUGCGAAAAUAAACCAACCCUGCGAAAUCAUUUCGAUUACUCUACGAAAUUUUCGUAGAGCAUGCGAAAAAUUUAGCACACCAAACACCAUUUCGCAUACUAUGCAAAAACCUAAGGGGUCUGCGAAACCAUUUCGCACCUCCAAAUCCAUUUCGCACAUUGUGCGAAAACCAAGAGGCGCUGUGCGAAAAUGAAAAGUCGCCCUGUCAUCCCUUUUUAAACCCCUCGAGCCCUAAAAUCUCCAUUUCGCAAGCACCCCUGUCCUUGCGAAUCCCUCAUUUUCCUCUACUACCUUGCAACCUCGUCCCUUUCCAUUUGAUAUUGUGCCCCGCGCACAUCUCAUUUCAGAGACUCGCACUCCGCGCCCCCUCAAAGCAUGGACUCGAGACCCACCUUCCAUUUCCGACGUGGCACGGACCCAAGGAGCCCUUUCUGCCCCUUCACUAAGACACACACCAAGGCAGAAAGCCUCCUUUGCUCAAGUGCCUAGUGAUUCUCCAUCUUAGGCCUCAGAGGCCUCGGAGGCCCCGUGGAUUCCACCUUCCGAGGGUAGAGCAGCCAUUGGUCCUUCCUCUUCUACUCCUUAGCGUAGAUACGAGACGAGGAGACCACCUACUACACAAGGGGCGACUACUUCGAGCCUUGAGAAUUCAGUACGAUGCCUUCCUGCCAAGAGGGUCAAGACUUCAGGUCCAAGUGAGUCAUCCAGAGCUUCAUAGCCUAAGCCUCCUGUAGAUUCCAAGGUUCCUACUGACAUAUCACCGGAGUCUAUUAUCAGAAGCCCGAUGCUCAUAGCACCGCCCAUUGAGGGCAACUCAGAUUAUAGAGCGAGAUCUUUCCACUUGGAGCUAUAUUUUGAUCAGGAGGCCAUACGACAGCAGCCUGAGCUCCGAGACUCUUAUGGCUUACUGCAGAGGUACCAUCUUGAGGAACUUAUGACUCCUCGUGAGUUUUUUUAUCCCAGAGUAGCACUAAACUUUUACCAGUCCAUGACUACUCGUGGCGUCCCGAGUCCUACCACGAUUCACUUCACCAUUGAUAGACGUCAUGGUAUCCUCAAGGCCAGACAUAUUACAGAGGCUCUACAAAUUCCUUUCGAGCUAGAGGAUCCAUCUGUUUUUCGCUAAUGGUCCCCAGUAUCUCAGAGGGACAUGGUCCGUAUUUUAUCUAGGGGAACAUCUACAGAUUCGAUCUUUCUACGGAAGGAGCUUCGACCUGGGAUGCUCCUCUUAGAUGUGGUGCUAUGCUCCAACCUCUUUCCCUUACAACAUUCGGUACAUAGGUGAUGAGCUAUUUUGGACGCUUUAUUCCGUAUAUCAGAGGGCUUCUACUUUGGCCCGCACCACUUGAUCAUGGUCUCCCUCAUCCACUUUGAGGAGAAGGUUCAUAGGAAGAAGCUUCAGAGGGUGGACACCAUUCCAUUACUAUUCCUGAGGUUACUUUGCCAGGUCUUGGAGUACAUGGGCUUUCCUACUGAGCCUCGGCUCGAGCUUUGCCGCCUUUGUCGAGAGUGAUCCACUCUCGACAAAUGGAAUUAGUUGGCGGGCUAUUCUGCACCUCCAGGAGCCCCUCCCAUGGUAGCACCUCCAAUGUCCCCACAGGCAAAGUAGGGCGAGCUCCCGGCAAAGACUGUACCACCAAUGCCCACACUUGAGGCUAUUUCUGCUGCUCUGCCUAUGACUCCUACUGUUCCACCAGUUGGUCCUUUUACAUCCGAGCCUUCCAUCACCAUCUCGGCUUCGGAGUUUCGCGCCCUUGUGCAUACCUUUCAGACACUCACCACCACACAUACUCCUCUCUUCUAGCAAAUGGUUGAGAUGUGUGCCCAUCAGGACCGGAAGACUACUAUACUCUGCCAAAUUCAGCAGCACCUAAGACUUUUGCCUCAACCUCAACCUAACCAUCCCAUAUCAUCAGAGCCUCUAGCUCCAACUGAGGAUACUAUUCCACCUGAGAACACUACCACAGUAGAGGUCCGGUUUCCACCACCUUAAGAGGCCACCACAGCUACAUCAGAGGAUGUGUCAUCUCCACUUGAGGCUCCCACUACUUGAUCAUAGGACAUAUCUUUAUCUUAUUGUAUUUACAUAUUAUAUUACUAGAGAUUUGUCCUUGUUUUGAUACUUUAUAUUCUGGGAUUGGAUGUAUUGCCUGAUGAUAUCUCAAUUGUACUUUCUCAUAUUAAUAUAUAGACAUCAAUUUUUUUUAGUAUACUUAGCAUUUUUCUAUUUCCUCUACUCAUUACUCUUUUGUUUUUUUUUACUCAUGUGGUUUCUCUUAUACAACUCAGACUCCAUUUCACUCAGGAGGUACCACUUCCUCCCUUUAUUUUCAAUUGCUCUUGAAAUAUUGAGUGCAAUGUUGAUCUUGGUUGGGGGGAGAGUUGAGGAAGGAAGUUUUGUUAAUAAUGCUAGGUUAAUUUGUUAAUUUAGUUACUUUCUGCUUAAUUUUAAAAGUUUUCACUCUACUUUCCAUGGUUAUUAAGGAAAAAUUCUCAAAAUGAAAUGGGAGAAAUCGAAUUCUUGCAUUUUUACUUGAAUCUUAGAAUUUGUAUCAUGCUUAUUAAAGUUGAUGAAUUAUUGAAACUCCUAUUGAAUUCAACCUUAUUUUUUCCACUUUAAUCUUACCACACACGGUGCACAUUAGGUUCCAGUUAUAAGAUAAAAAACUAUCUCACCCCCUAAACUUAGAAAAAUUUACACUUGGUACCUUUGACAUCGUUUUAAUAGUGUUGGGACACCUUAUAAAAGGCCAAUGAGCCUUUAAAAAAAAAAAAAAAAAAAAAAAGAGAAAGAACAAAGUAUUGCACUUGCCUUGAAACCUGAGCAAGAUCCGAGGGGUAUACAGUGAAAGUCUUUAAAACCUGGUGCCCUAAGCCUUGAUUGGUUGGGAGUCACCGACCUCAAUGCUCGUUAUAAGGGUGAAUAGGUGGAGUUUAACAUAUUGUAGGUGCUUGGGUAUUGAAUUUCAAUCUCAAAAGUCCGGGAAAAAAUCUAAGGAGUUAGUGGUCAAAAGAUCCUUAAAGCUUGAUGCCCUAAACCUUGAUUGGUUGAGAGUCAUUGAUGGAUCCCCGCUACAUGGACAUUUUAGAAAACAAUACCUUUAGCAUUGCACGCCUACAAUGAAAAAAAAAUGUGAAAUAAAAGAGGUGCGUUCUUAGCCUAUUGGAGGUUGGUCAGUUUGCUAAAGUUUGAGAAAUCUAGGUUGGGGGGAGAGAAUAGUCCGACAUACUAUAAUAAAAAACUAAUAACCUUAACACUUAGAUUUUUGUGGAAGAGUAAGGAUUGGACCUUUAGGGGUGGAAAUUCUUUUGAUGCUUAAAUUUGCAUAAUGCCUACUCUUUAUAAAUUAUGAUUAGGCAAGAGAUUUGAUGACUCUUGUUCAAAGUUGGGUUUUUCCUCUUUGAUGUUCCAUGAGAGAGUAUAAUCCUCAUCAUGCCACUUGAAAUCUUUUUGGAGUGAUUAACAUGAUUUUGUAAAUUAUUUUACUGUCUAUUUUUCUUUAUCUCUCUUUUAUUGCUAAUGGACUAGCAAUAUGUCAGUUGGGGGGAGUGAUUACUACUCAAAAAGUACUCUUUUAUAGCUUGAAACUAACUGUUUUAAACACUUUUGAGUAGGUGUUAAUACAUUUUAACUCAAUUGGCACAUUAAGGAACCUAACAAGGGUUACUAAUAAGUUUUUGGCAAGUUUUGGUGUUUUUGGUAGCUAUUUGAUCAUUGAAACAAGCCAAGAAUGAGGGAGAAUUUUGUGAAGUCCAUAGCAAUGCAAGUUAAAGCUCAAAUACAUGAAGAAUCCAAGCUUUGAAGCACUUCAUAGCCCUUUGCGAAGCCAAUCAGAGAUGCAAGGAAGAAAACCAGAGGAAAAAAUCCAACAACCAGCAUUUUCGCAUGGCUGUGCGAAAUUUUGCACACCAUGCGAAACCACAAGAAGUAGCCAAAGAAUUUUGCACACCAUGCGAAAUUUCGCAUGGUAUACGAAAUCUUCCUAUGCACCAACUCCGUUAUAUUUUUAUCUUCAGAUAUUUUGUGUAAUUUCCUAGUUUCUCCUUGUAACCAACCUAGAUAUUUUCUUUUAUAUCUUUUUUUUAUAUUUUUUAGGUAACAUCAUAUAUAGGGGGAGAGACAUAAGGAGGAUAUGGAUGUUUUUCAUAAAACACUUUUAAUUUUCUGGUAGUAAGAAAUAUACAAAGUUUUUUGCUCUGCCUUACCUUCUCAUUUUGUUUUCACCUAUCUUUCUAGCCAAACAACCUCUGAGAAUGAUUUCUCAGGGGAUGAGUAGUUAGGUUUUACGUUUCUUGGAGUGAGAGAAGCUAGGUGAAAGACCCAAAUGCUAAGGUGGGAGUUGUCCUUGCUUUAAAUGAAAGUAGUUGUUAAAUAUUAAUGGUUUUUAUUUUAAGGUUUAGCUUUAAAUCCCUUAAAAACACCUUGAAUGGCCAAUACUUGGUAAGCUUUUCGGAUUCUAUGGAUGCUUAUUGCUAGAUCCAUGGAUGUCAUUAGUUAUCAUUUAUGAGCCAUUGGAAGGUGGUUCAAGAUGAGAGUCUUUAGUGUUUGAAGCCAUUAAUGGGAAACAAUUACCAUUUUUUCAUGAAUCCUUUGGAUAAAAUCUUAAUUGCUAAAUAUAAAACUGGUUCGGGAGAUAACCAUCCUUUAUGUUAUUAUGCCCAAUGCAAGGAGAAGAUUUCGAAUCUUCUCAUUUGUCUAAGGAACCCGAUCCUAGUGACCUAAAGCUCCUAGAGACCUUUUCUUUGUAGUUAACUUCAUUUAUUGUUUUUGCUUAACUUAAAAUCAAUCUUUGCAACCACAAUUCCAUUUUCUUUAAAAGCUAAUUUUUAUAAGGAAAAGCACCAUUUUAUUUCCUUCACUAAGUCAACUGUAUGAUGAAAACCCAUCCCUGUGGACGAUCUUAGAGCCACUAUACUAUGUUAUCUAUGCUAUCCUAGUGUGAGGUGAUUUAGGUUUUAUAAAUUUUGUUGAUAACACCCGUCUGAGCCAGAAUCAAAUGGAACCACUGAACCAGGGACAAAUCAACAGCCUAUAUGGGAGGGACACAAGUUUAAUUGAUUUGCAUUUCAGCGUUAUAGAUAAGUAUGUUUUGGAAGAUUUGUUCUGGAAAUACUGCACCAAGUACGAUUCUUUUUCUCUUGAGUGAGUCCAUUUGCAUGCCAAUUAACGAGUUGAAAAGUAGGAGCACCUACCUCGUGCUCAUGGAACCGAAUGUCAGUGAAGUGGGGCUCCUUUUAGCCUCUUGUGUUUCUGUUCCAACCAAGGCGGCGUAGGGAAAAACAACAAUAUGUCUGUGCUAAAUAUCAACGCAUGAUAGAUGUUUUUUUUUUUUUUUUUGGUAUGUCAAGGCUAACGAAUGAAAUGCAUUAGCUUGUUUUGUGACUAUAACUGCAAAUGUCCAAAUUGGAGUAUCUCCAUUUCUCACUUCGGAUGGUUAACUUUAUAAACAAGAUAUAGGAAACAUGUGAACAUCUUGAGGAACAAUUCAAAUUAUUCAUUAGAAGUCCUGGGUUAAGUUCCAAGAUUUAAAUCAGACCCUUCUAGCAGCUUCAAGGGUACUUAGCAACCUAUAACAUAUUAAUGAAGAUUUAGGAUUUAGACUCCGGAAUACAAAUAAAUAUGUAUCUCAUGCUUUGACUAGCUUCCCUACAUAUGCAUAAAAUGGAGAUGACCCAAAAAAAAUAGCAGAAUCUAGCUUCCCUACAUAUGCACAAAAUGGAGAUGACCCAAAAAAUAGCAUAAUCGCCUUAGUUUCUGUGGUUAAGGUGAUUCUCCGCUUAAUAUCCACAUUGACUCAUUAUGCAAAAUCAACUGAGCUAAUUUUAUUUAUUUAUUUAAUGUCAAAUAGGAACUCCUAAUUAACUGAUUACUGUCGAAAAGUGCUAUUUUGUAGACCUAAUUAUAAGGGUUUUAAGCACCUUUGAGUAGUAAUCAUAUUCAUUUAACCUAAUUAAUUCAUUAAGCUCCUUAGUAAUUAGUUCUAACCAUUUUUAGUGGCAAGUUUACAUGUUUUUCAUCAGCUUAUGAACCAAUUCAAGCAUGCCAAUUGAUGGAGGAGCUACUUGGGCGAGUUAAGCAAGGAUUUUGGACGUUUACAGGCUUGAAUUUCAAGUGGAAACACGAGCACAAGCAAUGGGAACACCAUUUCGCAAGGGGAGGCAAUUCACCUUGCCAAAUGACCAAUUUCGCAAGGGGAUUUUCCUCAUGGUGCAAAAUUUGGUCAUUUCGCACCAUGAAGAAACCACCUUGCAAAAUUUCGCAAGGUGGAUUUAGGCACCUUGCGAAAUGCCAAAUUUCACAAGGUGGCUUUUCACCUUGCGAAAUUUGGACCUUUCAUCUUCCCCCCUUGCGAAAUGCCUUUGAAAUCCCCUGUUUUGAGACGCUGUUGAUGAUAUUCCACUGCCGGUUCUCCAAGAUAUUUUGCUUGACUUUUAGCUUUAUAAAUACCUAUUUUACCCUUGUAAUCAACCAAUGAAAAGGUUGCUUUUGUAAUAGCUCUUGUAAUUUAGCUUUUUAUUGUCUUUAAAUAGAGGUGAAGAGCCUCAGACACGAUCAUCUUGUAACCUGUAACUUUAUAAGUUAUAAGAGCACUUUUGUUCAUACGCUUCUUUUCUCUUUUCUUUCUCAUUUUCUUAGUAGCCAAACAUCCUUGGAGGAUGAAAUCCCCAAGGAUGAGAGGCUAAAACCUUUUAGUUUCUUGAAGUAAUGGAUGCCAUGUGAAGCUCCCGUGUCAGGAUGGAGAUUUCCAAGCCAUAAAUGUAAGUAGCUGAGCGUCAUAAAUGUUUUCAUUCAAAGUAAAGCUUUUAAUCCCUCUGACUUGCUUUGAAUGGCCAAUACUUGAUAACCUUUUGGUCUCAAUGGAUUCUUAUUGUUAGAUCCACUGACGUUCAUUAGUUAUCUCCUACGAGCCAUUGUAUUGCAAGUCGAGGAGAUGACCUAUACCAAUAAAAGAGCAUUUAUGAGGUUCAACUACCCUUUUUGUAAGUUUUCAAGGACUAAAACUCAGUUGUUAAACUCAUACCGGUUCGAGAAGUAAGCAUCACCUUAGUUGCUUCCCCAACUCGAGGUGAAAAGUCCCAAAAUCUCCAUUUUUACACAGUGAGUUAAGCAUGGCUAUCCAAAGCUUUAAGAAACUUCUUUUUCCAUCUUUUAACCUAUUUUCAUGUUAGUUUAGUUUACAACACCUUCAUCUUUUUAUGUUUUCAUCUUAACCUAAUUUUUAUUAAGAAAAGUUCACUCCAUCCUCCGAACUUCACCAGUUAAAGUAAAAACCCUUCCCAGUGUUCGAUCCUAGAGCCACUAUGCUAUAGUAGCUUUGCUACUUUAGUGUAAGGACCUUAGGUAUAAAUUUUGUUGAUACCCUUACAUGCCAAGCUACCAAGAGUCGGGUUAUCAUUAACCUAACCAUUGGCCUGUGUAAAUUGAUUUCACAUGCACAAUGUUGUAGUAGAAGUCCAUAUUUUGAAUUUUAUUUUUGUAAAGGUAAGGAAAAUGAAGCAUUGUGUAAUUAUAAAAAUAACUUCAUUGGAAUUCACAAGGUUCACCCAAAAUGGAGCUACAUCUGUAUUCUAUCCUACAGUAGACUAUAUAGAUUGUACAAUAGUAAAUUGCAAAUACAAUUAAUAAGUCUUGUGCUUCCUUACUAAUAAUCCUUUGACAUGAACAUUGCAGCACUAAGGUCCUCUUGGGAAGACACCUUGCACCCAUGAGAGCACUAAGAGGAAGCAAGGCAGAGUCAUGGGUGCAAUGUCAUGACUUGUUGUUGCACCAAGAGAGGCUUGGUGAUGCCAUGGUGUUGCAGUAGCAAGAAUGUUGCCUUGGCAGGGACACGAUCUAGGGAUAGAUGCCAAGAAAGGCUUAGCACUCACAUGAGUUGCACAAAGAUGAAUGUAAUAGAGCAUCAGAGAGACGUCUUGGCAAGUAAAUGAAUGGAUCCAAGAGACAACAACAUGAGGAGUUUCAAAUGGAUAAGGAAUGACUCAAAGACAUUUGAAAGCUACAAGUUGGAUUCUAAUUACGAUUGCAAUUUGAGUUUGAGUAGGAGUUUAGAUUUUGAUUGUAAUUGUAGUAUGAGUUGGACUAGGAUUGCUUAUCCUUAGUCAAUAUAGGAGCGGUUCGUGUCACCCUAUGAAAAGAGUUUGAGUAGGGACUAGGAUUGCUUACUCCUAGUCAAAUAUGGAGUAGGUGGUGCCACACCUAUAAAAAAAAGGGACAACAUGAGAGAGAGAGAGAGAGAGAAAGAGAGAGUGAAUUCACUAAAGAUAUUGUGGGAGUUUUGCUUUGUUACGUCUUGUAUUAUUACUUAGAAUAGGAAUAAAAUACAAGUUGGGGCUAGAGCCCCAUAAUUAAUCUCGUGUGCCUUUGUGGUUAUUCUUUAUUUGUCAUCUCGUGUGGAUUGGAUUAGGUUGACUUAGAGGGCUUCUAAGCACCACCUUUGUGGGUUAUUAUUUAUUUUCCAUCUCUUGUGGAUUAGAUUAGGUUGACUUAGAGGGCUUCUGAGCACCACCUUUGUGGGUUAUUAUUUAUUUUCCAUCUAUUGUGGAUUAGAUUAGGUUGACUUAGAGGGCUUUUAAGCACCACAUUUGUGGGUUAUUCUUUAUUUUCCAUAUCGUGUGGGUUGGAUUAGGUUGACAAGGAGAAAAAUUAUGUGGGAAAUUUGUGUUGGGACACUUACCAUAACCAAGUAAAAUCUACCAAGUCCUUUGUAAUAUCUUCAACAAAUAUUUUAGACUAGUUCUUUCAGUUAGUGUAAAGGAGGAAGAAGUGGUAUUGAUUCUAGAAAUAGGGUGUGUGUAUUUGAACUACAAUCCUUAUGAUCCUUAGGUCUCUAAACCUUCGUGAUGGGCUCCCUGACAUUUCAUAGGUUGUGCUACACAUGCGUUUGAAAUUUAGAGUGCGUUUGACAGUGAUUCCGGGAAGUGUUUUUGGCCUUUCUUACACUUGAAAAUUUUUAUUUUUCAAGUAUUAGAAAUGCUACAAACACUUUUGAAAAUUACUGUCAAACACACUCUUAGGAGCGCACAUAUAUAGUAGAAAACUAGAAAUUGUGGUUUUUUUAGGAUUUACUGUAAUGUCAUUAGGAGGGUAGUAAGUUGAAAUUGAGUAUGAACAAAUAUUUCUUUCUUUGGGAUGUUCUUCUAGUAGGUGCUGAUGAAACUGUUCUUUCUACUGCCAAUGUCACAUAUCAGCCAGAAAUUGAAAAUUUCAGUCAAGGUGUCCUCUGUUUUAGUGGUGAGGAAAGCUAGAAAUUUUAAGGUGAAGUUUUGUUAAAAACCUUAAGUAGCUGGGAUAUCAGGCCUGUUUUGCUUGAAAAAAAAAGUUGCAAGAUAACUCAUAUGCCAAACAGGUUCUGAUAUUGUGAAUCUAUCGGCAGACAUCAGUAAUCUCAUCUUCUGAGAUGGAUGUUGGGGGUGCAUGUGGUGGUGGAGGGGCAAGGUUUCAUUUGGUUUAUUUUGUUGAUGGAUAUUGUCUAGCCACCUGCGCCAAGUUUGAGGGGUGGUGGGUUGUGAUGACCCUACAAUUACUAUUAAUUUCUUCAUCUUUUACCGAUUAAAGUGUCCGAACAGUCGAAGUUACCCUUAUGCAUGUCAACUUGAUCACUUACCUCUUCAAUGGAGUUUAUGCUGGUUCAUUUAGGAACUGAUUUUUAUUGUUAUGUAUUAUAUGCUGAUGUUUAGGUCUCUCCAUCAUCACUAUAUACAAAAAUUCUAGGUUGAUACUAUAGGUUGAGAUUUAUUUUUUAAAUAAAAAAUAAUAAAAAUAAAAAUUAUGGUGAUGUUUAGUUGUUUUAUGGAAAAUUUUAACAAGUAAAAGUUAUUUUUGGGCAAGUUUUCAAACAAAAAGAAAAGUAAAAGUUGUUUUGACAAAAACAUAUAGAAAAAAAAAUCAUAGAAAAUAAAUAAUUUCCCCAUAUUCUAACUUUUUUGAAUUUUUCUCAAUGGGCAAAGGAAUAUCAAAUCAAGUUUGAGUAGGAUUUCUUAAUUUUUAAAAUAACUUACAAUUAAAAAAUUUUGGUGUUUUCAUUUUUGGACAAUUUUUUAUUAAGCAAAUGGACUCUGAGUCAUGCAAGAGAUAUGGUUCAUUAACCGGUCGAACAAUUUUUUUAAAUUAAUUUAAAAGUCAAAUACAUAAUCAAUUUCACAAAAUUUAUAAACAAAAAUAGGUUUAGAGAAGAUCUACACAUAAUUUUACUUUUCUAAUUUUAUUUUAUUUUAUUUUUUGUUGGAAAAUAGUCUUCAAAUCAUGUAAGAUUUAAUAGGUUAAAUUUGUUAACAAUAAAUUUUAAAUUAUAAAAUAUAAUCUGGAACUCAAAAAUCAAUUCAAGUAAUGCUAAAAAAAAAUCAAAUUUGGUAUAGAAUGACUUUGUAAAUUUUUUUACAAAACAAAUGAAUUUUAAAUCAAGUGAGAUUUAAUGCAUUAGAUUUUUAUCAAAUAUAGUAAUUUUAAAAAUAAAUUUGGAACUCAACAAUAGACACAAUAAAUACCAAAAAAUAAUGAACCAAAAUUGGUUUGGAAUAACUCCACAACCUUUUUUUUUUUUUUUUGGUGCACACGAAUUUUCUUACUAGGUAUAUUGCUUUCAAAUUGAGAAAGAUUUACCAUUUAGAUUUUUUUUUAAUGAGUUUAAUGGUAUUUUAAAAUAAUUCAAAAUUUAAAAAAUUGACUAAUUAAUAUUAUAAAUUGAUAAACCAAGACUAUUUCAAAAUGCAUUGGGGGCUAAGGGGGUUGAAAAUAGGGACAAUGGGAUGGGUUUGGGACAUGACACUCAUAUCUCAUUUCCAUUCCAAUUACACAGUUAUCUCCCAUCCUUAUCCCAAACUUGUGUUGGAGCAAGUUGAUUUGUUCCCAUCUUUGUUGACGAAAUGACUAAUAACCUCAUCCCCUCCUUAUCUUAGAUGUACAUUUUGUCAAAUUUGAUCAGGUAUGAUUGAUCCAAGCCCUAACCCUAAUUGGUAAUGAGUGAAUACUACACCUAAUUGCAUUCUUCUUUCAUUGCAAAAUAAUGAGAUUAUAAUAAUCUAGCAAAUAAGAAAAAAUAGUAUGGAAGUUCAAAUUAACACCAUAACUAUCAAUAAUUUUAAGCUUAUAGAUGACUUAAAUGAUUAAAAACUAAUGCAAAAUCCUAAAAAAAAUAAAAAUCAUAUAAAGAAUUCACAAGAGAACAGAAUGAACAAAAACCAAAUAUGAACAUGGGUCAACAUUAGUUAUGGAUUUGGAUUCCUUUCAAGGCCAAUCUUUGAACCAAGACUUCAUCAAAUCAACUACUUCAAAGGCUUUUGUGUUCUUCUUGGGUUGUGCUCUCAAACAAAGACUUCGAGGUGAUGUUCUAGAUGAUUGAAUUACACAUAUUUAGGGUGGAGAGAUUGGAGAAGCUUGAAGAUGCCAACGAUGGGUACAAUUGAGUGGUCAAUAAGAACAAUGUAGCCUAUGACUAGUUUGAUGUCAUGGUACAAGAGUUUUAGGCAUUGAGGUUAAAGCAAGAGCAACAUGGAAUUGAUUUCGGAGUCUUUCAGUUAGUGUAAAGGAGGAAGAAGUGGUGUUGAUUCUAGAAAUAGGGUUUUAAGUGGUGCGUGAUUACUACUCAAAAAGUGCUAUUUGAUAGCCUUUAAUUAAUCCUUUUUAACACUUUUGAGUAGUAGUUUAGGCCUUUUAACUCAAUUGGCAUGUUAAGGAUCCUUUAAAGCAAUUUUGAUCACUUUGUGCAAGUUUUGGUGUUUUUGUUAGUAUUUUGAUCACCAAAGCAAGUCAAGAAUGAGGAGAACUAUGAGGAAUCAUGGGCAAAGCUUAGAAUUCAAUUGCCAAGAGUGAAUCCGGAUUGCAAGGAGAAAAAGCAAAGAGAAUCUGUCAUGAAGCCUAUUCUUGAUGACAGUCGUAGCAGCCACUUUUGGAGCACUUUCUGAAGUCCAAAUGAUGCAAGCUAUAUACCAUUUCAAAGAUCAGGAAGUCAACAAUCCAAUGCUUCAAACGGUGCGCGAUUCGGAGUUGAAACGAAGAAGUUGCAGCCAUUACAAGCCAGUCACUCUAAAGUGUUGCGGAAUCAGCCUUUUGUUGCGAGAAUUUCGCAGCACUUUUGUACAGUAAGGUGUUUCUCCUUCUGACGAUGCACGAACCAUGCCGCGAGAGGGAAGCUAGGAACUUCAAGAUGGAAGCCAACUUUGCAGCCUGGUGAAGAUAGCUUGGUCUUGCGAAAUAAUUUCGCAGCCCUCUUGGGUGUCUGCGAAAUUUCGCAGGCACCACUUUUUUCCUGCGAAAUGGCUCCGGAAGCCUCCCGAAGCUUGCUACCGACAUUGGGAGAUAUUUUCCAUUAGAUUUUUGUUGUCUAAAUUCCAAAAUACUCCUUGUAAACCACCAAUUACAUGAUUCCUUAGUUUUUAAGUUAGUAAAAAGACCAAAUAUCUAUGUAAUAAUUAGUUUUAUAUUAGUUUGCUAUAAAUACCUCUCGGGAGCAUGUUCUCAGAGAGGAGUUCCUUCUGUAACCAUUUUGGUAAGCAAGUAAAGUCUUUUCUUUCUACUGCCUUACCUUCUCACUUUGUAUUUUCAUUUUAUUUCUAAGUUAUGAAUUCUCUGAGGAGCUUUCCCCAGAGAAUGAGUAACUAAACCUCCAAUUCCUUGGAGCUAAGGUUGCCGGGGAAGGUUCCAAGUGCAAGAAUGCAAAGCUCUGUGGUUUUAGCUAGUAAUGAAGAGGAAGUGAAAUCCUUUAGUGAUUUCAAUGUUUUUAGUUAACUUAAAACACCUUGGAGUCACCUGGGCCAACACUUGGUAAGGCAAGUGAUUUCCAACCGUGGAAAUGCACUAGUUUACCCCUUGCGAGCCUCUGGUAGGUGACUUCAAGGUAGGAUUUUCUGGAAUUACCAACACUUGGUAAGCUUUUGGACUCCUAGGAGACAUCCAUUAGUUAUCUCUUGCGAGUUUGUGAAGGGGAAUCCAAGGUUAAAGAUCACCUUGAAUGGUAAGUGCUCGUGAGAGGCAUGAACCAUUGCAAGUUGUAUCAGUGAGAGAAUUAAAGUGAAAUCUAAUUGAAGGAGUCUCUGUACAUCACCGGUUAGAGAAUUGACUAUAAGUUGAAUCUCUAAUGCGAGGAAAUGAACCAUCUGACCGGAGCUAUGUCUUUUGCAUGAGGAACCACCCCAGUGAACCUAAAUCUCCAAGGAAUGCUUUUCUUCCUAAAUUAUUCCAAACUUCUGUUAAGUUAGUUAGUUUAAGUCUAAACCUUUACCAAUCAAACUUUGUGUUUUAUUUCUUAAGCUAACCGUGAAAUGAAACAAAACCAAUUCACUUGGAAUUGGUAUCCUUGAUUGCUUGCAAAUCAUUCCCAGUGAACGAUCCUUAGAGCCACUAUACUAUAGUAGCUUUGUAUUUGCUACCCUAGUGUAUGGUGUUAUAGGUAUAAAUUUUGUUGAUCACUUCCUCAAUCAAGGAACACCAGCUGAACACAAAUCAGCUGAGACACCAAUUGGGCAUGAGUCAAAUGGCGCCGUUGCCGGGGAAUGAGUGUCAAGAUCAUUGUGAUACCAUUUUUGAGCACUUGUGAUUUUCAUCACAAGUUGGUAAAGUUUCUUUCACUUUACUAAUUUUCAUUCUCUCUUUGUUUAUUUACAAUCUAAGUUUAUCUUUUUAAAAUUUAGUCUAGUUUAAUUUUGCUAUUGUAGCCUUGUUUCUCUUGUUGUCCUCUGUUCUUGUUGUCCUCUGUUUUCAUUUUAGUUGCAGCUGAAUACUAGUUGUGUAUGCCAAAGUGGAUACGAGACAUUGGAGGUAGGCUUAUUAAGUGUGAUACACCUCAGAGAGGAGAAUUGGAAGUAAUCUUGAAUAUCAUGGAGGCUGCACCUGAAGAUCAGCAUAGUCACCAAGGUCGUCAAGACAAUCUCAAUGAAUUCAGAUCAAUGAGGGACCGUAUGCAUCCACCUCGUAUGAGUGCACCAUCAUGUAUAGUGCCCCCUACAGAGCAACUAGUGAUCAGACCAUAUCUUGUUCCACUUCUACCAACUUUCCAUGGGAUGGAAAGUGAGAAUCCGUAUGCACACAUCAAGGAAUUUGAAGAUGUUUGUAAUACAUUCCAAGAGGGAGGAGCUUCAAUUGAUUUGAUGAGGCUUAAGUUAUUUCCUUUUAAUUUAAAGGAUAAGGCCAAAAUUUGGCUUAAUUCUUUAAGGCCAAGGAGUAUCCGCUCUUGGACUGAUUUACAAGCUGAAUUCCUCAAGAAAUUUUUUCCUACUCAUAGAACAAAUGGCUUGAAAAGGCAAAUUUCAAACUUCUCAGCUAAAGAGAAUGAGAAAUUCUAUGAGUGUUGGGAAAGAUACAUGGAAGCUAUAAAUGCUUGUCCUCACCAUGGCUUUGAUACUUGGCUACUGGUGAGUUAUUUUUAUGAUGGUAUGUCCUCCUCAAUGAAGCAACUCCUCGAGAAAAUGUGUGGAGAAGAUUUCAUGAGCAAAAAUCCAGAGGAAGCUAUGGAUUUCUUGAGCUAUGUAGCUGAUGUUUCAAGGGGAUGGGAUGAACCAACUAAAGGAGAAGUGGGAAAGAUGAAGUCUCAGUUGAAUGCUUACAAUGCAAAGGCUGGGAUGUAUACUUUAAAAGAGGAUGAUGACAUGAAAGCAAAGUUGGCAGCUAUGACAAGAAGAUUGGAGGAGCUGGAGCUGAAAAGAAUGCAUGAAGUGCAAGCUGUUGCUGAAGCACCAGUGCAAGUGAAGUUGUGUCCCAAUUGUCAAUCGUUUGAACAUUUGGUAGAGGAAUGCCCUGCAAUUUCAGCUGAAAGGGAAAUGUAUAGAGAUCAAGCAAAUGUUGUUGGACAAUUCAGGCCCAAUAACAAUGCUCCUUAUGGAAAUACCUACAAUUCAAGUUGGAGGAAUCAUCCAAAUUUUUCAUGGAAGGCCAGAGCAACUCAAUACCAACAGCCGGAUCCACCAUCUCAACAAUCUUCAAGUAUUGAACAAAUAAUAGCUAAUCUCAGCAAGGUAGUGGGAGAUUUUGUGGGAAAGCAAGAAGCCACCAAUGCUCGAGUGGAUCAAAGAAUGGACAGAGUGGAUCAAAGAAUGGACAGAAUGGAGAGUAUGUUGAACAAAAGAAUGGAUGGAAUGCAAAAUGAUAUGAAUCAAAAAUUUGAUAACAUCCAAUAUUCAAUUUCAAGGCUUACAAAUUUGAAUACACUGCAAGAAAAGGGAAGAUUUCCUUCUCAACCUAACCAAAAUCCCAAAGGUGUCCAUGAAGUGGAAAGCCAUGAGGGAGAAUCAUCACAGGUGAAAGAUGUGAAAGCUUUGAUCACUCUAAGGAGUGGUAAGAAAAUUGAGCAGCCAACACCCAAGCCACAUGUUGAGAAAGAAGAAGAGAUGAAGAAAGGGAAGGAAAUGGAAGAUAAAGGCAGUGAGAUCAGUGAAGAAAAGAAGGACUCUGAUGCAACAAUGAAAGUAAUUCCAGAGAAGGAGCUUCUGAAGGAAGAAAUGCUGAAGAAAUCAACUUUUCCACCUUUUCCUCAAGCAUUACAGGGGAAAAAGGGGGUUAGAAAUGCAGCUGAAAUCCUAGAAGUAUUGAGGCAAGUGAAAGUUAAUAUUCCACUGCUGGAUAUGAUCAAACAAGUUCCAACGUAUGCAAAAUUCCUAAAGGACUUGUGUACUAUCAAAAGAGGGUUGACUGUAAACAAGAAAGCCUUCUUGACUGAGCAAGUAAGUGCAAUCUUACAGUGUAAGUCUCCUUUGAAGUACAAAGACCCUGGAAGUCCUACCAUUUCAGUCAUGAUUGGAGGAAAGGUAGUGGAGAAAGCCUUGCUAGACUUGGGAGCAAGUGUGAAUUUGCUUCCAUAUUCUGUCUACAAGCAACUGGGACUUGGAGAGUUGAAGCCAACAGCAAUCACUUUGUCUCUGGCAGAUAGAUCAGUGAAAAUUCCAAGAGGGGUAAUUGAGGAUGUAUUGGUUCAAGUAGAUAAUUUCUACUAUCCUGUAGAUUUUGUUGUUCUUGAUACAGAUCCUACUGUAAAGGAAGCUAAUUUAGUUCCUAUCAUCCUUGGAAGGCCAUUUCUUGCAACUUCAAAUGCAAUCAUCAACUGUAGAAAUGGGCUUAUGCAACUCACUUUUGGUAACAUGACACUGGAUCUAAAUAUUUUCUAUAUGUCUAAAAAGCAAAUCACUCCAGAAGAAGAAGAGGGUCCAGAAGAGCUAUGUAUUAUUGAUACUUUGGUGGAGGAGCACUGCAAUCAACAUAUGCAAGAUAAGUUGAAUGAAAGUUUUGUGGAUAUUGAGGAAGGUUUUUCUGAAUCUCCUAAUGGGCUUGCUACUCUACAAAGUUGGAGAAAGAUAGAAGGAAUUCUACCUUUGUUCAAUGAAGAAGAGGAGGCAGCUGUUGAAAAAGAAAUUCCAAAACUCAAUCUGAAGCCUUUACCUAUGGAGCUGAAAUAUACAUAUCUUGAAGAAAAUAAUCAAUGUCCUGUCGUAAUAUCUUCAUCUCAAACCAAGUCUCAAGUGAAGGAUGCAAGCUUCAAAUGGGAUCCGGGCAAACUGAAUCAGGAAGGGCAAAAAGUUUUGAUGUAUGACACAAGACUCCAUAUCUUUCCUGGGAAGCUCAAGUCAAGGUGGAUUGGUCCAUUUGUUAUUCACCGAGUAUAUUCCAAUGGAGUGGUGGACUUAUUGAAUUCCAAUGGCAAGGACAGCUUUAGAGUCAAUGGAUAUCGUCUUAAGCCGUUCAUGGAGUCAUUCAAAUCAGAAAAGGAGGCAAUCAACCUCCUUGAACCUCAAAAAGCCUAAGUGAAAUGGGUUUGCUGGACGUGGUUUUACCACAGUCCAAAAAUUUUUGUAAAUUUUGUAAAUUUUCAAGUUGUUUCCAUGCUUUUAAUCUUAGUUUUUGAUUUUAAAUCAUGUUUUUAGGUGUGUUUUAAUCGUUUUAUAUGAUCCCAGGCGGAAGAAAUUUCAAGGGGAUUGAAAAGAAAAAAAUCGGGUCGAAAUUGGAGCCGAAACAGAGCAAAAACAGGGGAAAAACAGAGCUCUGCGAAAUUUCGCAGGGUGAAGGAAACUUCUGCGAAAUUGGCAUUUUGCUGCCAAACCAUUCCGCAGCACUGUAGAAGCCUCUGCGAGUGUAUUUCGCAAUUGCGAAAGUGGAUUUGGCACACGAGUGCCACUUCGCAGCACAGUGACAUCAAUUUCGCAGCUGCGAAACUCACUGCGAAGUUGCUGCGAAAAUGGCAAGUUGCUGCGAAAUUGGCGUUUUGUUGCGAAACGUAAUCUGACCCCUGGGCUUCCGUUUUUCCUAUUUAUACCUGUCAAAAGUGCUGCGAAAAAGGUUUCAAAAAUUAGAGCACCAUUCUCGCAGCCCUUUCAUCUUCUUCGCCAAGCCACGCCGUCCGUUUCUCCGGUCGUCUUCUCCGUUUAGCAGCGCCGGCCAAAGAUCGAUAGCCCAAAAAUGGCACGAACGCGAGGGGCAAAGUCUUCAUCCCCUUCGAACCGCAAAAGGAGUCUGCGAAAGGAGCCAAGUUCAGGCUCUGUUCCAGAACCUGCUCCAAAGCCUUCGCCGUCGAGACCACAACCUUCUCCAGUGAAGCCGGCGCCACCAAAGCCGCCGGCAAGGCGAUAUUUAACCAGGUCAGGUGGUCAGCCAUUGAAGAAGAAAGCCAGAGUUGAGAGCUCUGAACCAAUCGAUUUGACUGAGCAAUCCCCUGAGAAAUCACCAAAUCCUUCACCGGUACAAAUUCCAGUGCCAUCACCGGUUCCCUCGCCAAUUCCCUCACCAGAAGCAACUCCAAUUCCAUCGCCGGUACCAUCUCCGGCACCCCAAGAAAAAGCUCAGGAGCCUCAAGCGCCAAUUCCAGAGCCCCAAAUUGCAGCUGAAGCACCUCUGGAAGAAGUGAUCCGAAGGCCAAUGCUGCCUCAGCCCCCAAUCGAAGGAAACCUGGAUUGCCGAACUCGGGCAUUCCAUUCUGAGCUUUGCUUCGAUUUAACAGCAUUCAGAGUGAGGCCAGAGCUUGCCCAAUCCUUCCAACUGCUGAGGAGAUAUCAUAUGGAGCAUCUGCUAGCUCCAAGGGAUUUUUUCUAUCCCCGGGUAGUCACGGAUUUCUACCAAACCAUGACAACCAAAGAAGUAAGAAAUCCAACUCUGAUUCAUUUCAUAAUUGAUGGAAGGCAUGGUAUUUUGGGAGCAAGACAUAUUGCUGAAGCCCUGCAAAUUCCUUUUGAGCCAACUCAAUUCGACAAUUUUAAAGCUUGGACAAAUCCUACUGAGUUAGAGAUGGUUAGCACACUAACCAGAGGAGCUGCAAAUCGAUCGCAUUUGUUGAGGGGGGAGCUACCUCCAGUUAUGUUUUUGAUUGAUGCCUUUUUGAGGCAUAAUAUCUAUCCCCUGCAGCAUUGGACCCAAAGAAGGGGAAUUCUCCUAGAAGCCUUGUACAAAAUGUCUGAAGGAUUCUUCUUUGGGCCUCAUCAUCUGAUCAUGGCAGCCCUUCUAUACUUUGAGGAGAAGGUUCACAAGAAGAAGCUUCAAAGAGCAGAUUGCAUUCCACUCCUCUUCCCAAGGCUGCUAUGCCAAGUUUUGGAGCAUCUCGGAUACCCCUCUGAGCCUCAGCAGGAAAGAAAGAGAAUAUGCCGUGAGCCUUUUACCCUUGAUAAAUGGAAUAAUAUGACGGCCUACAAAAUUGAUCAGCCUGGGCAGCCUCAGCCAGCAGCAAGGAGAGUCUCCCCAAGACAUAUACCUGAAGGUAUAACACUUGCUACUCCUGCCAUCCCUCGAGCUCCACCAGCUGCACCUGCUCCAUCACAGCCAUCCACAUCAGCUGAGCCGAGGAUGGCCAUCCCUAUAUCCGAAUAUCGAGAGCUGUGCCGUGCAUUGGAGACUCUUACAGCUUCUCAGAGCAAUCUUGCUCAGGAGUUGGCAGCCAUUAAAGCAUGCCAGGAGCAGAUGUUAGCCUCUCAGACUCAACAAGCUGCCAUCCUAAGGCAGCUUCAAGUCCAUUUCGAUCUGCCACAAGCUGUAGAGCCCUCUAUUCCUACUCCACCAGAGCCACACUCUCAGCCUUCAGAGUCUCAUCCUCCAGAACCCGAAGCACCAGCUGAUCCACCUACUGAGGAGGCAGAUCCUUCUGCCUAGCACCAUCACCCCCCUCAUCAGACAUUAUAUAUAUAUUUGCUGUUUAUGUUUUUAUGCAUGUUUGUUUUGUUUUAGUUGAAAAGAAAUCCCAGUAUUUUGGUACUAUAUAUGGGAUUCCUUGUGUUACUUGUCUUUAGUAUUGUAAUCACAUGAACUCAAAGUAAUACAAGUUGACUAUUUCUUGUUAAAAGUUAGCAUUAAAGUUUCCUUAUUUCCUUUUCUCACAUAUUCUAUUCUUUUUGAAACAUGUGGUUUUCCCCAAUCAAUAUUCGAAUUUGAUAUCAGCAUGGAGGUACCACUUCCUCCCUUUUAUUACAGUCACUCAAAUCACAUUGAGGACAAUGCUCAGUUCGGUUGGGGGGUAUGAGGAAGGAAGUAUUCUAAACCUUUUUGGUAUUGCAAUUAUAUUGGUUAAUUAGUUGUAGAUUUUACUUUUUACUAGUGUUACUCUAUUCUCCAUGAAUUUUGAGGAAAAAUUUUCAAAUUAAACCAAGAGAAAUUGAACUGUUGUUUUUCACUUGACUUAGAGUAUGGAUUAUGCUUACUAAAGUGGUUCAAUUGUUGAAACUUCUACUGAAAUUGAAUUGAGUUCUUCCACUUUAAGCUAUCCACACACUGUGCACAUUAGUUUCCGAUUAUAAGAUGAAAAGCUAUUUCCCUCUUGACUUAGUAUAUUUUUGGGACUUGGUAUAUUUGACCUCAUUUGAUAAAAAUUGAAACACCCUGCAAAAGGCCAAUGAGCCUUUGAAAUAAAGAAAGUUGUUUGCUUGCCUUGAAACCCGAGCAAGGUCUGAGGGGUAUAUGGUGAAAAUCUUUAAAGCCUGGUGCCCUAAGCCUUAAUUGGUUGGGAGUCACCGACCUCAAUGCUCGUUACAAGGGUGAAUAGGUAGAGUUAGCAUAUGGUAGAUGCUUGGGUAUUAGAAAUUCAUUCUUAAAAGUCCGGGGAAAAAUCCGAGGAGUUAGUGGUUGAAAGAUCCUUAAAACUUGGUGCCCUAAACCUUAAUUGGUUGGGAGUCAUCGAUGGACCCCCAUUACAUGGACAAGUCAGAAAGAGUACCCCAUAAAGCUACCUUAAAAAAAAAAAAAAAAAAAAAAAAAAAAAAAAAGAUGAAAGUGUGUUCUUUUCUUAUUGAUUUUGGUCAGUUUGCUAAAGUGUUGAAAAGAGAUAGGUUGGGGGGUGAGAUUAGUAGCAUAUUAUUCUCGGAACCUAAGGAACCAAUACACAUAGAUUUUUGUGGAAGAUUGAAGUUUAGUUCUUAGAAAAUGAAAUGAUUUUAAAACUUCAGUUUGCAUAAUGCACUCCCUUGAUUGACAGUGUUUAGCAUAGGUGUUAUGACUCUUGUUGAGAUUUGGGUUUGUAUUUCUUUAAUGAUUCAUGUGAGAAAUAGAUCAUCAUGCCACUUGAGAAUUAUUUUCCUUUUAGCAUGAUGUUGUAAAUUUUAGAUUAGUUUGCUAUUUAUUUUUUAUUUUCUCUCCUAUAUUGCUAAGGGACUAGCAAUAUGUCGGUUGGGGGGAGUGAUUACUACUCAAAAAGUGCUAUUUGAUAGCCUUUAAUUAAUCCUUUUUAACACUUUUGAGUAGUAGUUUAGGCCUUUUAACUCAAUUGGCAUGUUAAGGAUCCUUUAAAGCAAUUUUGAUCACUUUGUGCAAGUUUUGGUGUUUUUGUUAGUAUUUUGAUCACCAAAGCAAGUCAAGAAUGAGGAGAACUAUGAGGAAUCAUGGGCAAAGCUUAGAAUUCAAUUGCCAAGAGUGAAUCCGGAUUGCAAGGAGAAAAAGCAAAGAGAAUCUGUCAUGAAGCCUAUUCUUGAUGACAGUCGUAGCAGCCACUUUUGGAGCACUUUCUGAAGUCCAAAUGAUGCAAGCUAUAUACCAUUUCAAAGCUCAGGAAGUCAACAAUCCAAUGCUUCAAACGGUGCGCGAUUCGGAGUUGAAACGAAGAAGUUGCAGCCAUUACAAGCCAGUCACUCUAAAGUGUUGCGGAAUCAGCCUUUUGUUGCGAGAAUUUCGCAGCACUUUUGUACAGUAAGGUGUUUCUCCUUCUGACGAUGCACGAACCAUGCCGCGAGAGGGAAGCUAGGAACUUCAAGAUGGAAGCCAACUUUGCAGCCUGGUGAAGAUAGCUUGGUCUUGCGAAAUAAUUUCGCAGCCCUCUUGGGUGUCUGCGAAAUUUCGCAGGCACCACUUUUUUCCUGCGAAAUGGCUCCGGAAGCCUCCCGAAGCUUGCUACCGACAUUGGGAGAUAUUUUCCAUUAGAUUUUUGUUGUCUAAAUUCCAAAAUACUCCUUGUAAACCACCAAUUACAUGAUUCCUUAGUUUUUAAGUUAGUAAAAAGACCAAAUAUCUAUGUAAUAAUUAGUUUUAUAUUAGUUUGCUAUAAAUACCUCUCGGGAGCAUGUUCUCAGAGAGGAGUUCCUUCUGUAACCAUUUUGGUAAGCAAGUAAAGUCUUUUCUUUCUACUGCCUUACCUUCUCACUUUGUAUUUUCAUUUUAUUUCUAAGUUAUGAAUUCUCUGAGGAGCUUUCCCCAGAGAAUGAGUAACUAAACCUCCAAUUCCUUGGAGCUAAGGUUGCCGGGGAAGGUUCCAAGUGCAAGAAUGCAAAGCUCUGUGGUUUUAGCUAGUAAUGAAGAGGAAGUGAAAUCCUUUAGUGAUUUCAAUGUUUUUAGUUAACUUAAAACACCUUGGAGUCACCUGGGCCAACACUUGGUAAGGCAAGUGAUUUCCAACCGUGGAAAUGCACUAGUUUACCCCUUGCGAGCCUCUGGUAGGUGACUUCAAGGUAGGAUUUUCUGGAAUUACCAACACUUGGUAAGCUUUUGGACUCCUAGGAGACAUCCAUUAGUUAUCUCUUGCGAGUUUGUGAAGGGGAAUCCAAGGUUAAAGAUCACCUUGAAUGGUAAGUGCUCGUGAGAGGCAUGAACCAUUGCAAGUUGUAUCAGUGAGAGAAUUAAAGUGAAAUCUAAUUGAAGGAGUCUCUGUACAUCACCGGUUAGAGAAUUGACUAUAAGUUGAAUCUCUAAUGCGAGGAAAUGAACCAUCUGACCGGAGCUAUGUCUUUUGCAUGAGGAACCACCCCAGUGAACCUAAAUCUCCAAGGAAUGCUUUUCUUCCUAAAUUAUUCCAAACUUCUGUUAAGUUAGUUAGUUUAAGUCUAAACCUUUACCAAUCAAACUUUGUGUUUUAUUCCUUAAGCUAACCGUGAAAUGAAACAAAACCAAUUCACUUGGAAUUGGUAUCCUUGAUUGCUUGCAAAUCAUUCCCAGUGAACGAUCCUUAGAGCCACUAUACUAUAGUAGCUUUGUAUUUGCUACCCUAGUGUAUGGUGUUAUAGGUAUAAAUUUUGUUGAUCACUUCCUCAAUCAAGGAACACCAGCUGAACACAAAUCAGCUGAGACACCAAUUGGGCAUGAGUCAGUGCGUUAGAGGAUCAAGAAGAAGAAAAAGAAGGAACUGUUGGAAUUAGUAUGAGUGUGAAGAGAAAAGUAUAUAAAUAAGGGGAAGUAAAAGCAAAGUUCAAAAAGCUAUAUUUUUUUAUUGUUGGUGUAUGGUUGCAUGAUUAUCCCUAUAAAUAAUAGGAGUUUUUUGGUAUUCUACUAGUAGUUGAAGCAUAAUUUCAUAAAUUAAUAUUUAGAGCGGGGUGGGGUGAGUUGUGACAAAAUUCAUACCCGUCCCAAACCUUGGUUCAGAUUUUUAAAAUAUUCUCAAACUUAUCAUAUACCCAACUUUUAUAUUUCAUACUUGUCCUAAUAGAGGCACGUUAGGCCGGGUUACUUGAGUAACCUACAUAAUUGUCAUCCCUAGUUGAAAUACACUUUUUGGCAGUGGCCACCAACUGAGCUAGAAGCUUGAUUGAUUGACCUACAAGAUUAGUUCUCAUCAUUUUAAAAAAAGUUCUGGCUUUGGUUGUGAGUGCAAUUGAAUCUAAACUGGCAUUUGCUUAAUGCAUCUACUUCAAUCCUAAACUUCUUACUUCUUAAGCCUCAAUUGUUGUUAGGAUUUUGGAAAACCCAUUUCCUUAAAUUGUAAAUUUAAGAUAAAAUAAAAUAAAAGUGAGACAUUUCUUGAUUGAAUAUUGUUAAAGGUCCCUUGGCAUUAAGACUUGGUUGAAGCCUUGGAAGAUUAGUGGAACUCUCAACAUGUGUUUGAAUCUUGAGGAGAGUGGAUGUAAGCCAAAAUUUUGUCAAACCAUUAUACAAAUUGAGUUUGAAUCCUCAUUUCUUGAUUUCUUAUUUAUUUGCUUUUUCUUAUUAUUACUUGAAUUGUCAUUUGCAUUCAUUAAUGUUAAAAUUGGUUAUAAUUAACCAACACUAAUUCUCUUUCCCCUUCCCUUUCUUGGGUGUAAACCUAGGUUGGAUUAACUAGAUAAAUCUAUUAAGAUGGUAAAAGAAUAAUUAUUCUUAACAUACAUAAGAUCAUCUUCAAUCAAAUGACUCAUUGGCUAAUAUGUUGAAUUUGCUUAUUACUUGCAACUCAAAAUUGUGUUCUAGUUGUGUCAAGUCCCCAGUGUAUGGACAUUAAAUUUGUAGUACGUGAUGAGUAAUUAGAUGGUCCAACUCCAAGAAAGUGAUUGAAAAGUAGUUCAAGAAAGGUGCAAAAGGGAAUUGUUUUGGUAUUUUCGUUUUUAUUCUUGAAGGUGGCAGAGCUAAAAUUUGAGAAAUCAAGCAAAACAUACUGAAAUUACAUUGAAAGAAAGAAGAUGGGAGUUAAUGUCUUGCAGUACAUGAUAAGGACUUCAUGCAUGUAGUGUGACCCAUGUCUUGGACUGAUGCCAACUCACGGUUACACUUAUACCCUUGGUUCUCUCUUUACUACCUUGGCUAACCUAGAUCAGGCUAUGAGAUAGGCUCCUCACCACACCAUUACUUGCCCAUUAAUUAGAGACAUUUUCAAGCAAUGAGGUAACAUGGUGACACCAAGAGGGUCUAUUCCUCGCCCGGAACAAGUCUAGACUUGGUCUCAAAAAAAUGGAGAAAAAUGAGGUGUCGUUAUGUAGAAAUACAACAACCAUGCCUUCCUCAUUACUUAGAUUCAGAAUGUGAAGGUGAAAUUGAGAAACAGAAACUCUUGAAACCAAAAUGAAAAUUGAUACUUUUACGAAGAAUUACAACAACAUUAGAGGAAGACUACAUUCUUCCUCUUUAUUCCUACAUUUCUACACUACUUCUACUCCACUCCAUAUUUCUACAUACAUCUUUAAUCAGUCUUCCCUCCUUUAUAUAGAGCCAUCUUCACACAAAUUUCGCAAGGUAGAAAAGAGGAAUGAAACUUGGAGCAAGGUUCGACUACUGGUUGUAGCUUGUCAAGGCUGGAAGUGAACUUUUCUUGGCUUUCUGGGCAUGGGUAGUAACUUGUGGGUUCCUGUUUGGCAUAAAAAUGGCUAGAACAUGUGGCACUAUCUUGUUGGAUGAUGUGUCAAGCAUGUGGCAGCCAUCUAGUGGCGAUUAUGUCAAUUUUGGGAUGGAGAGUUGGCAUCCAAUUGCAAAGAAAUAUGACGUCUACCAACAUGCAAUGUAAACCUAUGUAGAUCAUAUGAAGAUAGAGAGGAAAAAUAUAGAAAUGGAUAUAUACCUAGAACUAGCUUUUUAUUAAAUGAAACGGAGAGACAACAAUGAAGGAAAAUAAAAUUUUUUGGCUUAUAUCAAAGAGUUCACAUUGUGUUACCCUAGGUUUUCUUAAAACUUACUUUUAUGAUAACAAAAAAGAAAAAACCAUUAUUGUUUAAUCCUUUGUUUUAAACGCAUGUAAGGUGUAAUUAAGUUAGUUCAAUGCAUUAAUUUAAGAAACUUGACCUAUCAAAAGUACAAAAUUAGAUGAAAUCCAUUUCAAUGGUUAAAAUGAUCAAAAUCAAACUUUUUCUAAGUAUUUUUUAAAAGCAUCAAUAGUGAAAGACAAUUUUAUAUUUAGUCGGAGUUUGGACAAAACUGAAAAACACACAAAAUCCAAGCGACCAUCUCUAGCUUGGAUGGUCGCUUGAUCCCACCUAGAGAUGUGCAUGAGUAAAAGGAUUUGAAAAUGGAAAUUGACUAUGUAGUCGAUCAAUUAACUUUGCAACAUCAUAUGCAAUCCUAAUUGCUAGUCAUCUAAUCAAUUAGGUAGUCAAUCAACAGGCCAAAAAUAUGUUUAUAAUGACUAUUUUGUACAAAAACCACCUGUAUAGUUAAAUAUAAUGCAUUUCAUUUAUAAAUCUUCUAAUUCUUGAAUAACGAUCCUAUCAUCCUUUGAAAGUUUUUAUUACACUUUUUUUACUUUUGUUCUAAAACUUACACAUCACCCUUAAUUGUACCAUGAGAACCUAGCUAUUUUUUAUUUUUUUUUUUGUAAUUCAUCAAAGUUAGCUUUUGUAUUCAUUGUUGUAUUAUUUUUAGUAUAACUUAGAAAGCUAGUGUUUUCAAGUGAGUAAAAUUAACUUGUAAAUAUUGUAAAGAUUCAUCGACAUGUAUCUUAAACUAAGUGUACAAGUUAAAACAUUUGCUAGUAGAUUUUCUCAAAAUUUAGAAUAGAGCUUGAGACUAUUGAAAUAGGUGGGGUUGCACCAAACCACAUCACAUCGUUGUUUGCACCUUUUUUCACUCUCUUUUACUUAGUUGCUCUAUAUUUGUUGUCUAGUAAUAUCCUAUAGGCUUGAUGGGUUAGGGAGCAUCCCUUUGUGAAAAAAUUUUAUUCAAUCCUUAGUUGUAUCACGCAUAUAUAAAAUGCCUCAUUGUUUUAAUGGUAUUCAGUCGUGGCAUCACAGAUAUGGGCAUCUAAAUUUUAAAAGUUUGAAACUUUUAUCUAAAGAAAAUAUGGUGCUUUGCCUUUUUGUAAAGCAUGUUGAUGAAAUCCAUGAGAAUUGUGUACUUGGGAAGCAACACCGAGAUGACUUUUUUUUUUUUUUUAUAAUAUUGUUUGUCCAAAUUCCCUACAAAUUAGGCCACCAGAUGUUCAUAAUUCUCCCUUCUUGAAUUUGAAAACUCGGACAAUUGGACAAUGCGACACCUAAGUCCGGUUUCUAAAUGCUAAAGUGAAAGGGUAGGUAUGGACCAUUGAAAUGUGAUCACAACUUUUCUCUGUAGCCAUGUUGUCUCUUUUUUCUUUUGCAUGAUUUUCUUACCUUAACAGAAUCAUAGACUUGUUUAGUCUCUAAAUGGGAUUAAUUUCAUCCAGCUUUAAGCUACUAUAUUAUAUCUAGGUGGAGGACUUUUAAGAGUGCAACCGACAUAGAGCACAUGGAAGUGGGUAUAUGGGACAUGAAAUUUCUUCUUAUAAAGAUUGCAUGAUUUUUAUAUUAGAGUUGUUGAGGCGCUAUGUAUUUAGCUUGUUUUGCAGUUAAAUUAAUUGGAUAAGUAGACAUUGGCGUUUCUAAAUCUACUGUGAAGUGCUUCAUGUACGUGUGAAGUAUUAGAAAUUUCUUUCUUGGCAACUUGUUUUUCUUUGCGGUCUACUGAUAGGUUUGACUAAAAUUAUAUUCCCUGUCAUGCUAAUUAAUUUUCACGUGCAUGCUCAAAAGAAAAGUAUGACCUUAGUGCACCAAAAUCACUUUGAUUAAUUUGUGAUAGGUUUUUGUGCAUCAUGACAUUAGCCUUAUUCAUUUAGAUAAUGUUUAGUUUUUAGAAAGUAUUAAGAAAAGGAAAAUAAAUAUUAAGAAAAAUAUUCUUAUAUUUGAUUGUAUUAUGAAAAAUAUCAUAAAAAAAUCAAAUAUAAUUUAAAUUAAUUAAUAAUUUAUACAUUUUCAAAUUAUUUAAUCUUUAUAUUGAAGAUAUAAUAUAAAUGAAAUGAGUUUUAAGUAUUAUAUAAAAGUGAUUUAUUGAUCUUACAUAUAUAUAUUUCUUUUUUUUUUCCUUCUAUUUUUUCUCUUUAUUUUAUUUUCCUUAUGUUUUCCUCAACAUUUUCCGGAACCAAACAUAGCCUUAGGAAAUCCACAAUUACCUUCAACUGAGUAGAUUCUGUUGUUUUAGCAAUGUUAGGCUGCUAACUUGUGUUGGUACGAACCUAUUAAGCCUAAAGAUGUAAUUAGUUAGGAUAUUCUUUUCCCUCUAGUCUUGUAGCUCCACGUGUACAGUUGGUUAGGACCUCAUUGUAUAUAAUGCUUGCCCUGUUAUUGUAGAAGACAACAAAGAUAAAUAAUAUUAACAUUUUUCCUCUCAUCUCUCUCUGUUUCCCUCUGUUUUCAUCUCCUCUCUCAUCUUGGUAUCAGAGCCUCCAUGGCUUCUUUCAAAGAAACCUCCGAAUCACCUUCUGCUAGCAUUGUUAAUGUGCAAAACCCAUUAUCUCAAUCAAACAACCUUCCUUCACCAGUAGCCACACCCUCUUUUUCUUUCUCGUCUAUGAAUCAACCUCUCACAGUGAAGCUGGAUAAUGGGAACUACCUCAUAUGGAAGAAUUAGCUUCUAAAUGUCAUCAUUGCUAACGGACUCGAUGAUUUCAUUGACGGAUCUCGACCCUGCCCUCCUCGAUUUCUCGAUCUGCAACAACAAACCCUCAAUCCAGAGUACUCAGCUUGGCAGAGAUACAAUCGACUUCUGAUGAGUUGGCUGUACGCAUCCUUGUCCAAAGAUAUAAUGGCUCAGAUUGUUGGGUAUUCAACAGCUAUGGAGAUUUGGAAUGCCCUUAAUCAGAUUUACUCUGCCUCUUCUAUGGCGCGGUUUACUGAGCUUCGCACCAAGCUUCAAACGCUCAAGAAAGAUGGACUCUCAGUUGGUGAAUAUAUUCAAAGGCUCAAAUCCAUUUGCAAUAGUCUUGCAGCAAUAGGAGAACCAGUUUCUGAGAAAGACCAUCUUAUCUAUUUGUUCAAUGGAUUAGAUUGUGAGUAUUAUUCUUUUGUUACCUCCAUUCAAAAUCGAUCUGACCAACCAACUAUUGACAAAAUCCAUAGCCUAUUGCUUAGCUAUGACUUCCGGCUUGAACAACAAAACUCUGUUUCUCUCCAUUCUGCCCAAGUCCAUAUGGCUCAUCUGAACAAGAAACCUUAUAAAUCAACUCCUCAACCUACAUUCAAUCAUAUUCACAUUCAACCUAGAUACUCUUCUCCACCUUUUAAGCCAACCACUAGUCAAUAUCAACCCAACAUUUUGGGCAAACCACAACCACAACCAUGACAGCCUCAACCUCAAUGGAAACCACAUUUUUCAAUCUAAAAUCAAAAGCCUCAGCGCCAAAUUUGUGGUAAAUUUGGACACACUGCUCUUAUUUGCUUCCAUCACACAAAUUUGAACUAUUCACCCCAACCUUCUCCUAAAUCUUUCAAUACUGUUCUCACCACAAAUUCCCAGCUCCCUAAUCCUCCAAAAUUUUCUUACCCUACAAUGGCUCAUCCUGCUGCUACGCAUAACACGGUUCCCGAUACAAAUUGGUACAUGGACUCAGGUGCUACACAUCACUUUACUCUGGACAUCAACGUGCUUGACACUGUGACACCAUUUAGUGGUUCAGAACAGGUGACAGUUGGGAAUGGUAAGCAACUCUGUAUCUCACAUCUUGGUACUGCAAAACUACCAUCUUCGUAUUCUCCUCCUGUUCUACAUCAGGUAUAUCACACUCCAAAAAUUUCAAAUAAUCUUAUUAGUGUUAAAAAAUUGUGUUCUGAUAAUAAAGUUUUUGUUGAAUUUUAUGCCACUCAUUUUCUUGUCAAGGAUCAGGUUUCGAAGAGAGUUCUCCUUUAGGGUCAACUUGAUAAUGGCUUAUACAAAGUUCAGUCGUCAUGCUCUCCUUCUGCUGUUUCCUUUCCUCCUCAAGUUUUCAUAGCCAACAUCAAGUAUCCAAAUCUGUGGCACAAGAGACUAGGCCACCCAGCUUUAUCUGUUGUUAAUCAAAUCUUGGAUUCUUGUAACAUUGCUCGAACACAGAAAAUUUGUUUUAAUUUUUUAAAUUCUUGUCAAUUAGCAAAGAGCCACAGGCUUCCUUUUUCUCUGUCUCCAUCCAUUGCAGAAAAACCUUUUGAGUUAAUUCAUACAGACCUAUGGGGUCUUUCGCUCGUUCGCUCUAUUUCUGGUGCUCUUUAUUUUUUACUUUUCAUUGAUGAUCAUACUCGUUUUACUUGGUUUUAUUUGCUCAAAACAAAAGAUGAAGCAUAUCCUACUUUUCUCAAGUUUCAAGCUCUCAUUGAAAAUCAAUUUAAUACCAAGAUUAAGGCUGUCCAAUCUGAUUGGGGAGGUGAGUUUCGAUCUCUCUCCAUACCGUUUUCAAAUAUGGGCAUUGUCUAUUGUUUAUCGUGUCCAUACACCUCACAACAGAAUGGGCGAGUUGAGCGAAAAAAUCGCCAUGCGAUUGUCCUUUCUUGCUUGCUCUAUGCCCUUAUCUUAUUGGCCUUAUGCCUUUCAAACUGCCACUUACCUUAUUAAUCGUCUCUCUACCCCUGUGCUGCAUCAUCAAUCCUCUUACUUCGCACUCUAUCACAAACUCCCAACUUAUACUCAUCUUAAGGUCUUUGGUUCCUCUUGUUUUCCGUAUUUGCACCCUUAUAAUACCCAUAAACUCCAAUACAGGUCACUAGAGUGUGCUUUUCUUGGUUACAGUUCACACCACAAAGGUUAUCUAUGUCUUGACAUUCAUUCUAGCAGGGUGUAUAUUUCUCGCCAUGUGAUUUUUAAUGAAGAUUCUUUUCCAUUCAAGAAUUUGAAAUCUUCUCUCUCUCAGUCUAUUUCUUCUUCCUCUUCUUUAUAAGUUCCUCUGUUCAUUCUCUUGCCUCCCCUUUCCCCAUCUCCUCUUAUUUCUUCAUCUAUACCUCAUUCUUUUCCCUCUUCUUCUUCUACCUCUAGUACUUGUUCCCCUCUCGUUGCUCCUACCUCUCUUCCUUCCUCUUCACACUCUGUGUCUCCAUCUAUUCCACCUCCUUCUCCACCUUCUCCGAGUGUGGACCUGCUUGCACCUUGUGUGAAUACAAAUUUACAUACUUCUUCUCGCACUCACAAUAUUCAUCCUAUGGUGACUAGAUCUAAGGUUUGUAUCUAUAAACCUAAGUUGUUGUUGAGUGUCUCCAUAGGUUCUCUCACUAAGCCUACUUCCUUUCUUCAAGCUAUUAAAGAUCCUUCAUGGAAGCAAUCCAUGGAAUUCGAGUUUGCUACCCUUCAACACAACAAGACCUGGCAUUUGGUUCCUUCACCUUCCUCAGGCGAAGUAAUCGGUUGUAAAUGGGUCUAUAAGCUAAAGCUUCAGCCUGAUGGCUAAAUUGAGAGAUACAGCCUGCUUAGUAGCUAAGGGUAUCAUCAAAUUGAAGUAUGGACUACUUCGAAACAUUCAGCCUGAUNNNNNNNNNNNNNNNNNNNNNNNNNNNNNNNNNNNNNNNNNNNNNNNNNNNNNNNNNNNNNNNNNNNNNNNNNNNNNNNNNNNNNNNNNNNNNNNNNNNNAGCUUCAGCCUGAUGGCUAAAUUGAGAGAUACAAGGCCUGCUUAGUAGCUAAGGGUUAUCAUCAAAUUGAAGGUAUUGACUACUUCGAAACAUUCAGCCUGAUUGUCAAGCUUUCUACUAUCUGUAUUGUGCUCAGUCUUACUUUUUCCCAGAAUUGGUGUAUUAGACAGCUGGAUGUUCAUAAUGCCUUCUUACAUGGUGACUUAGCUAAAGACGUUUUCAUGGAACAACUGCCUGGAUUUGUUGAUCCUCUCUAUCCUACUCAUGUCUGCAAGUUGGAUAAGUCUCUCUACUGUCUUAAAUAGUCACCUCGGGCUUGGUAUACUAAGCUGAGUACUUCUCGCUACACUUGGGAUUUGUUACUUCUAAGAAUGACUCUUCCUUAUUUAUUUGUCAUUCGUCUCAUGGGUUACUUCUUGUUCUUGUCUAUGUGGAUGAUAUAAUCGUCAUUGGGAGCCACUCUCCUCAGGUUACUCACCUUAUCCAACAGUUGCAUCAUUAGCUUUCUUUAAAGGAUCUUGGUCCUUUACAUUAUUUUCUGGGCUUGGAGGUUCAUCACACCCCUACUGGUAUUCACCUCAGCCAAGCAAAGUAUAUCACUGAUCUCCUUACCCGGGCGGCUAUGUUGGAUGCCAAGCCAUGUCCCACUCCUAUGUCCUCCAACACAUAUCUCUCUUUUCAUGAUGGAGUGGCUCUUGAAAAUGGUUCAGAUUAUCGAAGUUUUGUUGGUGCCCUUUAGUAUUGUACCAUGACACGCCCAGAUAUAGCUUUUGCAAUAAAUAAAGUGUGUCAAUUCAUGCACCAUCCCUCUAAUGUUCACUGGCAGGCUAUAAAACGUAUUCUCCGGUACUUAAAGGGCACAUCUCAUUUUGGUCUCUUCCUACAGCCUUCCUAUGACUUCAACAUCACUUGCUAUACAAAUGCCGACUGGGCUUCCUGUCCUGAUGACAAGUGUAGCACCAGUGGCUACUGCCUCUUUCUUGCCUCUAAUCUGGUUUCUUGGUCAUCUUCCAAACAAAAAGUGGUCUCCCGCUCCAGCGCCGAAUCAGAGUACCGAGGGGUAGCAAAUGGGGCUGCUGAAAUUGCUUGGACUGAAUCUCUUCUUUGUGAACUUUCCAUUACUCCCCCUCCCCUCAUUCUCUGUGACAAUAUCAGUGCCACGUACUUAGCUGCCAAUCCUAUUUUGCAUGCCCGCACCAAACAUGUGGAAAUCGACUAUCACUUUGUCACGGAACGUGUUCUUCAAUGCUCUCUUUUUGUCCAGUUUACACCUUCUGAUGAUCAACUUGCUGAUUGCAUGACCAAGCCUCUCUCCACCCAACGUUUCAUCACUCUACGCUCCAAGCUCACUGUUCUCACUAGACCAAUGAGCUUGAGGGGGGAUGUUAAGCCUAAAGAUGUAAUUAGUUAGGAUAUUCUUUUCCCUCUAGUCUUGUAGCUCCACGUGUACAGUUGGUUAGGACCUCAUUGUAUAUAAUGCCUGCCCUGUUAUUGUAGAAGACAACAGAGAUAAAUAAUAUUAACAUUUUUCCUCUCAUCUCUCUCUCUGUUUCCCUCUGUUUUCAUCUCCUCUCUCAUCUGAACCAAAUGAUCCAUGUUAACCUUGGCUUGGUUUGAUUUGGCUCUAUCUUAGAGAGCUCAAGGAUCACGUCAACUCUGGUUUCUACUAUUCAGGUCCAUUCCCAUAUGAACUGGUUCAAAUUUGAGAAAAUGGUAACAGACCUUUAGUGAUGUUGGUUUGGAGCCAGUUGCCAAACCCGCCCUGAGCUUUACCACUAAUGUCAAGGGAGAAAGCCAUUUGAACAAAAACAAUAGCUUCAAGGGACUGAAUCGUGGAUGAAAUCUGAUCCACAUUUCUUCUCAUUUUGGAAACAAAUGAGAACUUAACUAAGAAGAUUCUACGGCCUCAUAGUGCUUUUCCUGAUCUAAGGUUGGUUCGUUUCCCAAACUGUGAGAUGCACGUGCCAGACUUCAGAACUCUCACGCUCAGGAGUGUAUCCACGUGGUGGACAUAAGAUGGUGGCUUAAGAUCUGGUGUCGGUGGCUUUACUUUACUAGGAGAGUAGUGUGUCUUCAUCUCAUUCACUGCCGGAGGGUGGCGUAAGCAGUGACGCUAAGGUGGGGCACAGUCAAUAUCAUUUGCAUUUGACCAUUAUAGUUUUCUCCCGGCUUUAAAGUAACCUUAUCGUGAUAAAGGAUUACUAGCACUAGUUCAGAUGAUAGUCAUGUUAAAUUCGGACCAUGUUUGUGUCACAUUAUCAGCAACCAUGUGUUUAUGGUUCAUGCUUUCUGCAACUAAAAUUGAUAUAUAACCAGGUGAACUUCAAUCUAAAUUCUGAAAGUACUCAUGUGAUAGAUGGUGCCCGUCUGCAGAGUCCAUCAAUUGAAAAAUGGAGUGAGUGUAUCUAUAAGAGGGAAGGCUUGGAAAAUGUUCAGUUUUCUGGGAAUUCAACAAGGAUCUAAAAUAGAUUGUUUUCUUUGCUGAUUUCAAUGGUUGAAAUUUGAGAAGAUUGUGUCCACAUAACACAACUAUUACUGGUCCUUCUGUUGCAAUUUAUCCUCUAAAGCUCUAGCAUGUCUUCCAAUUCCCACUUCCCUGUUACUCCAGGAAAGCUAUUUCUGUCAUUGUGAAGAAGAAAAGAGAAUGUACAUAUCGAUGCUUUUAAGUGACUGGAGCAUUUAUAUCAGGUGGUCUGCAGCCAUAUAUGCCACUUUGUGAAGAUUGGAACAGUCAAUCACUAGGCUAUAUAUUAGUGUGGCCCAGCCACUUUAAUCAAGGACAAGUCUUCAUACUUAAAGUCAAAUUCUGCCUUUAGUCUCAUUAUAAAUUUCUGUUUAAAUAUUAAGCAAACAUUUGUUUAAUGCGAUUAAGACAGUACUAACUCAAUACCUGUUCUAUUUUUGGAUGCAAAUGCUUGAUGGUUUCAUCAUUGGAUGGGAUAAAGGUGCAUUCAUGAUUAGGAAUACUAGUAGUUAUAUUUUAAUUCUCUUUUUUCUCAAUGAGACUUGUUGGCACAAUUUUGCUGUUGAGAAACCUACCUCUCCAUGGAAAAUAAGUUGUGAUUGAUAGUACUGGAUAUAUUCAAGAAAUCUAAAUAUAGAUAGCACAAAAUAUUAUCGACAUAAAUAGCAUUAACAGCGUACGUAUGUCUCAGUGCUCAUCAGCUAUAAGCAUGGGGCAAACACUUACUAUGAGCAACUUACGUCAAAAUUCCAGAAUAGGACAUAGAAGUGACAGAUAUAGAACAUUGCAUAUGAGUCACAAGAAAGGAAAUUACGGGUGCAUAGCAGCUCUUAUUUUACAUACUACUACUCAUACUGAUCAAAGUCACUCAGUUGGGAUGGGUGGGAGUAGGAGGUUUGUGGGGUGGCUUGUGCGGAGGAGUUGGCAGCUUCUUUCCAGGACCUGGUUGCUUCUCUGCUGGAGUUGAAGGAGGCUUAAUCUUCCGAGGUGGCUUGUAUGAGUCUUCAGCAUUCUCAGCUGGAGGGUGACCAGGGUUGUGACCAUAAUGUGGUGGCUUCUCUCCCUUAGGUGGUUUGCCAACUGGGGUUGGUGGCUUGUAUGAGUCUUCAGCAUUCUCAGCAGGAGGGUGACCAGGGUUGUGACCAUAAUGUGGUGGCUUCUCUCCCUUAGGUGGUUUGCCAACUGGGGUUGGUGGCUUGUGUUCUGGGAGUGGCUUCUCCCCCUUGGGAGGUUUUUCCAAUGGGGUUGGUUUGUGUUCAGGAGGUGGCUUCUCCACUGGAGGCUUGUGUUCAGGAGGUGGCUUCUCCACCGGAGGCUUGUGUUCAGGUGGUGGCUUCUCCACCGGAGGCUUAUGCUCUGGUGGUGGCUUCUCGAAUGGGGGAUGCUUAGGAUAAUCAGCAAGUGAGGGGGCGGUGAGAACCACCAGGCCAAGCAACACCACUAGCAAAUAUGUAGGAGACAUCUUUGGGUUUGGGCUCAGAUGGUGCAAAACUAGGAGAAUUGGCUAGCCUUUUAUAGCGGAUCGUACCCAAUAAUGAAAUGACACGUGUCAUUAUGACCCAUGUGUAAUGGGGUCGAUUUGGGUCCUACAGUGUUGAAAACUUCGACAUCCACUUUUGGCCUUUUGCUUUCUCUACAGCCGCCUUGCUUUUUCCCUCUUUCCUUUUGUUUUCCUCCUGCCCCAUUCUAUCAACUAAACACAAUUAUGUAGUUGUUUAAUUCUUAAAUGAGAUAUUAUCCGUCAAUCGUAUUAUAUUUUAUCAAGAGAGAACGGAGUGCAAUGUGGCUGUAAUUUUAUCGUUUAGUUUUAUCUCUUGGACCACUGCAUUUUUGUUAAGAGGUGCAAUAAUACACGUCUUUAUCUGCCAUUCAAUAUUUACAGUAAAGAGAGGGCACAAAACUCUUCACUUCGCACCAUAAUUAUUUUGUUUUCUGGACACCCCGGGGCCCUUUGGUUGGUUUGGGGGUCAGAAAGUGAACAUCAUAGGGGGUUUUUCCCUUAUGUGCAUUUGUAUCUGAUGGCUUUAACUCGCCUUGUUACUACAAAGAAACUGUCACAGAUAGGAACUUAUUCCAGGCUGAGUAUCUCCUCAUAGACCCUAUAAAAGAAGACAAGUCAUAAUGAACAUCUAACCUUUGUUCAAUUUGAUUCAAUGCCCCCAUUGUGUCCAUCUCACAAAUCUGAAUUAUUAUAUCCAUUGAAUACAUAAAUUAAUGAAGAAAAUAUGAAACCCAAGAUACAUCUCUGCACAACCUCAACCCUGGUUGCUAUGUUUCCCUUCUAUUCACAUGAUUUGAUGCUAAUUGCCAAACUUGCAACAAGCCCUGAGUUUGACACCUAGUAUCGAUGGGCGAAUUUAAAGUCUCCUCCAAACAUAUAUUCCACAGCUUGAAGCUCACAGAAGAUGUUACAGGCAGGGAAAAACCUUCAGAGUUCGCUACCAAAGAUAAUUAUUAAGGAGAUAUCACAAAGAGAAUUCCAAGGGGUCUGAAUCAAAGACAAAUUGGUCGUUCGUGGGGGUUCUUACUUUCUUUUGGGUAUAACUCACUGAGGGCACUGUCUUUGUUAUUUGCAUUUCACAUUUAGAGUUCUGUUCUGGAAACAUAUAAAAGGAGCAUCAUUUUGUUCUUGGGUAACCCAUAGUCGUGAGUGGGUCCAUUUGCAUGCUACUUAGUUGAAAAGUUGGACCAUUUGCUCCGACGCCUACCUCCCGGAUUCCAUGCUCGGAUAAAACAAGAAUAAAAAAAAUAUUUAUAAUUUACAAAUGGGGGAAAGAAAAAAAUGUCAACAACAAACCAGGAAAAAAGAGUAGUAAAAUUCAUGUCACAUGCUAGUGAGAGAAGGGGUUGUUACACUCACUCGAAGUUCUUUCCAAAAUAUCGCAUGGUAUUUUAUUUUAUGUGUCAGCGCAGUUGUGAAUGGAACGUGCAAAAGUCCAAAUUGGCGUUUUUCCUUUUCCCGUGUAGGAUGGCGACCUUUAAUAAAUAUUUAAAACAAAAAACGAAAAAAAGGAGGGAAAAGGGAUCAGAAAAGAUAAAACAAUGUGUACAAGAGCUCAAUUAGUUUGCAAAUUACUGUUUGGAUUUUGAUAGUAUUUUAUUUGUCCAUCUAUAUUUGAUGGAAAAGAGAAUUUAAGAUAUUUCUGAAACAAAAGCAUUAGUGUAAAACUAAAUUAAGGUAUAAUUAAGUUAGUUCAAUGCAUUAAUUUAAGAAACUUGAUCUAUCCAAAGUACAAAAUUAGAUGAAAUCCAUUUCAAUGGUUAAAAUGAUCAAAAUCAAACUUUUUCUAAGUAUUUUUUAAAAGCAUCAAUAUUAAAAGACAAUUUUAUAUUUAGUCGGAGUUUGGACAAAACCAAAAAGCACACAAAAUCCAAGCGACCAUCUCUAGCUUGGAUAGUCACUUGAUCCCACCUAGAGAUGUGCAUGAGUAAAAGGAUUUGAAAAUGGAAAUUGACUAAAUAUUUAGUUGAUCAAUUAAAUUUGCAAUGUCAUAUGCAAUCCUAAUAGCUAGUCAUCUAAUCAAUUAGGUAGUCAAUCAAGUGUUUGUAAUGACUAUUUUGUACAAAAAACCACAUGUAUAGUUAAAUAUAAUGCAUUUCAUUUAUAAAUCUUCUAAUUCUUGAAUAACGAUCCUAUCAUCCUUUGAAAAUUUUUAUUACACCUUUUUUACUUUUGUUCUAAAACUUACAUAUCACCCUUAAUUGUACCAUGAGAACCUAGCUAUUUUUUUUUUUUUUGUAAUUCAUCAAAGUUAGCUUUUGUAUUCAUUGUUGUAUUAUUUUUAGUAUAACUUAGAAAGCUAGUGUUUUCAAGUGAGUAAAAUUAACUUGUAAAUAUUGUAAAGAUUCAUUGAUAUGUAUCUUAAACUAAGUGUACAAAUUAAAACAUUUGCUAGUAGAUUUUCUCAAAAUUUAGAAUAGAGCUUGAGGCUAUUGAAAUAGGUGGGGUUACACCAAACCACAUCACAUCGUUGUUUGCACCUUUUUUCACUCUCUUUUACUUAGUUUCUCUAUAUUUGUUGUCUAGUAAUAUCCUAUAGGCUUGAUGGGUUAGGGAGCAUCCCUUUGUGAAAAAAUUUCAUUCAAUUCUUAGUUGUAUUACGCAUAUAUAAAAUGCCUCAUUGUUUUAAUGGUAUUCAGUCGUGGCAUCACAGAUAUGGGCAUCUAAAUUUUAAAAGUUUGAAACUUUUGUAAAGCAUGUUGAUAAAAUCCAUGAGAGUUGUGUACUUGGGAAGCAACAUCGAGGUGACUUUAUUUUUUUUUCCUUUUAUAAUGCCACACCUAAGUCCGGUUUCUAAAUGCUAAAGUGAAAGGGUAGGUAUGGACCAUUGAAAUGUGAUCACAACUUUUGGCCUUUUCCUUUCUCUGCAGCCAUGUUGUCUCUUUUUUCUUUUGCAUGAUUUUCUUACCAAAACAGAAUCAUAGACUUGUUUAGUCUCUAAGCUACUAUAUUAUAUCUCGGUGGACUUUUAAGAGUGCAACCGACAUAGAGCACAUGCAAGUGGGCAUAUGGGACAUGAAAUUUCUUCUUACAAAGAUUGCAUGAUUUUUAUAUUAGAGUUGUUCACGUGCAAUGUAUUUAGCUUGUUUUGCAGUUAAAUUAAUUGGAUAAGUAAACAUUGGCAUUUCUAAAUCGACUGUGAAGUGCUUCAUGUACGUGUAAAGUAUUAGAAAUUUCUUUCUUGGCAACUUGUUUUUUCCUUGCCAUCUACUGGUAGGUUUGACUAAAAUUAUAUUCCCUGUCAUGCUAAUUAAUUUUCAUGUGCAUGCUCAAAAGAAGAGUAUGACCUUAGUGCACCAAAAUCACUUUGAUUAAUUUGUGAUAGGUUUUUUUGCAUCAUUUAGAUAAUGUUUAGUUCUAAGAAAAAUUUAUAUAAAAAUGGUUUAUUUAUCUUACAUAUAUAUAUAUAUAUAUAUAUUUUUUUUUUUUUCAUUUUUUUUUCUUCUAUUUUAUUUAUUUAUUUUAUUUUCCUUAUGUUUUCCUCACAUUUUCCGGAACUAAACAUAGUCUUACGAAAUCAACAAUUGCCUUCAACUGAGUAGAUUCUGUUGUUUUAGCAAUGUUAGGCUGCUAACUUGUGGUGGUACGAACCAAAUGACCCAUGUUAAUCUUGGCUUGGUUUGAUUUGGCUCUAUCUCAGAGAGCUAAAGGAUCACGUCAACUCUGGUUUCUACUAUUCAGGUCCAUUCCCAGAUGAACUGGUUCAAAUUUGAGAAAAUGGUAACAGACCUUUAGUGAUGUUGGUUUGGAGCCAGUUGCCAAACCCGCCCUGAGCUUUACCACUAAUGUCAAGGGAGAAAGCCAUUUGAACAAAAACAAUAGCUUCAAGAGACUGAAUCGUGGAUGAAAUCUGAUCCACAUUUCUUCUCAUUUUGGGAAAAAAUGAGAACUUAACUACAAAGAUUCUACUGCCUCAUUCAUAGUGCUUUUCCUGAUCCAAGGUUGGUUCGUUUCCCAAAUUGUGAGGUGCACGUGCCACUCUCACGCUCAGGAGUGUAUCCACGUGGUGGACAUCAGAUGGUGGCUUAAUAUCUGGUGUCGGUGGCUUUACUUUACUAGGAGAGUAGUGUGUCUUCAUCUCAUUCACUGCCGGAGGGUGGCGUAAGCAGUGACGCUAAGGUGGGGCACAGUCAAUAUCAUUUGCAUUUGACCAUUAUAGUUUUCUCCCGGCUUGAAAGUAACCUUAUCGUGAUAAAGGAUUACUAGCACUAGUUCAGAUGACCGUCAUGUUAAUUCGGACCAUGUUUGUGUCACAUUAUCAGCAACCAUGUGUUUAUGGUUCAUGCUAUCUGCAACUAAACUUGAUAUAUAACCAGGUGAACUUCAAUCAAAAUUCUGGAAGUACUCUUGUGAUAGAUGGUGCCUGUCUGCAGAGUCCAUCAAUUGAAAAAUGGAGUGAGUGUAUCUAUAAGAGGGAAGGCUUGGCAAAUGUUCAGUUUUCUGGGAAUUCAACAAGGAUCUAAAAUAGAUUGUUUUCUUUGCCGACUUCAAUGGUUGAAAUUUGAGAAGAUUGUGUCCACAUAUCACAACUAUUACUGGUCCUUCUGUUGCAAUUUAUCCUGUAAGGCUCUAACAUGUCUUCCAAUUCCCACUUCCCUGUUACUCCAGGAAAGCUAUUUCUGUCAUUGUGAAGAAGAAAAGAGAAUGUACAUAUCGAUGCUUUUAAGUGACUGGAGCAUUCAUAUCAGGUGGUCUGCAGCCAUAUAUGCCACUUUGUGAAGGUUGGAACAGUCAAUCACUAGGCUAUAUAUUGGUGUGGCCCAGCCACUUCAAUCAAGGACAAGUCUUCAUACUUAAAGUCAAAUUCUGCCUUUAGUCUCAUUAUAAAUUGCUGUUUAAAUAUUAAGCAAACUUUUGUUUAAUGCGAUUAAGACAGUACUAACUCAAUACUUGUUCUAUUUUUGGAUGCAAAUGCUUGAUGGUUUCAUCAUUGGAUGGGAUAAAGGUGCAUUCAUGAUUAUGAAUACUUGUAGUUAUAUUUUCAUUCUCUUUUUUCUCAAUGAGACUUGUUGGCACAAUGUUGCUGUUCAGAAACCUACCUCUCCAUGGAAAAUAAGUUGCGAUUGAUAGUACUGGAUAUGUUCAAGAAAGCUAAAUAUAGAUAGCACAAAAUAUUAUCGAUAUAAAUAGCAUUAACAGCGUACGUAUGUCUCAAUGCUCAUCAGCUAUAAGCAUGGGACAAACACUUACUAUGAGCAACUUACGUCAAAAUUCCAGAAUAGGACAUAGAAGUGACAGAUCUAUAUAUAUAGAACACUGCAUAUGAGUCACAAGAAAGGAAAUUACGGGUGCAUAGCAGCUCUUAUUUUACAUACUACUACUCAUACUGAUCAAAGUCACUCAGUUGGGAUGGGUGGGAGUAGGAGGUUUGUGGGGUGGCUUGUGCGGAGGAGUUGGCAGCUUCUUUCCAGGACCUGGUUGCUUCUCUGCUGGAGUUGAAGGAGGCUUAAUCUUCCGAGGUGGCUUGUAUGAGUCUUCAGCAUUCUCAGCUGGAGGGUGACCAGGGUUGUGACCAUAAUGUGGUGGCUUCUCUCCCUUAGGUGGUUUGCCAACUGGGGUUGGUGGCUUGUAUGAGUCUUCAGCAUUCUCAGCAGGAGGGUGACCAGGGUUGUGACCAUAAUGUGGUGGCUUCUCUCCCUUAGGUGGUUUGCCAACUGGGGUUGGUGGCUUGUGUUCUGGGAGUGGCUUCUCCCCCUUGGGAGGUUUUUCCAAUGGGGUUGGUUUGUGUUCAGGAGGUGGCUUCUCCACUGGAGGCUUGUGUUCAGGAGGUGGCUUCUCCACCGGUGGCUUGUGUUCAGGAGGUGGCUUCUCCACCGGAGGCUUAUGCUCUGGUGGUGGCUUCUCCACCGGAGGCUUAUGCUCUGGUGGUGGCUUCUUGAAUGGGGGAUGCUGAGGGUAAUCAGCAAGUGAGGGGGCGGUGAGAACCACCAGGCCAAGCAACACCACUAGCAAAUAUGUAGGAGACAUCUUUGGGUUUGGGCUCAGAUGGUGCAAAACUAGGAGAAUUGGCUAGCCUUUUAUAGCGGAUCGUACUCAAUAAUGAAAUGACACGUGUCAUUAUGACCCAUGUGUAAUGGGGUCGAUUUGGGUCCUACAGUGUUGAAAACUUCGACAUCCAGUUUUGGCCUUUUGCUUUCUCUACAGCCGCCUUGCUUUUUCCCUCUUUCCUUUUGUUUUCCUCCUGCCCCAUUCUAUCAACUAAACACAAUUAUGUAGUUGUUUAAUUCUUAAAUGAGAUAUUAUCGGUCAAUCGUAUUAUAUUUUAUCAAGAGAGAACGGAGUGCAAUGCAGCUGUAAUUUUAUCGUUUACUUUUAUCUCUUGGACCACUGCAUUUUUGUUAAGAGGUGCAAUAAUACACGUCUUUAUCUGCCAUUCAAUGUUUACAGUAAAGAGAGGGCACAAAACUCUUCACUGCUCUGCAUGUGUCCCAAAAAUGCGAUUGGACAAAUUAUGAUUUGCAUGCUAAAAAGAGGCAAAUGAGGUUAAUUCGCACCAUAAUUAUUUGGUUUUCUGGACACCAUAAAAAGAUGUUAUACAGGCAGGGAAAAACCUUCAGAGUUAGCUACCAAAGAUAAUUAUCAAGCAGAUAUCACCAAGAGAAUUCCAUAGAGUCUGAAUCAAAGACAGAUUGCUCGCUCGUGGGGGUUCUUACUUUCUUUUGGGUAUAACUCACUGAGGUCACUGUCUUUUUUAUUUGCAUUUCACAGUUAGAGUUCUGCUCUGGAAGGUUUGUUCUGGAAACAUAUAAAAGGAGCAUCAUUUUGUUCUUGGGUAACCCAUAGUCGUGAGUGGGUCCAUUUGCAUGCUACUUAGUUGAAAAGUUGGACAAUUUGCUCCGACGCCUACCUCCUGGAUUCCAUGCUCGGUAAAACAAGAAUAAAAAAAAAUAUAUAAUUUACAAAUGGGGGAAAGAAAAAAUGUCGGAAAAAAUAGUAAAAUUCAUGUCACAUGCUAGUGAGAGAAGGGGUUGUUACACUCACUCGAAGUUCUUUUCAAAAUAUCGAAUGGUAUUUUACUUUAUGUGUCAGCGCAGUUGUGAAUGGAACGUGCAAAAGUCCAAAUUGGCGUUUUUAUUUUUCCCAUGUAGGAUGGUGACCUUUAAUAAAUAUUUAAAACAAAAGACGAAAAAAAAAAGGAGGGAAAAGGGAUCACAAAAGAUAAAAUAAUGUUUACAAAAGCUCAAUUAGUUUGCAAAUUACUGUUUGGAUUUUGAUAGUAUUUUAUUUGUCGUUCUAUAUUUGAUGUAAAAGAGAAUUUAAGAUAUUUCCGAAGCAAAAGCAUUAGUUUGCUCUGUGAUGUCCCACAUCGAAUAGGGGAGAAAGUUUCUGGCGCUAUAUAUGUAGAGGCUCCUCUUAACCAAGUAGAUGCGUUUUAAAACCAUGAGGGCCCCCUUAGGUCCAAAGCGGACAAUAUCUACAUGAUUGGGUGUAAGUCAUUACAAAUGGUAUCAGAGCCGAUCCCCGACCCCGGUGUGGGGGUUUGUUUGGCCCUGUAAGGGGUGUUUGUCUGUUUGACCCCACAAUCCCAUGGGACACAACGAGGACGUUGUGUCUGCAUGGGGGGGCGUUUGUGAUGUCCCACAUCGGAUAGGGGAGAAAGUUCCUAGUGCUAUAUAUGUAGAUGUUUCUCUUAACCAAGUAGAUGCAUUUUAAAAUUGUGAGGGCCUCUUUGGGCCCAAAGCGGACAAUAUCUACAUGGUUGAGUGUAAGUCAUUACAUGCUCCAUGUCAAUUUCAGCAUUUCUCAUAUGUUUCACACAUACACAGAAGAGCAUCGUUUUUUAAAGCAUGCAUUUAUGUUGGAUUAAUUUGGAUUUUGUGGGAACUGGGGCAAGGAUCACAUGGAAGAGAGGUUGACUUUUUUCAGUACUUCAAUGGUUGAAAUAUGUGAAGGCUUGAUUGAUACUAAAGCUUGAAAUUGCGACUCUGUCAUUUGUAAAAAAAUAUGACAGCUUCCAUGCUCUCGUUUGGUUGCAUUGUCCGGUCGAGAGGUGCAAAAAGCAUUCUCUCUCUUCUAAUAGUCUUUUCGUUUAAAUCAAGGGAUUUGCCUUCCCGGUCGAGGUCCAAUAGAGGGUAACGGUCACCUACUAAACAUUAAAUGCUCCAACAACUAGUGAACUGAUCGACCCCAGCUCGACUAGUUGAGGUUACUUUUUGGUUUUCUUGUCUCCCGAGGUUAGAAACCUAUAAAUAGAGAGCUUCACUUCAUUUAUGAGUAAGAGAACACCUAAAUUUAUUUGUUUACCUACUUGUUUUUGCCAUAAAAGCUCUCAUUUCUUUUCUUGGUGUAUUAAAUCUCCAUUUGCAUAUCCUUUAGUGCACCUUUGUGAUUCAUUCUAGCCUUGAGUUGUAUUUAAGCCUUUGUUGAGCUAGGUUGAGAGUUUCAUACUUGUUUAUUGAGUGUUAAAGCCUUCAAGUGAGUUAAAACUUGAAGAGAUUGUGUAAGAGCCCAUUGGAGUCGGAAUCCAAGUGUAAAGGUGAUUAAAAGCUUGGUUGAAGCUUCAAGUUAGUGGAACUCUCACUCGGUUAUGAGCUUGAGAAGAGUGGACAUAGACAAGGCAGUGUCGAACCACUAUAAAAUCUGAGUUUGAUUUCUCUAACCUUAUCUCUUUAUAUUUGCUUCUCUUGUGCUUAAAUUUUUUGUGUUUAAAAAGAAUUUUUAAAAACUCAAUUCACCCCCUUCUUGGGAGUUUUUCUCUUUUAAGAUCAGCUUUUAUUUUCUCAAUUGGUAUCAGAACUAUGCCUCUUGUUUAAGACUUAAUCGUCUAAGAGGAAAUGGCUAAUCCAUCAAGUUCAUCUCACAUUGAAAGUUUUGCAACCAAUAGACUUCUUUUUUUUUUUUUGCGGGAACUGAUUAUCCCUAUUGGAAAACUAAAAUGACUUGGUUUUUACAAUCAAUUGAUUUAGAUGUAUGAGAUGCCAUUGAAGAUGACCUAACUUUUCCUUCAAAACUAGUUGAUGGAGUCAUGGUUCCAAAACCUAAGCAAGAAUGGGAUGAGCGUGAUUGAAGAAAUUUUCAAUUAAAUGCUAAAGUCGUUUAUACUUUGCAAUGCUCUAUGGACAGAAAUGAAUAUAAUAGAAUAUGUCAAUGCAAAUCGGUUAAAGAAAUUUGGAGAUUGCUUGAAAUAACUCAUAAAGGAACAAAUCAAGUUAAAGAGUCAAAAAUCAAUUUACUUGUUCAUAGAUAUGAAUUGUUUUUUAUGAAAGAUAAUGAAACUAUUGUUAAGAUGAUCACUAGGUUCACCAACAUUGUUAAUGGUCUUAAAGCCUUGGGAAAGACCUACAAGGAAUCCGAAAACGUGAUGAAGAUCUUGAGGUCACUUCCAUCAAAGUGGCAUACCAAGGUCACCGCAAUUUAAGAAGCAAAAGACUUGAUCAAGCUACCUUUGGAGGAGUUCAUAGGGUCAUUGAUGACAUAUGAAAUCAAUUUGGCAAAGAAGUAACAAAAAGGUGAAGACAAAAAGAAGAAGAACAUAACUCUCAAAGCUACAACUAAGGAAGAAGAAGUUGAAGAAGAAAAACAAAUUGAAGAAGAUGAAGAUUUAGCCCUCAUCACAAGAAAGUUCAACAAAUUCAUGAGGGGUGAAAGGUUUAGAAGAAGAAGGUUCACUUCUAGAAGAGACUUUUCUAAAAAGGAAUCUUCAUCUAAUGGUGACAAAAAGAGAUGGGAAGAGAAAAGAGACUUGGUGUGUUUCAAGUGCAAGAAACCGGGACACAUUAAAUAUGAUUGUCCUCUCUACAAAAGUGAAGUCAAGAGGAAAAAGAAUAAGGCAAUGAUGGCCACUUAGAGUGAAAGUGAAGAUGAAUCAUCCGAAGAAGAAAAUGAGAAAGAAGUGGCAAACAUGUGUUUCAUGGCAAUAGAUGAACUUGAUGAGGUAAAAUCUAACCUUAGUGAUUAAGAUAUACAUGAUGCAUUUGAAGAAUUGUAUGAGGAUUUUUAAAAACUUAGUUUGAAAAAUAUUUCUCUUAAAAAGAAAGUUCAACAACUUGACAAAGAACUUAGAGAAGUAAAAGAAAAAUUUUCAAAUGUUAAAGUUUCUAAAACUCAUCUUGAAAAAGAAAAUGAGAUUCUAAGAAAGAAAAAUGAAUAGUUGAACUCCUCUCUUUCAAUCUUUUCUUCUAGACAAAAAUCUUUUGAAAUGAUUCUAACUAGCUAAAAAUGUGUUUUUGACAAACAAGGGUUAAGAUUUAAAUCUUCAAAAAAUCAAAAGUAUUUUAAAAACUAUUUUGUAAAGGAAUCCACAAGUGCAAGUCCUUCCACUACUUGCAACUUUUGUGGAAGAGAAUGGCACAUUAGUAGUACGCCCUUUAAGAAAUGGUUCUCAAAAGAAUUUAAAUGCAAAAACUAAAAAAGAUUUGGAUUGAGAAAUCCAAGGUCACUAACCCUCAAGGACCCAAAAAGAUAUAGGUACCUAAAUCAACUUGAGUUUUAUGUUGUAAGGUUCAAAGAAUGAUAAGUGGUUCUUAGAUAAUGGUUGCUCAAGACACAUGACCGGAGAUGAAUCCAAGUUUGCUUUUCUUAAAAAGAAAAAUGGAGGAUAUGUUACCUUUGGAGACAAUGCAAAAGAAAGGAUGAUUGGUCAAGGCAACAUUGGUAAUGGCACAUCCUCUCUCAUUGAAAGUGUUUUAUUAGUAGAUGGUUUCAAACAUAACCUUUUAAGCAUUAGUCAAUUUUGCGACAAAGGUUUUUAAGUGAUUUUUUAAGCAUCUCAUUGCAUCAUCAAGGAUAUUCAAAAUGAUAAAACCAUUUUCAUGGGCCAUAGAUGUGAUAAUGUUUAUGCUAUAAAUAUUUCAAAAUAUGAUGGCCAUGAUAGAUGUUUUUCAAGCAUGCAUGAUCAAAGUUGGUUGUGCCAUAGGAGAUUGAGACAUGCUAACAUAGACCUCAUUUCCCAACUCAACAAAGAUGAACUUGUUAGAGGCCUUCCCAAAAUAAUUUUUUAAAAAGAUAAAGUUUGUGAAGCUUGUCAAGUGGGAAAGUAAAUCAAAAACUCUUUUAAAAACAAAAACUUCAUUUCCACAUCUAGGCCACUUGAGUUGUUGCAUAUGGAUUUAUUUGGUCCCUCUAGGACACCAAGUCUUAGAGGAAAUUCUUAUGCAUAUGCUAUUGUGGACGACUUCUCUAGAUACACAUGAGUCUUGUUUUUUAGUCAAAAGAAUAAAGUUUUUUAUGAGUUUUCAAAGUUUUGCAAUAAGAUUCAAAAUGAAAAAGGUUUUUCAAUUACUUAUAUAAGAAGUGAUCAUGGGAGAGAAUUCGAAAAUAUUGAUUUUGAAGAGUAUUGCAAUGAGCAUGGAAUUGACCACAAUUUUUUGGCUCUUAGAACUCCUCAACAAAAUGGGGUAGUUGAAAGGAAAAAUAGAACUCUUCAAAAAAUGACAAGAACCAUACUAAAUGAAAACAACUUACCAAAAUAUUUUUAGGCCAAAACGGUUAACACUUCUUGUUAUGUUUUAAAUAGAGUAUUAUUGAGGCUCAUACUUAAGAAAACUCCCUAUGAGCUUUGGAAAAACAAAAAACCCAACAUUAGUUAUUCCAAAGUCUUUGGAUGCAAUAUUUUAUAAUAAACACCAAAGACAAUCUUGGAAAAUUUGAUGCAAAAUUGGAUGUUGGAAUUUUCCUUGGUUACUCAACUUCAAGUAAAGCUUUUCGAGUUUUAACAAAAGAACCAUGGUUGUAGAGGAGUCCAUCCAUGUUAUUUUUUAUGAAUCUCCAAGAAAGAGAGAGGAUUGAUGAUGAUUUAGGUUUGAAGACCUCUAUAGGAAGAUUGCAAAUCGAAGAUAGAAGACAACAAGAAGAAAAUGGAGAGAAUCCAAAGAAAGAAGGAUCACCAUUGGCACUACCCCCUCAUCAACAAGCGCAAGGUGAAUCAAGUCAAGAGCUUCCUAAAGAAUGGAAGUUUGUCAUCAAUCACCCACAAGAUCAAAUUAUAGGCAAUCCAUCUAGUGGGGUAAGAACUAGAUCCUCUCUUAGAAAUAUUUGCAAUAAUCUAGCUUUUAUCUCUCAAAUUGAGCCUAAAAAUAUAAAUGAUGUUUUAGAUGAUGAAAAUUGGAUAAUUGCAAUGCAAGAAGAGUUAAAUCCAUUUGAAAGAAGUGGAGUAUGGGAAUUAGUACCAAGACCUUCAAAUCAAAGUGUUAUUGGAACUAGAUGGAUCUUUAGAAAUAAAAUGGAUGAAAAUAGCAUAAUUGUUAGAAAUAAAGCAAGAUUGGUAGCCCAAGGUUUUAAUCAAGAAGAAAUGAUAGAUUAUGAAGAAACCUUUGCCCCCGUAGCUAGGUUGGAAGCCAUUAGGAUGCUACUUGCCUUUGCAUGUUUUAAAGACUUUGUUUUAUAUCAAAUGGAUGUGAAAAGUGCUUUUUUAAAUGGUUUUAUAAAUGAAGAAGUAUAUGUUGAACAACCACCCGGUUUUCAAAGUUUCAACUUUCCUAACCAUGUUUUUAAACUUAAAAAGACACUUUAUGGUUUGAAACAAGCACCUAGAUCAUGGUAUGAAAAAUUGAGUAAAUUUCUUUUGAAAAAAAUGUUUUAAAAUGGGAAAAAUUGACACAACUCUUUUUAUAAAAACCAAAGAAAAUGAUAUGCUCUUAGUUCAAAUAUAUAUUGAUGAUAUCAUUUUUGGUGCUACUAAUGUCUCUCUUUAUGAAGAAUUUUCUAAGUGCAUGCAUAGUGAGUUUGAAAUGAGCAUGAUAGGAGAACUCAACUUCUUCCUUGGACUUCAAAUCAAGCAACUAAAGGAAUGAACCUUCAUCAAUCAAGCAAAGUAUAUAAGAGAUCUUCUCAAAAGGUUCAACAUGGAAGAAGCCAAAACAAUGAAGACUCUAAUGAGCUCAUCCAUUAAGCUUGAUAAGGAUGAGAAAGGUAAAUCCAUUGACUCUAUUAUGUAUAGAGGCAUGAUAGGUUCUUUGCUCUAUUUGACCACUAGUAGACCUUACAUUAUGUAUAGUGUGUGUUUGUGUACUAGAUUUCAAUCUUGUCUUAAAAAAUCUCACUUAAGUGUCGUGAAAAGAAUCCUCAAAUAUUUGAAAGGGACAAUGGACAUAGGCUUAUGGUAUCCUAAGAGUGAUAACUUUGAAUUAAUUGGUUUUUUGGAUGCUGAUUUUGUCAGUUGUAGGGUUGAAAAAUAAAACACUAGUGGCACUUUUCAUUUCUUAAGACACUUACUUGUCUCAUGGCAUAAUAAGAAGCAAAAUUUGGUAGCUUUGUCAACAGCAGAAGCUAAAUACAUAGCAACUGGUUUAUGUUGUGCACAAAUCCUUUGGAUGAAAUAAACACUUAGUGAUUUUGAUUUAUCUUUUGAGCAUAUUCCUAUUAAAUGUGAUAAUAGUAGUGCCAUAAGUAUAUCAAAAAAUCUCGUGCAACACUCUAGGACUAAGCAUAUAGAGAUUAGACAUAAUUUUCUUAGAUAUCAUACACAAAAGGAUGAUAUAACACUUGAAUUUGUAAGCAUAAAAGACCAACUUGCCGAUAUCUUUACAAAACCUCUAAGAACAUUUUGUUGAUAUUAGAGGACAAUUAGGAGUGAUUUCUUUAUGAUCUAAUGUGAUGAAUUCUUGAUGAAUAUACUUUUUGAUUGCAUGAAUUUCAUGUCAUAUAUGCAUCAUAUAGAAAUAUACUUAGAUAAUGGUCAAAUUUCGACCAAAAAUCAAAAUUCCCAUGGCAUUAGGCAUAAAAAUUUUGGAAUUUCAACUGAAAAUGGUAGGAGGAGGAUCACAAAAUGAGAAAGUAUGCAAAAAUUGAAAAAUCAAAACGUUGACCAAGCGGUCAAUCGGACUAGACCGAUCGACUAGUUUGUCGAGAUUUAGGAUUUUUAAGAGACUCCAACGCUUCAAUUUUUGCACCGUUCUCCUCUAUUUCUUCACGGUUUCUCUGAUUUUGUCUUUUAGAGACUAAUUUGAGUGCGUUUUGGAUCAAUUGAAGCAUUUUGGAUUGGAUUUUAGGAAGAUUGAAAGUUAAGGUUUCGGAUUUGGGUCGCCUUCUCUUCCUCUCGCGUGUCACAAUCAGCUUUAGCAUUGUUCUCUUUCCAUUUUCACACACCUAGGGUUUCAGUUGUGAGCAUCUCUCUCUCUUUACCAACCACUACUCCCUUGCUUCUUCCAUAUGGCUCCUAGGCGAGAGUCCGCUACUUCUAGGGCACAAGGCAAGCACCCAACUGAGUCGUCUCAGUCAAAGGCACGUCGAAAAGUGAGAUUUGACAUUGCCUUGUUCAGUUCCAUGGAGGACUACCAACUAUACAAGCAACACUUUGCUUAGAGACGAGUAGUUCCCAAGAGAAAUAUUAAUUUUCCUCAACUUCAGCAUUUCGAAUUUAAGGGUCUAUUUACUAGGAUGGUUGGUUGUCUAUUGUCACAAUUUCGGAGCCGGUUUUCCUGACCUUAGUGCGAGUUUUUUACUCGAGGGCGACUUAUGGCAUGGGUGGCAUGAUCAUUUCUACUGUUGGAGGAGUUGAGAUCUGUCUGGACCCAGAGAGCAUCUGCCAUAUUUUCGAUAUUGCUCUGGUUGGACUCAAAGUAUACAAGUCCAAAAUGUGGCCCAUUGUGCCAGGAUUUGAGCUUAGAGAGGUCAUUCAGAGGAUUUGUGAACUUCCAGACGCCCAGGAGAUGGGCAAACCAUUGCCACACAGUUUGACGGUCAUCAACAGGGUGCUACACCAUAUAUUGUGCUCUAUCUUUCUACCACGAAGUGGACAUUGAGAUGAGGUCUCUUAUUAUGAGGCAUUCCUUAUUGACUCCAUUCUAACGGAGAGACGAAUUCAUCUACUAUGUCAUCAUUCACUAAGCCUCCUCACAGUGACAUACCACCUCAUCAGGCACCUCUUGCUCCUGACCAUGCUCCAUUGAUGGAUUUAUUUACUCAUAUUAGCUCUCUAGGCACUCGCAUGAAGGAGUUUGUUGUAGUUAGUGAUACAUGGUUCUACUCCAUAGAGGAUCGCAUGGAUCAGUAUCAGACUGGCUUCACGUCACAGUUUGAGUAUCUCCAAUAGAGGAUUGAGCAUAUUGAGGAUCACUUGAGCAUGAGAAGAUGAUGGCUUUUCUAUGCUCUGUGUUUCCACCUCCACCUCGUCAACCUUGAUUUCUUAGAGACCCAUUGUUUUCAUUUUGUAAUGUUGCCAAAAGGGGGAGAUAUUUAGGAUCUAGGACUCUAUAGGAGACUUACAUGCAUAUCAUUUUCAUAUCAUUGUUUGGAUCGUACAUAUUGGAUAGUGAUACUUUUUACUUAUAUAUGAUAUGCCUAUAUGUUUCAUGUCUUACAUUGUUUCUUAUUGCAAAUUAUCUCUAACAUGUCUUGAUUAUCUUUUUUUUAACUUCAUAAAUUUUGAUUGUUAACCCAUGAUUGGUUUGAGGGGAAGAUUCUUCUUCUCCUAGAUAACCAAGGUUUGUCAUCAUAAAAAAAUUGGAGAUUGUUAGCCCAAGGGUUCUCCUAAUCAUGUUUUGAUGAUAACAAACCAUGCUUAAGUUACUAAUUGGUUUGAAUUAUAAAGAAUUUCAAGUGUUAAUUUGAAAAUUCAUCAAAGAACCUAAUGGAUGCAAGAUCAAGAUUUUUGGAAGACCUUUAAUCAUAAGAAACAUAUGUAAGAUGAAUGCAUGGGUGCACUUAAGAUUUGCAUAUCAUUUCAUGCAUAUUUGGAAAACACGGUUUAUGCUUUAAAGUUACAUUUCCAUCAAAAUUUGAGAUCCAUCAAAUGAACCUUAGGAAAAAUGUUUUAAAAUUGGCAUAUAAUUUUACCUAAAGACCUUGCCUAAGUGUUAGAAGCAAAAGGACAAAAAAAAUAUAGGUUUUCUGGUCAAAAAUGGUGAACCAGUCAAGGCAUUGUCUAAAUCAGCUCAAUCGGCCAAGGUACCGGUCGAUCGGUUUCCCUUUCCCUGUCGAGAUCUAGUCAAGAGGUACAAAAAUCACAAUCUCUGUCUCUUUCUCUCUUUGUCUAUCUUCCAGUAGUCUUUCCUUCCCGGUCGAGGGAUUUGCCUUCCCGAUUGAGGUCCGAUUGAGAGUAAUAGUCACUUGCCAAAUAUUAAAUGCUCCAACAGUUAGUGAACUGGUCGACCCCCACCUUGCCCAGUUGAGGUUACUUUUUGGUUUUCUUGGCUCCCGAUGUUAGAAACCUAUAAAUAGAGAGUUCCACUUCAUUUAUGAGCAAGAGAACACUUGCAUUUAUUUGUUUACCUACUUGUUCUUGCCUUAAAAGCUCUCAUUUCUUUUCUUGGUGCAUUAAAUCUCCAUUUUGAUAUCCUUUAGUGCACCUUUGUGAUUCAUCUUAGCCUUGAGUUGUAUUUGAGCCCUUUUUUUAGCUAGGUUGAGAGUUUCAUACUUGUUAAUUGAGUGUUAAAGCCUUCAAGUGAGUUGAAACUUGUAGAGAUUAUGUGAGAGUCGAUUGGAGCCGAAAUCCAAGUGUAAAGGUGAUUAGAAGCUUGGUUGAAGCUUCAAGUUAGUGGAAUCCUCACUCAAUUAGGAGCUUGAGGAGAGUGGACGUAGCCAAGGAAGUGUCGAACCACUAUAAAAUUUGAGUUUGAUUUCUCUAACAUUGUCUCUUUAUAUUUGUUUAUCUUGUGCUUAAAUUUAUUGUGUUUAAAAAGAAUUUUUAAAUACCCAAUUCACCCCCCUCUUGGGUGUUUUUCUCUUUUAAAAUUAGCCUUUAUUUUCUCACAAACUAUUGUAGUAUAGUGGUUUUUAGGUGUCAUCCAUUAGGAUGAAUUGUUCUCGGUAAUUAAGGCGUGAAUGAGAGGAGAAUUAAUGAUUGUGAUUAAGUAAAAUUGAUUUGAAAAUUCAUGGUGAAAAAUCAAUUUAACAAUGGUUUCUAAUUGAGAAAAACAAUGAAAUGUGAAAUAAAAUAAAAUUAAUAGGAAAUGAAAUUCUCGAAGUUAGAAUUUUCUAAAAAACAAAUUCCAUGGUGAAUGGAUGUUGAGAUCUAAUUUUCAUCAAGUUAGAUUGAAAACCGAAAUUUUCAUAUAAACUGAUUUUUUAUUUAGUUUUAGGUCUAGAUUUAAUUUCCCUUAAAAUUAGGUUAUUUAAUCCAAGAAAUCAAUUCAAAUCAUAUAUUCAAUUCAUCUUAAAUUAUCUUCCAAUUAUUCACACAAUGCAACUAUUCAAUCUCAUCAAAUCUAGCUUUUAAGAAUUUAAUGAAUCUACCUAGUUUGCAUUGUAAUAGUCAUCCAUGACAAUUUGAAGAGAAAAAUAAUUCAAUUAAUCAAUCACUUGGAUCAAAUUACCUUUGCAAUUAAAGUUCAUUUCUCUAAUUCACCACAGAUUUUGUCUCUAGAUCCUCCUUUCUCAAAGAAAAAUGAGAUUUAGCCACACAUGAUUGGAGAUUUGGUCUCAUAAGGCAUGUUUAGCUAGUGAUAAAAUGAGAGAAAAUAAAGAAAAAUAGAGAAUUCGAUUAAGAAAGAAAAUCUAAAAAAUUCUACAAUUAGAAAUGUCCAAAAAGCUUUUUCAUGAGAAAAUCAAGUUUCUAUUUAUAGGCCAAGGUCAAGUGGACACUUGACAUCAUCUAAGAGGUCUUCCGGAAGCUUCUUCAUCAAGAAAUCUGGAGUUUAAUAAUAAAAUGGUCAUUUCACAAGAGCUCAAACAAUUUCGCAUGAUUAUGUGAAAUAAAAAAUGCAACAACAGCAAUUUACAUCUUCUUGGAGCAUUUCGCAUGACUGUGUGAAAUUUUCACAUGAUCAUGUGGAAUCGACUUGACAACUCUCAUUUAGCCUACAACAUAAUUCCACCUUUUGGUCCAUUUUUCAUAGUCAUGCGAAAUGGAAAUAUUUGAUUUUUAAGUUUUCUUUUGUCAUUUCUUUCAUUUCCUUCUCUUGAUUCCACUUCAACUACCUCCGAAUCCUGGUCCAAACCAAUUGCAUUACUUCUUUCAUUAUGCAUUUGGAUCAUCAUCAACAUUAUUUGUUCUCUUCAAUUUGAUUCAUCUCUUUUGUCACCAAUUUAUCAAAAUCAUACCUUGAAAUGACUCCAAAACUUCAUAAAACUUGUUAGUAACUCUUGCAAGGGCAACAACAUAUUAAUUAAGUGUUUUAGGCAUAGUUACUACUCAAAAGAUGCGAAACUCAUGAUAAUUAUUAUAUAAAAUAUGCUCUUUUUGAGUAGUAAUCAACUUUCUUGCAUAAGCAGACCUUUUAGGGUGGAGUACUAAAGACCAAUAUGCUUGUCCUUGUUGUAAUAAAGAAACUUGCUCUUAUUGAUUGCACCAUGGGAGAAAAUUUUGCUACAUGAGUUAUCAUCAAUUUCUUCCCACCAAUCAUAGAUUUAGACGUGACAAGAGGCCUCUUAAUGGCAAGGAGGAACUGACACUCACACUUAUACAAUUAUCGGGCAUUGAUGUGUUGCAACAAUUAGAAUAACUUACACCAAUUAUGUUGGGGAAGUCACAAAAGGCAAACAUGAAAACUAAAAGGAAAAAAGAAAAAUGUUACAUAUCACCACAACUGGAAAGAAAAAAGUAUUUACUUUCAUUUGCCAUAUUGGAAAGCACUUAUUUUACAUCAUAAUAAUUUAGACAUAAUGCAUAUUGAGAAAAAUGUGUGACAAUAUAAUUGAGACAUUGUUCAGUAUUGACGAAGAAACAAGGACAACCUAAAUAGUCAUCUCGAUUUACAAGCUCUAACUAUUAGAAAUGAGAUUCACCCAAUAGAAAGCAGGACCAAAUUUAUUUUGCUUGCAACAUGCUACUCACUCACCCCAAAUGAGAUUAAGGAAUUUUGCAAGUUUUUGAAAUCAAUAAAGGUCCCCAAUGGCUAUUCUUUCAAUAUCUCUCGUUAUGUGCAACUCAAUGAAAGGAAGAUAUAUGAGCUCAAAUUGUAUGAUUGUCAUGUCCUAAUGCAACAACUUCUCUCACUUGUAGUUCGUGGAGUUCUACAUAAGAAUGUUUGUGGAGUUAUCAUAGAAUUGCGUAAUUUUUUCAAGCAAUUGUGCUCAAAGGUGUUAGAAACAAAUCACUUACACCAACUUGAGAACAAUAUUAUUGUCAUACUAUGUAAAAUGGAGCAAAUAUUUCUUCCAUCAUUCUUUGAUAUUAUGGUGCAUUUACUUGUGCAUCUAGUAAGGCAAAGGUUGCAAGACUUGUGCAAUAUUGUUGGAUGUACCUAAUUGAACGAUAUUGUUAUAAUUUCAUAUGAAUCAUUUAAUUUUAUUUUAUAUUAUGUUCAGUUCAUUAACAUGUACAUUGGUCUACAUAUGGAUGAUGAUAGGUACCUAAGCACUUUAAAGUCAUAUGUGCGUAAUAGAACUUUUCUAGAAGGUUCUAUUGUAGAAAGGUACCUUGCAAAAGAAUGUACAACAUUUUAUUCUAGGUACUUGAAUGAUGUGGAAAUAAAGUAUAAUCACAAUGAUAGAAACUUUGUUGGUUUCAACACUAGAGGAGAUGAAAGGGGUUAUCUUUAAACAUAUUGGACAUGCAUUGGGAAAGCCCAUAUUUCAUUAACUUAGUUCAAAAGAGUGGUCACAAGCACAUUUAUAUGUGUUGACAAAUUGCGAAGAUGUCAUACCAUUCAUUGAGUAAAAAAUUUAUUUGAAUUUUAAUUAAAGCUCUAGUUUAUAUCCUUAAUCAAUGUUUUUUAAAUUCACAAGGAGCACAAGCAAACCAUCAAGGCUAGACCACAUAUACGUGUUUGAGACGUAGAUUUAAUUCAUAACAAGGAAUUUAUCAAGUGGUUUGAAAGACAUGUAAGUAUAUUCCUUAUUAUAAGGGAUUUAUUUCACAUUAUGUUUAUAUUGAAUCCAAACCUAUUAUUGAAUUGUAGGUUGAACAAUUACAUAAUGAAGGUCAUAUAUCUGAACACCUUCUCACAUUAUCAUGUGUUCCAAAUUCAUUAGUUACAUGCUUCAAAUGAUAUAUUGUCAAUGGAUUUAGAUCCCACAUUAAAGAACGUGAUAAAAAAGUUUUUAAAAAAAGACUCAGAAUAAUGGAAUUGUUGUAGUUGCAAAAACGUCAAGCUUUACAAGUGCAUGUGAUAUGAGUCCAAUUAUUAGUGAUGCUCUCUACUAUGGUGUUCUAACUAAAGUUGUUGAGUUACAUUAUCUUGGUGAAAAUAAGGUUGUUUUAUUCGAGUUUGAUUGGUGGGAUGUUACAAAUAUUGGAAAAUUGAUAAAAGAUGAUGAGUACAAUUACACAUUUGUUAACUUUGCAUGAAUUCUAACCACGAACGAACGAUUUGUACUUGCAUCUCCAGCAAAGUAAGUGUUCUAUGUGAAGAAUGCGAAUGAAUCAGAUUGGCAUACUAUCAUGGAGAUGCAACCUCAAGACCUCUAUAAGAUGAACGGGAUAGGAUCCAAUGGUGAUUUUGAACCAUUUCAACAAAGUGAACUACAUGAUCACUAAUAUAUCUCAGAUUUAGUUGAUGAAGAUAUAAUCAAGUGGAACAAAAGUGAUGUUUUAGGACUAAUCAUCCUAAAAAAUAUUGUAGUUUCUUAAAAAAAAAAUGAAAAUGAAGAAGAUAAUUGAACCUUUGUCAUACUUUAAAAAGCAACUAUGCAUUGUUCAUUUUGUAUGUUUUGGUUUUCUUCAUUUAAUUUCCUGAUUUUUGUGAUUCAAUGUCAUAUUAUUGAUCUUGAAAUAUUUUUCUAAUUUUUCAUUCUACGAUGGUUUCAACAAGGAUGACAUCAAGUCAAAAAAGGAAAUGUGGUCCCACACACAAUAUUGCAUUACAGGGAUUAAGGUCAGGGAAGAAGGUAAAAGUUGCAUUUAAUGAGUACAAUCAAUUGGUUAAACAGAAAAAUGGAAAACACUUAUCGAGCUACAUAGGGACACUUGUAUCUAACCAACACAAUGUACCUCUCCAAGCUAGUGAUUGGAAAAAUGUUCCAAAUGAUGCAAAAGAGAAAGUAUGGCCUUUGUUUUGGUAUGUUGUAUUUCUCACUAUAUGAUGUCAUUUCACUGUUAUUCUAUUUUGUGACUAACGUUUGAAUCAUAUGUAAGAAAAAUUUGAAGUAGAUAAAGACUGAAAAGAUUACAUGUUGGGUAUAGCCUCAAAUAAAUAUAGAAGCUAUAAAAAUAUGAUGAAUGCAAAAUACUAUGACCCUUGGCAUAAGGAUGCAUGAGGAGAGGUUAAUACAUAAAUCACCAUUUGUCUCUGAUGUUGAUUGGAAGUGGCUUGUCUCUGAUGCAUAAACCAAAUCCCCCACUGAAUGUUUGAUAUUUGAUAGCAGGAAAAACACACCCGCAGCUAUACACCUCCAUCAUUCAGAUAAUUAUAGUGGGGGAGAUGAUUCAUGGUUGCCCUUAUACCCUUUAUUUGCACCAUCUAUUGAGAUUCUUUAUCAUGGCCAGGUUUUACUGCAGCAAUAAGAUAUGGUGGCAACAAUUUUAUCUAUAGGUGCGGUUCCAGACCGCCUCCAUAGGUGCGGUUCCUGACUGCCUCCAUAGGUGCCUCUUCUUGUAAUGUUUGUUCUGGGAAUUACACUUGAAAGCCUUAUCGUGAUAAGGGAUUACAAACACUAGUUCAGAGGACAGCCAUGUUAAACUUCCACUAUGUUUGUGUCACAUUAUCAGCAGCCUAGUGUUUAUUGGUCAUGCUAUCUGCAACUAAUAUAACCCGGUGAACUUCAAUCUAAAUUCUGAAAGUACUCAUGUGACAGAUGGUGCCUUUCAGCAGAUAUCAUCAAUUUAAAAGUAGUGUGUGUGCCUAUAGGUGGGAAGGCCUUGGCAAAUGUUCAGUAUUCCGGUAAUUCAAGAAGGAUAUAUCUAAAAUAGAUUUUCUUCUUGCCCAUUUCAAUAGUUAAAAUUUGAGAAGAUUGUGUCCACAUCACACAAAUAUUAUUGGUCCUUCUGUUGCAAUUUACCUCUGAACAUGUCUUCCAAUUCCCACGGUCCUGUUACUCCAGGAAAACUAUUUCGGUCAUAUUGAAAAAAAAAAUAUUAAAGAAGGUACACAUGCUUUUAAGUGGACUGGGGCAUUCAUAUCAGGUGGUCUGUAUCCACAUAUGCCACUUCGUGAAAGGUGGAACAGCCUAAUCACUAGGCUAUUUAGUGUGGCCCAGCCACGUUAAUCAAGCACAAGUCUUCAUACUUAAAGUCAAAUGGUGUCUUUAGUCUCAUUACACAUCGCUAUUUGAAGAUUAACUCAUCACUAGUGUAAUGCGAUUAAGACAGUCCUAACUCAAUAUUUGUUCUAGUUUUGGAUGCAAAUGCUUGCUGGUUUCAUCAUUGGAUGGGAUAAAGGUGCAAUCAGGACUAUGAAUACGUGCAGUAAUACUUCAUUCUCUUUUUUCUCAAUGAGACUUCUUGGCACAAUUUUGCUGCUCAGCAACCUACCUUUCCAUGGAAAAUCAGUUGUGACUGAUAGUAAUGGAUAUAUUCUAGAAAGCUAAACAUAGAUAGCAUUCAAUAUUAUCGAUAUAACAUUAACAGCGUAUGUCUCAAUGCUCAUCAGCUACAAGCAAUGGACAAACACUUUGAGUAACUCACAGCAGUCAAAAUUCCUAAACAGGACAGACGUGACAGAUCUAUAUAUAGAACACUGCAUAUGAGUCACAGGAAAAGAUAAUACGGGUACAUAGAAGCUCUUAUUUUACAUAUUACUCAUACUGAUCAAAGUCGCUCAGUUGGGAUGGAUGGGAGAAGGAGGUUUGAGGGGUGGCUUGUGCGGGGAAGUUGGCAGCUUCUUUCCGGGAGCUGGUUGCUUCUUUGCUGGAGUUGAAGGAGGCUUAAUCUUCCGAGGUGGCUUGUAUGAGUCUUCAGCAUUCUCAGCAGGAGGGUGACCAGGGUUGUGACCAUAAUGUGGUGGCUUCUCUCCCUUAGGUGGUUUGCCAACUGGGGUUGGUGGCUUGUUUUCUGGGAGUGGCUUCUCUCCCUUGGGUGGUUUGCCAACUGGGGUUGGUGGCUUGUGUUCUGGGAGUGGCUUCUCCCCCUUGGGAGGUUUUUCGAAUGGGGUGGGUUUGUGUCCUGGUGGUGGCUUCUCUCCCUUGGGAGGUUUACCAAUUGGGGUCGGUGGCUUGUGUUCUGGGAGGGGCUUCUCUCCCUGGGGAGGUUUAGUGGGUGGCUUGUGUUCUGGAGGUGGCUUCUCCACCGGAGGCUUAUGCUCUGGUGGUGGCUUCUCGAAGGGGGGAUGCUCAGGGUAAUCACCAAGUGAGGGGGUGGUGAGAACCACCAUGCCAAGCAACAACACUAGCAAGUAUGUAGUAGACAUCUUUGGGUUUGGACUCAGACAGUGCAAAACUACGAGAAAUCGCUAGCCCUUUAUAGCGGCUCGGACCUAAUACUGACAUAAUAUAAAAUAAAUAUUAUAUUUUAUCAAGAGAGAACAGAGUGUAAUUUUAUCAUUAAUACCGAUCGAGGCCAAAGAAAGAAGACCCAUAAUCCAUUUCCCACAAGCAUACACAAUGCAGCUGUAAUUUUAUCAUUUACUUUUAUCCCUUGGACCACUGCAUUUUUGUUGAGAGACACAAUAACACAUUUUUAUCUGUCAUUCAACAUUUACAGUAAAGAGAGGGCACAAAACGCAAUUAGAUAAAUUAUGUUUUGCCUGCUAAAAAGAGGCAAAUAACUUUAUUUGCAACAUAAUUAUUUUGGUUUCUAGUGACCCCGGGGCCUUUCGGUUGGUUUGGGAUCGGAAAAUGAACAUCAUAGGGGGGGUUGUGCCCUUAUGGGCAUAUAUAUCUGAUAGCUUCAACUGGCCUUGUUCCUAGAAAGAAAUUGCCAAAGAUAUAAACUUAUUCCAGGCUGAAAGUAGAUGAGAGUCAUAAUGAACAUCAACCUUUGUUCAGUUUGAUUCAAUGCCCCCAUAGUGUUCAUUUCACAGAUCUGAAUGAUUAUAUCCGUUGAAUACAUAAAUUAAUGAAGACAAAUAUGAAACCCAAGAUACAUCUCUGCAUAACAACCCCAACCCUGGUUGCUAUGUUUCCCUUCUUCUAUUCACAUGAGGAUACUGGUUAUAAUUGUCAAACUUGCAACAAGCCCUUUGACACCUAACGUCAAUGGACGAAUUAAAAGUCUCCUUCAAACGUCUAUUUCACAGCAUGAAGCUUAUAAAGGAUGCUGACAACCUUCAGAGUUAGCGACAAAAGAUAAUUAUCAAGGAGAGAUAGUUCCAUGAGAAUUCCAAGGAGUCUGAAUCAAAGACAAAUUGCUCACUCAAGGGUUCUUAUUUUCUUUUAGGUACAAAUCUCUUGAGUGUUGUUAAAGAAACACGUCACUGUCAUUUUGAUUUGCAUUUAACAUUUCACUUUUGUUCUGGAAGGUUUGUUCCGGAAACAUAUCAAAUGAGCAUCAUUUUCUUCUUCGGUGACACAUGGUCGCGAGUACGUGGGUCCAUUUUCAUGCCACUUAGUUGAAAAGUUGGAAAGAAAAAACAUGCCAACAAGAAGAUAGUGAGAGAAGGGGCACUUCAAGCCUUUAACAUGAACAAACAGUAAAUAAAAGAUGUUUCUCCACUCAUAAAAGUGUGUUAGAUAGCAAUAUAACGAAUCACAUCCAAAAUCUUUACUAGGCUCAAACAUAAAGAAGACUCAUUUUUAAGAAAAGAUAAAAAUGGCAUUGUCUGAUAGUAUCCAAUACACGAGAUGGCACUUAAUUUGUACAAGAUCUGUCAAUGCUGACGCACAUUUUCUGAUUAAAAAAAAACUGAUCAGUCAAAAGCAAUGAAGAGAAGUGAUGACAAUGAAUGAUGCUUCCAAUAUUUUCACCCCUUAUAGUGUUCUUCAUGAUUCAGAUAUAUAAUUGGAAAUAGAACAACCCUAUGCCAUACAUUCGUCUAAGUAUGGUGUCUAAUUUUUUGUGUCAGCGGUUGCGAAUGGAGCGUGCAAAAGUCCAAAUUGGCGUCUCUCCAUUUCCACAUAGGAAGGUGACCUUUAUUGACAAAUACCCAAUAUUUGUAGACAUUCCUUAAAUAUCAUAACUUCUUGUUGAUUUGAAAAUCAUUUUUCAACUACCAUGUUUUAAUAAAUAUUUUUUAAAAUGUAUUUUUAUCAAAGUCCACCAUGAUGGAUAAUAUUCACCAUGCAAUAAUUAAUAAAGUACAAACUAAGCGAAAUGAAAAGCAUUUUCUUUGCUUUGAGUUGAUUUUGGUUGCAUUGAGUUGAUUUUGGUUUCAUGGUUUUUUCAACUCUUAUUUUGAUUGGAAGAUGUCAAGAAAAGAAAACAUAAAGAAAAAUUAAAAGGGAAAAAAGAAGAAAAAUAAAAAAAAAUAGAUUUAAAAGUUAAUAAAUUAUUUUUUAUAUUUAUUUUAAUUCAUUUCACUUAUUUUUCUUUUACUAUAUAAAAUUUAAAUAAUUUAAAUUUUAUAAUUAAUUUAAUUACAUUUCAUUUUCUUCUAUAUUUAAAUAUUGGAAAAAUAUUUUACUUAAUAUUUUUUUCUUUAAUUUCUUUGGCAUUUUGGGAACCAAACUUAGCCUUUAAAAUAAAAAACAAAAAAAAAAUGAAAAUAAGGAGGGAAAAGUGAGAAAAGAUAAAAACAAUAUGUAAAGGAUUUGAAAAGUAUUAGUUUGUAAUUACUAUUUGGAUUUCAAUAGUAUUUUAUUUGUCUUUCUAUAUUUCAUGUAAGAGAGAAUUUAAGAUAUUCCCCAAGGCAAAGCAUUAGUUACCUGCAAUCAGUGGUGAUAAGGCUCCAAGCCAAUUUUGGGCCCCAUAUCUUAAGACAGUACAAUUUCCAUUUCAACAUUUCUGAUUUCUCAGAUGUUUCACAUACCACAGAAGAACAUUGUUUGUGAAAAUAUGCAUUUAUGUUGGAUUUUGUAUGCUGUGGGGACUGGGGCAAGGAUCAUAUGGAAGAGUGGUUGACUUUUUCUGUACUUUAACGGUUGAAAUAGGAUAAGCACGGGCAUUUGUGAGGCUUAAUUGAUUUUGAAGCCUGAAAUUGCGUUUCUGUCAUUUUGUCAAAAAAAUGGCAGAUUCCAUACUCAUAUGUUUGGCCUGUGGCCAUGUACAGAUGCCAUUUAGUGACCAGUUUGUAACUGUCAAUCGUUGCGUUUUGACUCUGCCUCAACAACAUCUGCCAUUGACGGGUUUUCAUACUUGCAAAUCAAAUAGUCUUUCGUCCCAUCAGGAAUUUCGGUUUAAAUAUUAUUAAGCAUACGUUUGGCUGACAAUCAUUAUCCAGUUCAUGAUUUGGUUUCUUACCCUUAAUCAAUGGUUUCUAAGUGAAUAUAUGUAGAAGGAAAUCCGAAGUGUAGACAGUAGUAUCGAUAACUCUCAAUAUUCUCUAUAUAAUAGAAUAAACAGCGUCAUAGUGAUCGUCGCCUACAAGCAAGGUACAAAUACCAAAACGAGUGACUCACAUAGACAUCUCCCAACAAGAUGUAGUAGUGACUGACACAUGGACACAAUUAACUCGUAGAAAAGGAUAAGACCAUUGCACAGCAGCUCUUAUUUUACAUACUACUUAUGCUAACCAAAGUCAAUUAGUUGGGAUGGGUGGGAGAUGGAGGUUUGUGCGGUGGCUUGUGGGGCGGAGUUGAUGGCUUCUUUCCAGGAGCUUCUGGCUUUUUCAUCGGAGCUGAAGGAGGCUCAAUCUUAUGAGGCGGCUUGUAUGAGUCUUCUUUACUCUCGACAGGAGGGUGGCCAGGGUUGUGAUCAUAAUGUGGUGGCUUCUCUCCCUUAGGUGGCUUGCCAACUGGGGUUGGUGGCUUGUGUUCAGGAAGUGGUUUCUCUCCCAUGGGAGGUUUAGCAAUUGGGGUUGGUGGCUUGUGUUCUGGGAGUGGCUUCUCUCCCUUGGGAGGUUUAGUAGGUGACUUGUGUUCUGGAGGUGGCUUCUCCACCGGAGGCUUGUGCUCCGGUGGUGGCUUCUUGGUUGGAGGGGGCUUGGGGUAAUCAGCAAGAGAUGGGGUGGUGAGAACCACCAGUCCAAGGAACAACACUAGCAAGUAUGUGGGAGACAUUUUUGAGUUUGGGCUGAUCAGAUGAUGCAAAACUAAAGCAUUACGUGACCUUUUAUAGCAUGUAGCUCCCAAUACCCACUAAGUAUUGUGGGGUCCAUUUGUGCCCUACGGGGUUGAAAACUUAGACAAUUGGGCAAGGACCCACCUGACUAUGGAGGACUAGUGAGGUGUGAUCAUAGCUUUAGGAUUUUUCUUCCUCUGCAGCCGUCGUGCCGUUGGCAUGAUUUUCUUAAUCUUAAAUAAAGGCAUAGUUAUAGAGUUGUUUAAUCUCUAAAUGGGAUUUUAUAUAUAUCUUCAGAUAGCCAUUAAUAUAUUUGAUGAAGAAAGAAAGACAAGUGCAUACAACAUGUAUACGACUAGCUUUCAUGGAGUUCAUUUAUGAUCAGUUUUCCUGUACAUGUAAACCAGGAUCAUAUAUAUGUUUCUGUUCCACAACUAUUUUGGAAUCUUGUUUAUCAGUUUUUAUCAUUAUAAUGUCACAUAGGCUGCCAACUUGGGCGCUAAAAGAACCAGUUGGGCUAGUUCGUUUCAGAAUUUCAAUGUGGAUUCAGGAAUUGUUUUGUAAGAUAUGCGAAAUAGUAGAGGGAUGAAUAGUGUUUCAUUAAUAAAAGUGUCCUGUAAAUUAGAAGGUGUCAUAGAAACUAUAAUCAAUAAAUAACUUUUUUUCCCCACGGGUGGUGUUUCUUGUGGGGAUCAGUGACUGGUUUAGGUUCACCCAAAAUGAGUUCAGACUAAAAUUGGUUUGAGUCAAUGCCGUGUCUCUUUUUUCCAGAAAUCAACUAUUUUAUGCAUUGAAUAAAUCAUACAAAGAAAAUAUGAACGCCCGCAAAACCUAAACCCUGGUUGCUAACUUUCUAUGUUUCAGUUCUAUUCACGCAAGAAUAUUAGUUUAAGUUUGGGAAAAAUGGCAACUUACCUAGUGAUUACUUGGUUUUGGUUUGCGACUAUUUACGCAACCAACCAUGAGUUUGACUUUAACGUCAUGGGUUGAAGCCUCCUACAGGAAGGGAGAAAGCUCCACAGCUAGCUCCAAAAGAGAAUUAUCACAUUGAUAGCUCCAGAGAUUCCCAAGGGGACUGAAUCAAAGACAAGUUCCUCACUUUUUCUUCUUUUGAGGCCAAAUAUGAACCAAGGAUCACACAACCUCAUUCAACUUCAUAAGUUUGAUUUCAUGCAGUUGAACACUGGGUGAAGGCCAUGACAAGAAUUGAUUCAAAAAUUCUAUCACUCUUUUAAGUAAUGGAAGAUUAUUAUCUCUGAUUGGCAUCACAACAGCACAUGCUCCUAGAUCUUUCUAGACACUCCAUGCAAUGAAAGCACAAUGGAUCUUGUAACGAUAGAAACUAAGCCAUGCUACAGUACUAGAUGAUGAGGUAAAACUAGUAGACACGGGUGGCAGCCUAUAUGGGAGGGACACAAGUCUAAUUGAUUUGCAUUUCAGCAUUAUAGAUAGGUAUGUUUUGGAAGAUUUGUUCUGGAAAUACCGCACCAAGUAGGAUUCUUUUUCUCUUUAGUGGGUCCACUUGCAUGCCAAUUAACGAGUUGAAAAGUAUGAGCACCUACCUCGUGCUCGUGGAACCGAAGGUCAGUGAAGUGGGGCUCCUUUUGGCCUCGUGUAAACUUGAUUCAGAAGUGAAGUUAAUAGUCUUCCAUUCAGAUGGAUACAUGGGAAUUUUUCUCUUUUAUUUAUUUAUUUAUUUUUUUUUUGUGUGUGUAUGUCAAAGGAUAAUGAAUGAAGCGCGUUAGCUUGUUUUCUGACUGGAACCGCAGAUGUCCAAAUUGGAGUUCCUUCAUUUCUUACUUAGGAUUGUUACAUGUAUAAACAAGGUAUAAGAAAUAUGCCAACGUGUCUUGAGGAGUUAUUGAUUAGAAAUAACAAGUCACCCGACUGUAGAGUUCCAAGAUUUGAAUCUUCAGACCCUAUAGCAGCCUCUGGGGUACGUGGCAUCCUAUAGCAUAUUAAUGAAGGCUUUUUCGAUUUAGACUUCACAAUACCAAUUAAUAUGUAUGCACAAAAUGGAGAUGACCCCAAAAAAAACAGAAUCGCCAUAGUUUAUGAGGUUAAGGUGAUUCUCCACUUAAUAUCUACAUUAGCUAAUUAUGUAAAUCAAAUGAACUUCUAUUUUUCCUUUUUUUUUUUGGUUUAUGUCAAAUAGUAGCCCAUAAUUAACCCAACCAUUAGCCUGUUUGAAUUGAUUUCACAUGCACAAUGUUGUAGUAGUUCAUAUUUUGAAUUUUAUUUUUACAAAGGUAGUUAAGGAAAAUGAAGUAUAAUAAUUAUAAAAGCAGACUAUAUACACUACAAUAAUUGUUAGAAUGGUAUCUCAAAUUCUAAUUUAAAAUAUUAUUUUUUGUAAAAGAAAUAUUAUAUAGAAUAUUUCCUAAUUUUAUAAAUGAUUAUAAUUAGAUCUUUAUAAAAUAAGGAAAGUUGGUAAGAAUAUCUUUAUAAAUAUUUUAGGUCAUGAGAGAAAGAAAUGGGAUAAAAAUGUGAUGAAGAGGUGAAAUAAGAGAGUUGAUUAGGAUAUAGAUGUGAAGAAGAAAGGGAUUCAAUAUAUAUAUAUCUUUCAAUUACCACAUUAAAACCCUGUGAACCUUUUAUAUGGUUUACUUUAUUUUUAUAUUCCUCCUUUAAUAUAUUUACAUUAAUGCUUCCAUUGGCACAACAAUAACGAAUUACAAAUACAAGCAACAAGUCCCAUGUUUUAUUACCAAAAGCAGGUAAAAUCCACCUAAUAUAUUACAAUAUAUUCAUCCAAUAUUUUAGACCAAUUCUUCACCAUAAAUAUCAUAAUGUGGCUUUUGUUCUUUCUUAAAUUUAAAUUGAAUUGUCUUAUAUCAAUUUGUUUGUGAUUUUUUCAUUAACUUCACUUUCAUUUGGUUAUCUUUGGUUUUUGAAAAGUAUUAAGGAAUUAAUUAACAAAAUAAUGUUAAGAAAAAUAAUUUUCUCUCUUUUGAUUUUGAUUUUGUAGUAGAAAAAUAUAAUUAAAAUUAUUUAAAAAGUAUGUAAUUUUAAAUUAUUUAAUAUUUAGAUAAAAAAAAUAAGUCUAAUGAGUUUAAAAUAACAUAUAAAAAUAAUUUAUUUAUUUUAAAUUUAUUUUUUAUUUUCCAUUAUGUUCUCUUUCUCUUUUACUUUUUCAUAUUUUUUCUUACGAAGAAUCAAACACAACCUCAUAUUAUAUGUCAAGUGUUUGUCUAUAUUUGAGCAAUGUUAGAUACGGCCAUGGAUUCAUCAAACUAAACUGAUUUUAAUAGAUACUUCACAAAUUGAUUUAUACACUAAAUCAUUGGAUAGCAAUGAUGCAUUGGAAUUAAACGUAGGAUGAAGCUCGAAGAACACUGUUUGUGUAACAACAUAUUUAUGAAAUUAUGCAAAGGAUGAGCUUCGGGGUAGUAGUACAAGGUCAUUAAUGGAGAGCCGUGUUAAACCUUGAUUGUGAUUGGAUUCCGUUAUCAGCAACAGCAACCUUGUUUGUAACCUUGAAAGUCAUUCUGUCCACAUCGAAACUCCAAUUUGACGUUUGUAAUUACCAUUCCUGGAGUGUUCCUUGAUUGAAAUUUAAAUAAUAAUUGCGGCCCACAAGGAAUAUUUUCGAUUCUGUGGGAAUUUGACAAGGUUUGUUAGAGAAGACUGGUGACAUGUUGACUUCAAUGGUUCAAAUAGGAGACGUAUGUGGAUUUGGGGGGUUUAAUUGAAACUGAGUCCCUAUGGCUUUUUAAUAUUUGCAUUGAGCAGUCUCCAUGUGACUUCCUAAUUCCCACCAACCCUCCUGUCCAUGCUGUGAAACUAAAUUGUAAUUUAUCAGCCUUUGUCAAUGGUUUCUAAAUUAAAGAUAUAGACCAUGCAUGUACUUUAAUAAAAGCAAAUCUAAAGUGUAGAUAGCAGCAAUGGUGACACCCAAUAUUCUCCAUAAAAUAGAAUUAGAAUAAGCAGUGUUACAUUGUUCAUGAUCACCUACAAGCAUACAAGAACUUCCAUGAAUAACUCAUAGCAAUUGCCAACAGGGCGUCGUAGAGACUCAUACAUAGAACACUAUCCACCCAGAGGAAAGGACAAGACCAGUGCGCUGCAGCUCUUAUUUUUCACAUGUAUACCACCACUCGUAAUAACCAAAUUCACUCAGUUGGGAUAGGUGGGAGAUGGUGGUUUGUGGGGUGGCUUGUGGGGAGGAGUUGGAGGAGGCUUUAUUUUCUGAGGCGGCUUGUAUGAGUGUGCAGGAGGAUGCCCGGGAGUGUGACCAUAAUGUGGUGGCUUCUCUCCCGUAGGUGGUUUGCCAAAUGGGCUUGGUGGCUUCUCUCCCUUAGGAGGUUUACCAAUUGGGGUUGGUGGCUUGUGUUCUGGGAGUGGUUUCUCUCCCUUGGUAGGUUUGCCAAUUGGGGUUGGCGGCUUAUGUUCUGGGAGUGGCUUCUCUCCCUUGGGAGGUUUGCUAAUUGGGGUUGGCGGCUUAUGUUCUGGGGGCGGCUUCUCUCCCUUGGGAGGUUUGCCAAUUGGAGUUGGCGGCUUAUGUUCUGGGAGUGGCUUUUCUCCCUUGGGAGGCUUGCCAAUUGGGGUUGGCGGCUUAUGUUCUGGGGGUGGCUUCUCUCCUUUAGGAGGUUUGCCAAUUGGAGUCGGCGGCUUAUGUUCUGGAAGUGGCUUUUUUCCCUUGGGAGGUUUGCCAAUUGGGGUUGGCGGCUUAUGUUCUGGGGGUGGCUUCUCUCCCUUGGGAGGUUUGCCAAUUGGAGUCGGCGGCUUAUGUUCUGGGAGUGGCUUCUCUCCCUUGGGAGGUUUUGUUGGUGGCUUGUGUUCUGGAGAUGGCUUCUCCCCUGGAGGCUUGUGCUCCGGAGGUGGCUUCUGAAAUGGCGGGGGCUUGGGGUAAUGAGCAAGAGAUGGAGUACUG